UAACCAACUCAACGGUAAUCUUGAGCUUGGGAAUAUAUCUUCACCACCUAAGCUACGAGUGUUAGUCGUUGGCAAUAACAAGUUGAGAGGGCUGAUUCCGGGCACGAUAUCUAAAUUUACCAACCUUGUCAGACUUGACCUUUCCCGUUACACAACACAAGGUCAAGUUGACUUUAGUAUCUUCUCACAUCUCAAGUGGCUCAAACUUCUUGAUCUAUCCGAUUUGAACGCGACCACUACGAUUGACAUGAAUGAUUUCUUGUCAUAUUUUAAGAGGCUCGGUGUGUUGGAUCUCUCAGGCAACCAUGUUUCAGCCACAAACAAGAGUCCAAUUUCAGAUCCCUCUUCUUUGUAUCAGUUGUACUUGUCAGGCUGCGGUAUCACCGAGCUCCCGGAGUUUGUAAGAUUGCAAAAUAUGGAGAAGCUAGACAUUUCUAACAAUAAAAUCAAAGGACAAGUGCCUGGCUGGUUAUGGAAGAUACCAAAGCUGAUUUACCUGAAUCUUUCCAACAACACCUUCACUGGCUUCGAAAACUCAACGAAACAUGGGCUAUCUUUAAUGGCCUUGUUAGCCUCCAACAACAAUUUCACGGGAAAGAUUCCCUCUUUAAUAUGUGAUUUGCGCUUUGUAUUCAUUCUUGAUUUAUCAAACAACAACUUCAAUGGUUCAAUCCCUCGUUGUCUGGGAAAUCUCAACUAUACUCUUACAGAUCUAAACCUUGGUCAAAAUCAUCUUCAUGGAGGUCUUCCGGAGAAUAUAUUUGGAAACUUAAGAGCGCUUGACGUCGGUCAUAACCAACUUACGGGAAAGCUUCCAAGAUCUUUGAUCCGGUUCUCUAGUCUUGAAGUUCUGAACGUGGAAAGCAACUUCUUCAAUGAUACGUUUCCAUUUUGGUUGAGUUUUCUACCAGAGUUAAAAAUUCUUGUGUUACGCUCCAAUGCCUUCUAUGGAACGAUACAUCAUACUUCGUUCCCUAAAUUGCAAAUCAUCGACAUAUCGCACAAUCACUUCAAUGGAGCUUUGCCUUCACACUACUUUGUGAAGUGGAGUGCUAUGUCAUCACUUGGGUCAAUUUAUUAUCAGCCUGAUGAAAUGUACAUGGGAGAUUCAUAUUACCAUGAUUCAGUGGUGUUGAUGAAUAAAGGUAUAGAGAUGGAGCUUGUACGUAUCCUAAAGAUCUACACAGCACUCGACUUUUCAGGGAACAAAUUUGAAGGAGAGAUCCCAAGGUCCAUUGGUCUAUUAAAAGAGCUUCUUGUGCUCAACUUGUCGAACAAUGCUUUCACUGGCCACAUCCCUUCAUCUAUGGGAAACUUGACAGCUCUUGAGUCAUUGGACGUUUCCCAAAACCAGCUUUCAGGAGAAAUUCCGCAAGAGCUAGGGGAACUCUCAUUCCUUUCGUACAUGAACUUCUCUCAUAACAAGCUUACAGGUCUAGUACCAGGAGGCACUCAGUUUCGAAGGCUGAACUGCACUUCUUUUGAGGAUAAUCCGGAACUUUCUGGCCCUUCUCUUGACGAAAUUUGCAGAGAUAUUCACACGCCAACACCGCAUGAACCGUCGGAAGAAGAAGAAGAAGAAGAGGAAGAGGUGUUGAGUUGGAAAGCAGCUGUAAUAGGAUUCAUACCUGGUAUUGCCUUUGGAUGGGUGAUUGGAUAUAUACUUUUUUCCUACAAACCACAGUGGUUCUUCAUGAACCCUUUUGCCCGAAACAAGCGCAGAAUCAGCAGCACCACUACUCAUUAAAGUUCUUUGUUGGCAGUUUUUUUUUACGUUUUAUUAAACUUCUUUGUUUCUCUGUAAUUGAACAACUAUGUUUCUUAAGCUGAAAGUUACAAGCACAGUCAAAGAUGUGUCGUUUUUUCCCCUCUUGUGAAUCUAAACAUCAACUGUUUAGACGUGAGACGAGCAAUGAACAGAUGAUCCACAUCAACGUUAUAAUCAACACAGGGCUUUAGAAAAGGAUCAAUACUAUUAAAAAGGAAAAAGUUUUAAAAAAUCUACUUAAAAAAAAUUGUUGCAUCCUUUCAUUUUUAGUCCAACCUAUAAUAUAUAACCAAAUAUUAUAAUAACAUUUAUUAUAACAACCAAAUAAGAUUCUAGCGAAUAUCUUUCUCUAAUAGUUUUGGUAAUAUAUUAAUUCUCUAAUUGUUAGAUAUUUGUUCAUUAUUUAGAAAAUCUGUGUGACAUAUCUGGUCUAUUAAAAAUAUGUAUCACUAGAUAUUACGGAUUACGGUUACCAAAUAACAUUUGAAAAGAGUUUUUGUAUAUAUGUCGAUAUGUUACAUUGCAUUCAAAUAUAUAGGUUACUUUCGUGGUUUUCAAAUGAAUCAGUCCAAAUCUUAUAGUUUUCUAGAUUCCCUAAUAAUAUAAUUGUACAAUAUUAUACUAUAUUUUCUUAUAUCACACAUUAGUAUAUUAAAUAUAUAUUUACUUAUCCCAUGCGGUAAUAUAGUUAAAGGGAUAAUGAUGUAUUCCUAUAUACUAGGGACUUAGGUUUAUCUACACGUUCAUAGAUUCUAUAUUCUCGUUGUAUAAGUACCAAGAUUGGUUGAUGAAUAAACACAGACUUUACAUUAUAUUUUAUGGUAUCAGAGCUAAGAUUUCAUAACUUAUUUUUUUUUUUCAAUACUAUUGAUCUUCUUCUAUCUUCUACUACUACGGUUCAUCAACCAUAAUGGCUGAGCACGACACGCCAGCUGUUUCUACAACUACGCAGGCGACUUCCAGAGAUUCGUCACCAUACUAUCUACACCCAUCAGACAAUCCUGGAGCCCUUAUUACUUCUGUUCUACUUAAACAAGACAACUAUACUGAAUGGGCUACAGAACUCCGAAAUUCUCUCCAAGCGAAACAGAAAACAUGUUUUAUUGAUGCUACCAUUCCAAAACCUACAGACGGACCAGACUUAUCGCGAUGGCUUGCAGCAAAUUCUAUGAUUGUCGGAUGGAUUCGCACUUCAAUCGAUUCAAAACUCAGAUCAACAGUUACUCAUGUGCCUGAAGCACACAAGCUUUGGGAAUCUCUGCGUUUUCGUUUUUCUGUCAAAAACGGGACCCGUCUACAUCAGCUACAAGAUGAAAUAACAAAUUGCAAGCAAGAUGGACAGACGGUCCUUGACUACUAUGGUCGGUUAACUAAACUCUGGGAAGAGUUGCAGAAUAUGAAGACAACUCGACCUUGUACGUGUGCUGCUGCGACUGAUAUUGAAAAAGAAAGAGAAGACGCGAAAGUUCAUAAAUUCUUGUUUGGUCUAGACGACUCGCGAUUCUCUGCCAUCCGUUCUCGCAUCACCGACGAAGAUCCAUUACCGGAUCUCAAUAUUGUUUACUCAAGGGUGAUUCGUGAGGAGCAAAACAUGGCAACUACCCGAUCUAAAGAGCAACGAACCGAAGCUUUAGGGUUCUCAGUUCAAACCGAGAAUUCCAAAGAGUUGGUUUCUGCCAAAACUGAUACUACUCCACGACCAAGAGAUCCUUCUCGAACUUGUACCCAUUGUGGUCGUACAGGUCACGAUAUAACAGAGUGCUUCUUGGUCCAUGGCUUUCCUGACUGGUACACUGAACAACAACAACAACGCAAUGGUUCAUCAUCAUAUCGAGGUGGACGUGGUGGUCGUUCUAACAACAAUCGUGGGCGUGGCCGCGGAAGAGCUAAUGCUGCACAAAGCAAUUCUCACCAACAAUCGGAUCAGAUUGCAUCUCUGAUCGCACUUCUCCAAAACCAACAAAGCAAUUUAUCAUCGGAACGCUUGUCGGGUAAAACAAUGCUUACUGACGUUAUUAUUGAUACAGGGGCAUCACACCAUAUGACGGGUGAUAUAUCAUUAUUACAUGAUGUCUAUGAUAUCCCAUCAUCAUCGGUUACAUUUCCUAAUGGACGUGAUUCUCUUGCUACGAAGCAAGGAUCUCUGCGUCUCAGCAAGGAUUAUGUGCUUCACGAUGUUCUCUGUGUCCCCGAUUUCUAUUGCACACUCAUAUCAGUUUCGAAACUUUUAAAACAAACUGGAUGCAUAGCAAUAUUUACUGAUACAUUGUGUGUUUUACAGGACCGUUUUUCGAGGACUCUGAUUGGAGCAGGUGAAGAACGUGAGGGGGUGUACUAUUUUACGGGGGUUAAGGUUGCACGAAUUCAUGGAGCUUCUAAGACAAAAUCUUCUUCUUCAACUCUGUGGCAUCGUCGACUUGGCCAUCCAUCCUACAAAGCUUUGUCUUCUUUACCGGUGUUUCAGAAUUUUAAAAUAGAUUUUAGUGAGUCUAAAUGUGAUAUUUGUUUCAAAGCAAAACAGACUCGCCAAGUGUUUCCCGAUAGUCUUAAUAAAGCUGUUUUUCCUUUUGCAUUAAUCCACUGCGAUGUUUGGGGACCUUAUAGAACACCAGCCUCUUGUGGGGCUGUAUACUUUCUUACCAUAGUGGAUGAUUACUCGCGAGCUGUAUGGACUUAUUUGAUGCUUGAAAAAUCAGAAGUCUCUUCUCUUAUACGCAACUUUUGUGCGAUGAGUGAACGCCAGUUUGGACAUAAAGUACAGACCAUACGGACAGAUAAUGGAACGGAAUUCAUGACACUCGGACCUUACUUUCGCGAGACCGGUAUCAUUCAUCAGACAUCUUGUACCUAUACACCCCAACAAAACGGUAGAGUGGAAAGGAAACACAGACACAUAUUGAAUGUGGCUCGUGCCUGCAUGUUCCAGUCACGAUUACCUAUUGAAUUUUGGGGAGAGAGCAUCUUGGCUGCGGCUCACGUCAUUAACCGAACACCUACUAACAUUCUUAAUGGUAAAACGCCUUAUGAAGUUCUUCAUGGUCGACCACCUAUCUAUGAGCAGUUAAGAGUGUUUGGUUGCCUCUGUUACGCUCACCUAAGACCUCGUGACAGAGACAAAUUUGCUACAAGAAGUCGAAAAUGCAUAUUCGUAGGUUACCCCUUUGGCAAGAAAGCUUGGCGCUUGUAUGAUGUCGAAACUAAUGAGUUUAUUGUUAGCCGGGAUGUGGUGUUUUUCGAGGAUCAGUUUCCAGGUAUUGAAGACUUACCUUCGGUUACAGUACCAGUUUCACAAACUGCUCUUCCUAUUGACGACUGGUUGAUAAAUUUUGAAACUCCAGUUCUCUCUACUACACCUGAACCUUCUCCUACUAUACCCACGACUUCCUCUCCUACUCACAAUACUACUACUACACCUGAUGUUUCUUCUCCGCCUUUACCAUCUACACCUACUGCCCCGUCUACAAGCAAUUCCCCACCAGAUACUGUUGUCCAACCAACUCCUAACCCUACUUCUGCAUCUCCACUACCGUCUCCAUCUUCACCAAUACGUGAUCAUGACAUAUCGGGAUCUUCUCCUGGCCUACUUGAUCUUCUUGGACGUGGUCAUCGAACAAAGAAACCAUCGGUCUUAUUGAAGAAUUUUCUCACGAACUCUGCAACUACAAACACCCCUCACGUUCUCAACAAGCAAUAUCAGAGUUCUCCAUCAACGGUCUCAGGUAAGACACUGUAUCCCAUUGCUGAUUACUCAUCUACCUCUGCUUUUACUGCUAACCACCAGGCGUUUCUAGCAAAAAUUACUACAGAUUUUGUUCCAAAGAAUUAUAAAGAAGCCGUCAAUGAUCCAAGGUUCAACGGUGCAAUGAAAACAGAGGUAACAGCUUUAGAAGCUAACCAUACUUGGGACAUUACAGCUCUCCCUCCUGGCAAGAAGGCAAUCGGGUGUGGCUGGAUUUAUACAAACAAGUAUAAAGCAGAUGGUACUCUUGAACGACCAAAAGCUCGCCUGGUUGCUCGUGGUAAUAGACAAAAAGAGGGACUUGAUUACAAAGAUACAUUCGCCCCUGUGGCAAAGAUGAAUACGGUUCGGUUUCUUCUGAAAGUUGCGGCUGCUAAGCGAUGGGAGAUCCACCAAAUGGAUGUCCACAACGCGUUUCUACAUGGAGAUCUCGAAGAAGAAAUAUAUAUGGAACUUCCUCCUGGUUUUAAAUCUGAUGAUCCAUCCAAAGUUUGUCGUCUUCGGAAGUCUUUGUAUGGUCUUAAACAAUCUCCUCGCUGCUGGUUUGCGAAACUUAGUCAAGCUCUCAAGUCGUUUGGCUUUGUUCAAAGCUACGAGGAUUACUCUCUGUUCUCAUUCAUGGAAGCUAACAUAUGUCUCCAUAUUCUGGUUUAUGUGGAUGAUUUUAUAAUUGCUGGCAAUGACGCUGCUACUAUUCAAAGAUUCAAGGAUUACUUACAUCGAUGCUUCAAAAUGAAAGACUUAGGCAAACUUAAAUAUUUUUUGGGUUUGGAAAUUGCUAGAGGACCUGAAGGGAUAUUUGUCUCUCAGAGGAAGUAUGCACUCGAUAUCAUAACCGAGUGUGGCUUACUUGGAGCGAAACCAGCGCCAGUCCCAACUGAACUCAACCACAAACUUGCACUCGCCAAGGGCAUGAGACUUCAGGAUCCGGGCAAGUAUCGUCGUCUUGUUGGACGAUUGAUAUAUCUUACUUUCACACGUCCGGAGCUAAGCUACAUUGUUCACAUUCUAUCACAAUUUAUGCAUAAACCGCUUGAAGAUCACUGGGCAGCUGCGUUACGAGUCAUCCGCUAUCUUAAAGGCUGUCCAGACCAAGGUAUCAUGCUGUCUUCCGACGCAAACCUUACUCUUACCGCAUACUCUGACUCGGAUUGGUCUGCGUGUCCUAUAACACGUCGUUCUCUAAGUGCCUACGUUGUUCUUCUUGGUGAUUCUCUUGUUUCGUGGAAAACAAAGAAGCAACGGACAGUGUCUAGAUCAUCAGCUGAAGCUGAGUAUAGAUCAAUGGCAGAUACUACAUGUGAGUUAAAAUGGCUCAAACGACUUCUUCUCCAGUUCGGCUUCUUUCAUCCUCAACCCAUGAGACUUUUCUGUGACAGUCAAUCUGCGCUCCAUAUUGCUAAGAAUCCUGUGUUCCAUGAACGUACCAAACAUGUCGAAAAUGAUUGUCACUUUGUUCGAGAUGCUGUGCGUGACAAGCUUAUUACUACUGAACACAUUACAACGAGGAAUCAGCCUGCGGACUUACUUACCAAAGCCUUGCCCACUCCGACAUUUCAUCAUUUGUUGUCCAAGUUGGGAAUUCGAGAUAUGUCAUUACCAACUUGAAGGGGGGUAAAGGGAUAAUGAUGUAUUCCUAUAUACUAGGGACUUAGGUUUAUCUACACGUUCAUAGAUUCUAUAUUCUCGUUGUAUAAGUACCAAGAUUGGUUGAUGAAUAAACACAGACUUUACAUUAUAUUUUAAUAGUACUCAUUUUCAAACUGUACUAUUAAUCAAUUUUCACUGUUUGGCUUCUUAAAAUAUUGGCUAGGUAAUUUAAAAUAUAUGAAUAGUAGCCAAUCAAAAACUUUAAGUUCUAAACUAAUAUUUGAUUGUUUAAACUUUUACUAAACUAUCCUAGAUUUUUUCCAAUUCUAAUAAUAAUAAUAAUAAUAAUAAUAAUAAUAAUAAUAAUAGAAAAGAGAGUAGGCUUAGGCAUUCGAUUUUUAGGUCAGGUACGGAUCAGUUUCUUUCGCGCAUAGGUCUUUCGGAUCCUAGACAUUUAGACCUAAGUAGGUAUUUGAAUUUUUUUUUUGUUUUGGGUUGGUGUCAGUUCUUCUUGUGUUUGGAUCAAUAAUUAAGAUACAUGUAAACUACAUAUAAUUUUUGGAUACCUAAUGAGUUCAGAUCGGUUCAGAUAUUUAGGAUCUAAAAAAGAUUCGAAGUACCAAAAACUUUAAAAAUACAUGAAACACAAAAAUAUUCAAAAGUAUUUAAAUACUCAAAAUGAUGUGAAUAUAUUAUUCAUUAAUAUAAUUGUUUUUGUACUGUUUUUAUCUUGUGCAGUUUUGAAAGUGCAAUAUGUAUUAUACUAAUUUAUGUCAUUAAUUUAAAUGACUAACAAAUGAUUGAAAAAAAAAAAUUUCAUAUGAACAUGUUUAUUUUCAAUCUGUUCAUCAUCAAAUGUAAUGGCAUGUAUAAAUGUUAAUUGUAUAACGUGAUGUAUCAUAGAUGAAAGAUUGCAAAAAAAAAAAAAUUAACAUCGAAAACUCAUUGCAAAUAAUCUAAGAGUUUUGGAGUAAUACAACCAAACAAUUAAACUCUAAAUCACCAAUAUACAACAUAAUAAACCUCAAUAAAACAGAGAUAAUGUAGAAAAAUACAGAUUUAAAAUGACAAUGACAAUGACAAAGAUGAUACAUUACCAUUUUUGGUUCAAUUAUUAAAUGAAACAUACUUUUUAUGAAUCAGACUUAGUAUAGGUUAUUGAGUCAAAUAUUUAAAUCAUACAAAUAAUUCAAUAUCACAUAUAUGUAUGGCCAAAACCUAUAUAUAGGUUAACAUAGAUGUAUGUCAAAAAUCUAAAAUACAAGUAUACCAUCAAUGAAAUAUCUAAGUUAGUGUUAAAUUAAGUGUCAUUUUUCGUUAAUAUAACUUAAACUUAAUAAGAAAAAUACCACUAACAAUUUUUUUUUGACAACAAUACCACUAACAAUUUAAAACAAUAAAUUAAAUUAUUGCAUGUGAACUAUAAAAUUUUAUAUCACUAAUCAUGUAAAACAAAUAUGUAUAUGUUAUGAACCAGAUUGUGGAUGGUUCAUAACCAAGAGAUUAUGAUUUGUAAUCUUUCCAUUUAUUUAUGACGGUGUAAUCUUCUAUAUAAGAAACCUCUAUGUUAUGAAUAAAGAUAGAUUUUUCCAUUACUUUUAUAACACGUUAUCAGCACGAAACUCUAAAUCUCUAAGCUAAUACCCAAAUAGGAAAACCCUAAAACCCUAACCCUAGCCGGUGAUCCGACGAACCCUAAACCCCGAUCGCGUCUCUUGUUCCCGCAUCUGUUCCAGCUCGCGUCCCCGAUCAACUUCAGCCCAAGGCAUUCAUGAUCCUAGCUCAGACGUUCGCGGCCCGAGAGCAGCUCCAGCACGCGACAUCUUCCUCGUUCGCUACAACAUCAGACAGCUCGCGUCCCGUUCGUGCCCAGCUCGUGGCUCAACUCCUUUGGUGGUCCGAUUCAACAAUCAUCUAAGGUUAAAAGGUAUUUCAAAACCUAAGAACCCAUAAUCGAACAUGGAUUGAUUGAUAAAAAAUGAAACCCUAAAACCCUAAUCUUUAUGAAUCAAAACCAUAGGGUAAUAGAUCAAAAAUCCUAAUUGAGUAAUUUGAGGUUUAAAUCCGUGUGAGUUAGGAUUGAUAGUUUUUAUAACCUGAUUGAAUGAUUUGAGGUUUAAUAUUGCAUGUUAGAAUCUGUUAUAAUAUAAACCCUAAUUCGAAUUGAUAAACCCUAAAAUAGAAUCUGUGUAUUGCAUAAUCCGAAUUGAAUGUUUUGAGGUUUCAUAUUAUACUAGGUUGAUAGUUUCAUGAUAUAAUCAAUUGUUCUGAGGUUUAAUAUUAUUUGCUAGAAGCUGAUUGAUUGAUAAAACCCUAAUUUCGAUUGAAACCCUAAACCCUAAUUUGCGUAUUCCUAAAAUCAGAUUGCUUGAUUCCAUCUUGCUAAUAUCAGCCUUGAAACGGAUAAAUAUCAGCCUUGAAACGGAUUAAUAAAAUUGAUAGAAUCAGCCUUGAAACUGAUUGUUUUGGUUUUUCAUGCUUCAAACCCUAUUUUUGGAUCGAAACCCUAAAUUGUGUAAUGCUUAAAUCCGUUUGAUUACUUUUGAUUAUUGAUCCAAUUGCUACUCUUGAUAAAACCUAAUUGAAUCUGAUUGUUAGUCUAGCUAAAUCUCAUACCUGAAACUGAUUGAUUAAUUGUUAAAUCUUGAUUGAAUGUUUUAAUAUUACCCUUGCACAUAUAGAAUCCGAUUGCUAAGAUUGAGUGCAUCAUAUCUACUUGGCCGUGUGGCCAGUUUGCAUCAUAUCUACUUGGCUGAUUGAUUACGCGUUUAAGCACACACCAAUUAACCUAAUGUGCCAACAAUACCACAAUCGAAUGGUAUGUCAUUGUAGCAUUUUAGGAUCGAAUCCACAGAGAACUAGAGACUUAUAACACCAAGAAUACACAAACCUUCCUAAUCUAAGCAAACAAGAAGAUAGAUGAUUUGUAACAAACUAAUAUCCUAGAAAUAUAAACAAGGUGAUCUCAGAUCCAAUCAAGAAAUAAGUGCAAGAAUUCAAUCAAAUACUAAGGAUGGAUCCAUGGUAAGGAUAAUUGAUAUAAAAUGAUCAAGGUUCAAUCUAAAGGUGGCAACAUUCAAUCAAUCUAUCAACCUUAGGCUUAGACACAAUCCUAAACAAACUCUAUCUCUAGAUGGAUGUUCAUUCACUAAGAUAACUCAAGCAUCAAAUCUCUUUGGUUGAAUAUUAUCUAAGCAAUCAUUAAAAUCAAGUCUAUUAGCCAUUUUAACACCUUUAACAACAAAUCUCUUUGGUAAAGAAUGUUAAAAGCUUAGGAGAGUUGGUUCAGACAUUUCAUCAANNNNNNNNNNNNUGUUUCUUGCCCACUCUUUUGAUAAUAAGAAAGCAAAUAUUAUACAGAAAAGUAGGAAAAAUCGUGCAAAGGAAAGGUGGGUGGAAGAAAGUGGGAAGUUGGUUAAUCCCAUCAACUUUCCAGUGGUCCCCGGCAAGGGUUGAUACACCUGUAGUAAAUCGAUUAUAACUUAUCCAAUACAGCUCCAAAUGACUUGAAACCACUUCCAUUGGAAAGCUAACUCAAUUUCCAGUGUCUCCACAAAUUUUGAGCUUCAGAAAAGAUCUUUAAGGCUUUCAUCCGUGUUCAUCUUUCACUCUCCGGAUUCGGGAGCGACCUCGCUGUGUCGCUGCGAGAGGUCGCUCCGGAUUCGUUGUCUCCGGGUGAUCAAUACGCGAGCGACUCUUCCCUGUCGCUCUAGUAAGGUCGCUCUGAUAGGGAGAUCAUAGCGACGUCAAGGUGUCGCUCCGGACUGGUCGCUCCGGGCGAUCAAUACGCGAGCGACUCUUCCCUGUCGCUCUAGUAAGGUCGCUCUGAUAGGGAGAUCAGAGCGACGUCAAGGUGUCGCUCCGGACUGGUCGCUCCCAUGCCUUGCUCGCCGAAUGACCACUCUAAACACUACUUUUUGACUCCAAUUGCACUCAAAAUCCCACCAAUGGUCCUCUAAUUCAUCCAUGGUGCUCUCCAACACCUGAUAUGUACAAAUGCAAUGAUAUGCAACCUAAAUGUGCCUAAAUGAUGCUCUAAAUGACCAAACCAUGCAAGAAUAAGAAGUUAAAAACAUGUAAAUUCACAAGAUAUCACUGUGUGGCCAGUUUGCAUCGUAUAUCAUCAUGACCAACAUGUUUAUGUUAUACGCAUGAUCUGAUUAUUAUCACCUUUGCAUGAUCUGAUUGUUUUAAAUUAAGGUUCCAUAAUUCCACUCAUGUACAUAUAGAAUCAGUAUGCUAGGUUUGCAUUAUAACCAUAUGACCACAUAUUGAUCAAAAAAAAAACAUAUGGCCACAUGAAAACAUAUAGAAAUUGCUUGUUUUGUCGAUACCCUUGCUUGAUAAAUCUGUGUGACUUAUUAUGCAUCAUAUAUCACUUUGGCCGUGUGGCCUUAUUGCAUUAUAUCACAUUUGGCCGUGUGGCUUGUUUGCUUAUUAGAAAUGUAUUGACUUGAUAGCAUGUCUUGUUUAUGGCCGUGUUUUAAAUAUUUUAUGAGAUCUAAAAUUGAUUGAUAUAUUAUUUGAGAUGUCGAAAAUCAACUUGGAUUUUGCUGCCCUAAAUCUCUCAUGAGAUAAUUAUUUGAAAUAGGCACUGGAUACUGAGUUUAUCUUAAAGUCAAAGGACUUGGUGAAUGAAUCACAAAAGGCGAUAAUGCCAAAUGAGAAAGAUUGAUACAUGGCAAUAUUAAUUAUUAGCCAUCAUCUUAAAAAGAGCCUCAAAGAUCAGUAUCUGACUAUAGAGAAUCAUCUAGACCUUUGGACAGAGUUAAAAAAAAUCGAGAAAUGAUCACCAAAGAACGGUGUUAUUACCAACGACCCUAUUUGAUUGGAGGAAUCCCAGAUUCCAGGACUAUAAGUCCGUGGAUGAGUCUAUUGCUAGCUGGGCAAAAUAAUGGAUUACUGAUGAGAAAAAGUGACUUGAGACCUCCUGGAUUAACCCUAUUACCUGAUUCCAAUAAGGCCGCAGAAAAAAAAAAAAAGGUAACCACGUCCAGAAUGAUAGACCACACGGUCAUAGCCGUGGAGGGUGGAAAGGACGUGGCCAUGGCCACUAUAACACAUUUGGCCGUGGUAAUCACUAUGGCAGAGGCCGUGGGUAUCAACCCAAUUUGAGCCAUGGUCAAGGCAGUGGCCGUGGUAUAUCCUUUAAACCACAAAGCUCGACCAAGUCAGUGUGCCAUAGAUGGAAUGGGAAACCAUUGGGCUAAGAUAUGAAGGACUCCCAAACAUUUUUGUGACCUCUAUCAAAGAGGGUCUGAAAGGGAAGAAUCCUGAAACACACUUGGUCUAUAAAGAUGGUGAAAAUAAUCUCGAACAUGAUCAAGAUGAUCUUAUGGAAUAUGAGACUUAUGAUUAUCUAAAAGAAUCAAGUUGAUAAUCUGAUUUCGACAUCAAACUUGUGUGAUUGCUUUGCUUGUAUGCUUUCUCUGAUUUUUAUCUCCUUGAAUUUAUUUCUAUUACAUUGUCUGCUUAGAUUAAAUGAAUGAAUGAUUUUUCUAUAUGAGUACACUGAAAAACGCCAAUAUAAGUACUAAAGCAGGUAUCGCCAGUCUGAAAGAAGACUAUGGCUAGGCUAAUAUAUUAUUGCCUAAGGGUAUGCAUCUAGAAAUCAGUGAUGCCUUAUAUUCACCCAGCUCUAAGAGCAAGAGCAGCCUAUUGAGUUUUAAAGAUAUAAGAAUGAAUGGUUUCCAUAUUGAAACAAUGGGCGAAGGAAACAAAGAGUUCCUUCAGAUAUAUGUAUAAAAUCGCCCAAGGCCAUAAUAAGUCCUAAAGACUAUACAUGCAUUCUCUACCGACCUAGACUAUGCAUAAAUCAGUAUGAUUGAGGCUAAAAGCCUGCGAAAAUAUACACUUUAUGGCACGACCGGAUUGGCCAUCCUGGUCCAAACAUGAUGCGAAAAUUGAUAUUCAAAAGGCACACAUUAAAAGAUAAGAAGAGUUAUCCCAAAGAAUCUCACGUGUGUAGCAUGUACACAAGGAAAACUCAUUAGGCCAUCACCAGUAAAACGGCUACGAGCCCCUUUUUCAUAAUAAAUACUAUAUGUAUAGAUACUACUGGUGAAUACAUGUCCCAAGCGUUUAAAUGAUUAUGGUAUGUCCAUAGGGGUAAGUGUGGACAAUUCUGUGAUACAUGUCCAUACCAAGAAAGGAUAUACCAUAACUUAUGAGGUCAAAACUCCCAUUCACAGCUUGGGCCACACGAAAUUUACAUGCACCUAAGCUAAUACGCAUCAUGCUAUUUAGUGAGCAUAGAUAUCCCGUAUCACAAUUAUUAACGGGUCAAAAGCCAGACAUACCCCAUCAUAAGACAUUUGGAUGUGCUGUCUAUGUACUAAUUGCUCCACCACAGAGAACUAAGAUGAGACCUCAAAAGGAGGAUGGGGAUAUAUGUUGGAUAUGAUUCUCCCACAAUAAUAAAAUACUUUGAGCCAACUAUGAGUGAUUAAAUUUGAGGCCAGGUACACGGAUUAUUUUAAGACUAGGAGGAGAGAAAAAUAAUAAAGCUGGUAAAAGAAUGGUAAAAGAAAUAGAAUGGAAUCAACCAUCAAUGUCUUGGCAAGAUCCUCGGACUAAAGAAUGUGAAAUAGACGUCUAAAGAUUAUACAUUUACAAAGCUAGCUAAUCAAAUGCCAGACACAUUUGCUGACCCGGAAAAGAAUGACUAAGUCAUAUAUAAACCAGCUUGUAAAGCACCAACGAAUUUGAUGUCGAAGAAGAGACACAGUCAAGUUGAUACAGAUUCUAGACAACGUAUGAACGUGGUGGACCAAUAGGUUCCAAAAGAUAAGAAUCCUCGGAAACAAAAGAAAUGUGCAGAGAAUGAUAAUCAAAAUCCAAAUCCGAGGUUACUAAGGAAACCAUCCCAGACAUGGAGAUAAGGCCGGCCGGCUCUAAGGUAGAGGUACCAAACAAUGUAGCUUGGGACGCCAAGCUGCAAAAUAUAAAGGUCCUGAUAAUAAUGAAUCUCAAUCGAUUAUAUCAAGUAUGGAACAUAAUGGAACCAAUAAGGAAUGUCGACAUAAGAUGAUUUAUUUGCAUACAAGGUAGCACUUGAAUUUAUGAAUAUAAGCGAAGAUCAUGAACCCACGUCAAUAUAAGAGUGCGCACUCGUAGAACAGAUUGGAUUUAAUGGAAACAUGGGGUUAAAUAGUUUAAAGAAUAAAGGUAUAUUUGGCCAUAUGAUUAAGACGCCAUAUGAUGUUAAAACCAGUGGAUAUAAAUGGGUCUUGUGAGAAAUAGAAAUAGUGAGAUAUAAAGCUGAUGUUGCACAAGGAUUCUCACAAAGACCAGUAAUAGAUUAGGAGGAGACAUACUCUUAUGUGGUGGAUGCAACUACUUUUAGAUUUCUCAUAAGUCUGGCUAUAUAAGAGAGAAAAUUAGACUUGCAGCAAGUUGAUGUAGUGACUGCAUAUUUAUAUGGUCCACUGGAUAAUGAAAGUACUAGAGGGUAUUGAGCUGAAAGUACAACAAGUUCUCGAGAACAAUAUUGAUAAUCAUCAAAGUAUAUGAUCUGAAUAUCCUAGGAACCUCUGGAUACAAUUUCCCAAACAGUUGAAUAUCUCAAGAAAGAGUUUGAGAUGAAAGAUCUUGGAAAACAAAGUUUUGUUUGGGAUUACAGCUUGAGUACAUUAACAAUGAAAUCCUUGUGCAUCAAAUAGUAUAUACAGAAAAGGGUACUCAAGAGAUUUAAUAUGGACCAGUCUCAACAUUUAUCUAGUACAUGGGCGUGAGAUCACUUGUUUUGGACACUGAUCCAUUCAGUCCAAAGGUGGAUGAUAAAGAAGUCCAUUUAGUCCUGAGAUGGACGAUGCAGAAGUCUUGUUUUAGACACUGAUCUGAUUGGUCUAUAAGAAGGACGAUGAAGAAACCUUUGAUUUUGAUUUAUUUUAUACUAACCAGCCCAAAGAGGGGUUAUUUGGUUUUGUUGAUUUGUUUUCAGACAUGUUAUGUUUUACACAUGGUGGUACACGCAUAUCACGGCAACAUCAUCCAAGAUUUCGUGUGUGUGUAUUUGAGGUUGAUGACUCAAUAUGUUCGAUCAGAUUGUGGCAUGGCCGAUGGUAAAGAAGAACCAACUAUCAUGUUCGAGGACGAAGCAUAUUCUGCCCAAGAUCUUCAUCACCCACGGAUUGCAAAAAAUUGGAGAAGUCCAAGGGACCUUCAGUAAUGUCCAAAUCAGGGGGAGUAAUGUGUGUUGUACUAUUUUUCCUUCACCAUGGUUUUGUCCCAAUUGGGUUUUCCUGGUGAGAUUUUAAUGAUGCAACAUUAAAGCACAUUACAAGCUCUAAAUGGUUAUGGCAUCCAAGGGAGAGUGUUAUGAACCAGAUUGUGGAUGGCUCAUAACCAAGAGAUUAUGAUUUGUAAUCUUUCCAUUUAUCUAUGACGGUGUAAUCUCUUAUAUAAGGAACCUCUAUGUUAUGAAUAAAGAUAGACUUUUCCAUUAUUACUUUUAUAACAGUAUACUUAUAAAAAUUGAAAUAAUUACCCACACGGUUGUGCGGGUAGAGAUCUAGUUUCUUAUUAAAUGUUUUGUUUUCUCCAUGUCCACACUCCCUUGUUUCUGAUUCAACCUUUGAUUGUUUGAUUAAAUAUGUAUAAUCUAAAUCAACAAUAACCAAAUAUAUAUAUAUACUCAACUAAAAUUUGGGUUUAACGAUCAUCGUCCAUUUUAUAAGAAAAUUCCUCUUGGAUCGAUCUUUUUAUAUUUUUCUUGAUUGACUUUUUAAUCGAAUCCAAGUCUUGCUUCUCUUUGUUUUGGUGUCCACGAUCUCGAAAAAGAAACAGCCAACUGAUUGGUCACUUUCACAGUCCCUCUGGUACGUUAUCCUUUGAUUUUUCAACAUUAUACUUAAAGCUCAAUACCAAAAUCUCAAAGAUAAGCCACUACAUGAUCAUGAUGUGUGUGACCUACGAGCUUGGACUCGAACCCACGAGCCAAUCAUGUAAGUAGCAAUGAAAAGAUCAAGCCAACACAAAUGAUGAAUAGGCCCAUGCCUUGCCCCCAUUCUGUUCCCUUCUUUAUUAAUCUACAGAAACAAAAUCUUCUUCAGAAGAAGAUGCGUGAGCUUUCAACACGAUAAAGAUUGAUGCAAAGUCAUAUAAGGAAACAGCCAAAUCAAUAGCUUGGUGGGUUUGGUCUUCCAAAAGUAAAUUAUGGAAGAACAUGAAUGUCUCUUAUGUACAUUGUCCUGGAAAGAGAGCUCUGAGACCUGAUUACGCAAAAGACUAAUUGCAGAUCACAAAAAAGGAGAAGAGAACGCUAUUUGGAACUGCAGGCAUUGAUACACAAACCAUAAUACAUUAAACACUUGACAAAAGUACAUGUUGAUAUGUCUGUCAGAUUACUACAAGAGUUUCUUUCACCAAUCUGCUUUGCUACCAAUGUACCCUAUGUAAGAGAGAUACUAUAAAGAUCUCCUCUCAACUAUAGUAUAUACACAUUCCUCUGUUUUAGGAAAUGUUAGUUAUUAUCUAACUUAGUCUCCAAGACUAAACUCUGUAUAUAAACCUCUAUUGUACAUUACGUUCAAGAUAUCAUAAUACAUUUCCUAUACCCUAAAUAAGAUAAGUAAACACACAAAAAAGAGCAUUGCUCUAACUUAAAACCUAGUGAGUAAGAAUAAUAACAGUUUUCUCCAAUUUCGAUGAUCUCUCAGAUCCAACCAUUGCUCCCUUGCUCAACCACAGUAUAGCUUCUCCACAAUCUAAUCCCUACAAAUUCUUAUCUGUACAGCAACAACAACAACGCACAAUUCACGUUUUCAGUAACUCAUUUGAGCAGAUGCUCAAAGUUAUGGUUCCAAAUCAACAAUCUGAGACCUCACAAGGUAACAUAGAGUUUCAAUCUUCAAAAUCACAUAAGAAUGAAAAUUCUAACCAUAUAUUCACAAUUGCUUGGCAGAAACAGAGACCAAGAAAGUUCCCAUCCUCUGCUUCUAUAACUCAAUCAUCAUCCUCUACUUCACUAAAACAAUCCACUACCAAUUAAAUUGGUAAAAACAGGGUGAAGCUAUCAAGAAAAUAUCAGACUACGUUGCACAGCUAAGAAGAAUCGGAAAGGGUCACUAAGAUCAUAUUUUAAAAGUAAGACUGCACUUUCUUGUGGAUGUGUUUAUACGUUAAUAACACCGUUUCUGGUGUGAAAAACUGCAGGAGUGUGGCAUUUUGAUCAAAUGCUUCUGAAUGAGGUUUAAGGAAGAAAGUUGGAGCUUUUGAUGACAUAUCUUUUCCUUGUGCUACGGCACUCUUCUAUGUUUAGUUUACAUAGACGUCUCUAAAGUUUGAUAUGGAUAAUGGAUUUUCACUUUUUCUGUUCUUGUGUUGUUUUAACUUUUAACUGAAUGCUUUGUGAGUAUGUUAAUAGUAUAAGUCGUAGUAGUCUGAGAAUAAAUGCAUAUCCAAUGCUUGUCCAUAAAAAGUUGGUUUAAUUUUGGGUGUCCAUAAAAGUCAGUGACGUGUUGUUUUUGACAUAGGAAUCGUAUUUGAACAAAGAUUGUCUCCUUGAGUAGCCUCACGAAUUCUAAAACAGAGCAAAAACUGGGUUCUGCAAUAAACAUAUUGAUUCACCGAGUUUGGUUACAUCUACAGACAAAACAAAAUUAUUAUUGGAGACGAUUUUCAGAAUUAAAUUAGUUAUUAGAAUUAGUUAGAACACAAGAUAUAUAUAGAAUAUCUCUAAUCUUGAAAGAUCUUAGUGUGCAUCAGACUCAUGGGUUUAGGUCUCACAAUCGACACAACUUCCAAUGAUGUAAUGCAUUUGAUGCAUAUCAGCAAAACCAUCGAUCCAUCUUUUGUUUUAUUUUUGUUAUAAGAGAGAAUAGCUACUGGCCAUAUAUUGAAGAAACAAGAACACGAUCGAGCAAAGUCUGGGGUUUUCCUUACCAUCUCGCCCUGAGGAAUACUAGUUGAAUAAUGUACUCACGAUGAUAUGGCUCGAUCAUAAGUAGAUUCACGAGAAAGAGUUGGUUCUUCUGUCAUGAAGCAUGUACUCACUAUUUAUUUGAUUUCAAGCAGGUUAAUAUUUUGUUCAUUUUGAUUGAUUCUUAGAAAAUAUUUGAUUUUUUUUUUGUCAUGUUUGCAUAUAUUUCUCAUUAUGAAAGUUAUGAGGAAUAAACCAAAAAUAAGACUUUUCUCCGUUGAUUUUUCUUGAAAACGUUGAUGUUUGUUUUUAUUCUUAUUUUUUAAAAAGAGAUUCUUUCUUAUUUUGAAAUCCCAUCAAAAUUAAACUAGUUUAGCAGUUAUCUCAAUUAGUUCUUUUUUUAAUUAAAGCAAGAGGAAUGUCAUAAAAUCCUGAAUUUUUAAAAAGAUAAAACAUUUACUAUCAAAUCGAAAGAUUACAAUAUAUGCAAAUGCAGGGGUCUCGUAAACGUUAGUUUUUAGGUCAAUAUGCAUGCGCGUCUUGUAAACGUUAAUUUAACUCCAAACAUACACCUAAGCAAAAUAAGACUUCGUAAAUUACGUCUUCUAUGGUGUGGACAGUUUUUUUUUUUUAAAAAUACUUGUAAUUAGUAAAGGGGACCAAUAUGCGCGGAAAUUUGACCUAAUAGUUUUCUCUCUGGCCCGAUAAUCGAGGUGCCGUCUCAACCGUUUCACUCCGACGCCGGUAGAGCCAUGGCUCGCCGGCGUCGGGUGCUUCAACCUCCGCGUCGUCCUCUUUCUUUUCGUAUCUGUUCAAGCUCAAGAUCCCGUGCUCUGUUCACCGUUCGUAUGACCCUUUCUUGGUCGAAGUUGUCUUCCAUUUCGUAUUUUUCCGGGGGUUCCCGACUACAGUUUUCACUCCCCUCCUCUACUCAACGCCAUCAACGCCAUAGCUCUGCUGGUCCGGCUAUUAUCUAACUUAGUCUCCAAGACUAAACUCUGUAUAUAAACCUCUAUUGUACAUUACGUUCAAGAUAUCAUAAUACAUUUCCUAUACCCUAAAUAAGAUAAGUAAACACACAAAAAAAAAGCAUUGCUCUAACUUGAAACCUAGUGAGUAAGAAUAAUAACAGUUGUCUCCAAUUUCGAUGAUCUCUCAGAUCCAACCAUUGCUCCCUUGCUCAACCACAGUAUAGCUUCUCCACAAUCUAAUCCCUACAAAUUCUUAUCUGUACAGCAACAACAACAAGGCACAAUUCACGUUUUCAGUAACUCAUUUGAGCAGAUGCUCAAAGUUAUGGUUCCAAAUCAACAAUCUGAGACCUCACAAGCUAACAUAGAGUUUCAAUCUUCAAAAUCACAUAAGAAUGAAAAUUCUAACCAUAUAUUCACAAUUGCUUAGCAGAAACAGAGACCAAGAAAGUUCCCAUCCUCUGCUUCUAUAACUCAAUCAUCAUCCUCUACUUCACUAAAACAAUCCACUACCAAUUAAAUUGGUAAAAACAGGGUGAAGCUAUCAAGAAAAUAUCAGACUACGUUGCACAGCUAAGAAGAAUCGGAAAGGGUCACUAAGAUCAUAUUUUAAAAGUAAGACUGCACUUUCUUGUGGAUGUGUUUAUACGUUAAUAACACCGUUUCUGGUGUGAAAAACUGCAGGAGUGUGGCAUUUUGAUCAAAUGCUUCUGAAUGAGGUUUAAGGAAGAAAGUUGGAGCUUUUGAUGACAUAUCUUUUCCUUGUGCUACGGCACUCUUCUAUGUUUAGUUUACAUAGACGUCUCUAAAGUUUGAUAUGGAUAAUGGAUUUUCACUUUUUCUGUUCUUGUGUUGUUUUAACUUUUAACUGAAUGCUUUGUGAGUAUGUUAAUAGUAUAAGUCGUAGUAGUCUGAGAAUAAAUGCAUAUCCAAUGCUUGUCCAUAAAAAGUUGGUUUAAUUUUGGGUGUCCAUAAAAGUCAGUGACGUGUUGUUUUUGACAUAGGAAUCGUAUUUGAACAAAGAUUGUCUCCUUGAGUAGCCUCACGAAUUCUAAAACAGAGCAAAAACUGGGUUCUGCAAUAAACAUAUUGAUUCACCGAGUUUGGUUACAUCUACAGACAAAACAAAAUUAUUAUUGGAGACGAUUUUCAGAAUUAAAUUAGUUAUUAGAAUUAGUUAGAACACAAGAUAUAUAUAGAAUAUCUCUAAUCUUGAAAGAUCUUAGUGUGCAUCAGACUCAUGGGUUUAGGUCUCACAAUCGACACAACUUCCAAUGAUGUAAUGCAUUUGAUGCAUAUCAGCAAAACCAUCGAUCCAUCUUUUGUUUUAUUUUUGUUAUAAGAGAGAAUAGCUACUGGCCAUAUAUUGAAGAAACAAGAACAGGAUCGAGCAAAGUCUGGGGUUUUCCUUACCAUCUCGCCCUGAGGAAUACUAGUUGAAUAAUGUACUCACGAUGAUAUGGCUCGAUCAUAAGUAGAUUCACGAGAAAGAGUUGGUUCUUCUGUCAUGAAGCAUGUACUCACUAUUUAUUUGAUUUCAAGCAGGUUAAUAUUUUGUUCAUUUUGAUUGAUUCUUAGAAAAUAUUUGAUUUUUUCUUUGUCAUGUUUGCAUAUAUUUCUCAUUAUGAAAGUUAUGAGGAAUAAACCAAAAAUAAGACUUUUCUCUGUUGAUUUUUUUUGAAAACGUUGAUGUUUGUUUUUAUUCUUAUUUUUUAAAAAGAGAUUCUUUCUUAUUUUGAAAUCCCAUCAAAAUUAAACUAGUUUAGCAGUUAUCUCAAUUAGUUCUUUUUUUAAUUAAAGCAAGAGGAAUGUCAUAAAAUCCUGAAUUUUUAAAAAGAUAAAACAUUUACUAUCAAAUCGAAAGAUUACAAUAUAUGCAAAUGCAGGGGUCUCGUAAACGUUAGUUUUUAGGUCAAUAUGCAUGCGUCUUGUAAACGUUAAUUUAACUCCAAACAUACACCUAAGCAAAAUAAGACUUCGUAAAUUACGUCUUCUAUGGUGUGGACAAUUUUUUUUAAAAAAAAUUCUUGUAAUUAGUAAAGGGGACCAAUAUGCGUGGAAAUUUGACCUAAUACUUUUCUGUUUCACUCCGACGCCGGUAGAGCCAUGGCUCGCCGGCGUCGGGCGUUUCAACCUCCGCGUCGUCCUCUUUCUUUUCGUAUCUGUUCAAGCUCAAGAUCCCGUGCUCUGUUCACUGUUCAUAUGACCCUUUCUUGGUCGAAGUUGUCUUCCAUUUCGUAUUUUUCCGGGGGCUCCCGACUACAGUUUUCACUCCCCUCCUCUACUCAACGCCAUCAACGCCAUAGCUCUGCUGGUCCGGCUUCCGUCAAGAAUCAGAUCUGUGAGGCUCAAUCUUCCUCUCCUCCCUACGUGUCUCCUCGGCUAGAAAGCCCCCUCCGACAUUCGUCUUCCAUACCACCACAAGUCCAACUUCAAGCUUCGGCUUCCGACGUCUACAAACCCGGUGUCCGUGGGGCUCCACAAUUAACUCGGAUUUUAGAUCUGGAAUUUUGUCAGUUGUCUCGGUUGUGCUCACCUUAUGUCUCCUCUCUAUCACCACUGUCGCUGGCCUUCCUACUCCUCUCACCGCUCCAUUGUCAUCAUCUCAGCCAUAUCAGCUAAACAUCGCCGCUUCUUUGCUCCGCCGUGAUUCCUCGCAGUUCAUCGGGUUCUUUGACCGAGGAAGGCUGAGUCAUUUUGUUCAUGAGAUGGGCUACUUUCAUUUUGCAGUGAGCUUGACAAGCCCAAUAAAGCUCCAAGGCUCCCAUCUCUUCCUAGCAGUUUCACAGCCCACUUUGAUGUGGGGUGGAUUCGUCUCCUUGACUAAUCUUCUAAAAAUGUUUGGCGGGUUCACUAGCGUUUUUACAGAGACAUAUAUACACACAAAGUUUCAUCUCUCUUGUUUGAAGAGUAGCCUUUCUUUCCAUUUACCGGUGGGUUCACCGGGACCAUCAUGUUCAUCCUUUGCUUCCUUUUUAAGGAGUACUUUCCCUCCAAUCUUGUGGAGGUGUUUGUCCAUAUCUAUAACCGUCUUGCUAUCUUGUGCAGCGGUCCGUUCGGGGCCUGAAAAUGCAGCGGGAUUCGUUUCGACGAGUUUCCGAGGUGCGGAUUGGAUGUCAACGCCACAAUUUAAUGUGACUAUUUCUCUGCUGUCCGACCAUGUCGUGAAAGCUACACUGACGCAUUCAAGCAUUGUCUUGAGUUCGUUGUCAUCUUCUUCUUUUGAAGACCUAUCCUUUUUAUCUUAUGUUGGUGUAGUUUAUGUUUUCAAUUAAAGCGGAUGGAUAAUUCCCUCUAUUAUUUGUAAUCAAGCAAGUUGAACUUAAUGAAAAAGUUGUGUUUCAAAAAAAAAAAGAUUUUGCUUUCGACGUGAUGAAUAUUGGAUUUAUCUCUGUGGGUAUUUUUUGUGUGGAAUAAAAACGAAGUCUAUUAUUGUGCUAUAAAGAGGUGGCCAUGGAAGCAUGUUACUCAUCACCAAUUUCCCUGUUCUUUUUUGCUCUUUCAUUUUAAAGUUAAAUAAGCUUAAAAGAAGAAUGAAAGGCUUUUGGAACAUAACGAGUACCAUUUCUCUUACUCUUUCCAUACUUUUCUUAUUCAGCUACAGUUAUGAGGACGUGUCUGCGGUUCCAACUAGGCACUUGUGUCGUCCGGAACAAAGGGAUGCACUUCCCCAAUUCAAGACCGAGUUCGAGGUUCUAAACUCUUCCUUUUCUUCUUAUAAUUGUUAUAUCAAUGAUGAUAUACUAGUGUCUUAUCGGAAGACGGACUCAUGGGCGAAUAACAGCGACUGCUGUAAUUGGGAGGGUGUCACGUGCGAUGCCAAAUCCGGUGAAGUGAUCGAGCUAGACCUUAGUUGCAGCAACCUACGUGGCGAGUUUCAUUCCAAUAGCAGUCUUCAAAGCCUUCAUUCUCUAAACACUCUAAACCUUUCACGUAAUGAUUUCAAUGGUCAAAUCAUGUCUUCAAUUGGAAACCUUUCUCAUAUCACCUCUCUCGACCUUUCACAAAAUUAUUUCAGCGAGUUCAUUCCUUCUUCGAUAGUAGACCUUUCUCAUCUCACCUUUCUCGAUCUUUCAUUUAAUAGCUUUUCUGGUCAGAUUCCAUCUUCGAUUGGAAAUCAUUCUCAUCUCACCAAUCUUGGCCUUUCUUAUAACCAGAUUUCUGGUCAGAUUCCAUCUUCUAUUGGAAAUCUUUAUAAGCUCACUCGUCUUGAUCUUUCUGAUAACAAUAUUGUUGGAGAAACCCCAUCUUCUUUUGGCAAUCUAAACCAGUUGACCAGCUUAAAUGUUGGUCUCAAUAGGCUCAAUGGAAGCUUUCCCAUUGCACUACUGAAUUUGACAAAGUUGUCAUCUUUGCUACUCUUAUGACAAUCAGUUCACAGGAACAAUUCCUCAUAACAUCACUUCACUAUCCAAAUUGACGACCUUUUAUGCAAGCGACAACGCUUUCACUGGGACCCUGCCUUCUUCUCUCUUCACCAUUCCUUCUAUGGAACGUGUUGAUUUGUCUGAUAACCAACUCAACGGUAAUCUUGAGCUUGGGAAUAUAUCUUCACCACCUAAGCUACGAGAGUUAACAAUAACAACUUGAGAGGGCCAAUCCCAGUCACGAUAUCAAAAUUUACCAACCUUGUCCGACUUGACCUUUCCCACUACAAGACACAAGGUCCAAUUGAUUUUAGUAUCUUCUCGCAUCUCAAGUGGCUGGAAGUUCUUGACCUAUCCUAUUUGAACACGACCACUACCAUUGACUUGAAUGAUAUCUUGUCGUAUUUUAAGAGGCUCAGUUACUUGCUUCUCUCAGGCAACCUUGUUUCAUUCAACCUUUGCUGCGUUAUUUGGAAUUGUCAGGCUGUGGUAUCACCGAGUUUCCAGAGUUUGCAAGAUCGCAAAAUAUGAGGAGUCUAGACAUUUCCAACAAUAAAAUCAAAGGACAAGUGCCUGGCUGGUUAUGGACACUACCAAAUCUGUAUCACCUGGAUCUUUCCAACAACACUUUCAUUGGCUUCGAAAAACCAACAACAGUUUUAGUUUCAAGGCUAUCCUUGCUUGCCUCCAACAACAAUUUUACGGGAAAGAUUCCCUCUUUCAUAUGUGAUUUGCGCAAUGUAGACACUCUUGAUUUAUCAAACAACAACUUCAGUGGUUUAAUCCCUAGUUGUCUGGGAAAUCUCAAGCCUACUCUUGAAUAUCUAAACCUUCGUCAGAAUCGUCUUCAUGGAGGUCUUCCAGAGAAUAUAUUUGGAAACUUAAGAACGCUUGACAUCGGUCAUAACCAACUGACGGGAAAGCUUCCAAGAUCUUUGAUCCGGUUCUCUAGUCUUGAAGUUCUGAACGUGGAAAGCAACAUUAUCAAUGGUACGUUUCCGUUUUGGUUGAGUUCUCUACCGGAACUCAAAGUUCUUGUGUUACGCUUUAAUGCCUUCCAUGGACCGAUACAUCAAACUUCGUUCCCUGAGUUGCAAAUCAUCGACAUAUCACACAAUCACUUCAAUGGAGCUUUGCCAUCAGACUUCUUUGUGAAGUGGAGUGCUAUGUCAUCACUUGGGACUGUUUAUUAUGAUCAGCAUGAUCAGCUGGAUGACAAGUACAUGGGAGGUUCCUAUUACCAUGAUUCAAUGGUGUUGAUGAAUAAAGGUAUAGAGAUGGAGUUUGUACGUAUCCUAAAGAUCUACACAGCACUCGACUUUUCAGGAAACAAAUUUGAAGGAGAGAUCCCAAGGUCCAUUGGCCUAUUAAAAGAGCUUCUUGUGCUCAACUUGUCUAACAAUGCUUUCUCUGGCCACAUCCCUUCAUCUAUGGGAAACCUGACGGCUCUUGAGUCACUGGACGUUUCCCAAAACCAGCUUUCAGGAGAAAUACCGCAAGAGCUAGGGGAACUCUCAUUCCUUUCCUACAUGAACUUCUCUCAUAACAAGCUUACAGGUCUAGUACCAGGAGGCACUCAGUUUCUAAGGCUCAACUGCACUUCUUUUGAGGAUAAUCCGGGACUUUCUGGCCCUUCUCUUGAAGAAAUUUGCAGAGAUAUGCACACGCCAACACCGCAUGAAACGCUGGAAUCUGUUGAAGAAGAAGAGGAAGAGGUGUUGAGUUGGAUAGCAGCUGUCAUAGGAGUCAUACCUGGUAUUGCCUUUGGAUGGGUGAUUGGAUACAUACUUUUUUCCUACAAACCACAGUGGUUCAUGAACCCUUUUGCCCGAAACAAGCGCAGAAUCAGCAGCACCACAACUCAUUAAAAAGGUAAUUUUCCAGAGUUUUAAAUCAACUUGUUAGAAAACACUGGAAGAAACAAAAAUAUUAUAGUGAAAUCACCUGAGUUAACCUUUUCUUUUUUUUUGGUACAUGUCUUUUAUAAGCUACCUGAGGAAUCUGGAAGAAGAAAUCCAAAGGAACCACUAUGUCUAUCGUAUCAAAUAAGAUUUGGGGUAUCGUUUCUGGUUUAGCUUGGUGUUUUUCUCAUUACUCUGUUUUUACUCUCUCUUUUUUUUCUAGCAAACUUCUUUGUUCCUCUGGUAUUGUUUCUGUUUUAGCUUGGUGUGUUUUUUCUCUAUCUCUAUUUUUUUUUUACGUUUUAUUAAACUUCUUUGUUUCUCUGUAAUUGAACAACCAUGUUGCUUACGCUGAAAAUUACAAGCACCAGUCAAAGAUGUGUCGUCUUUUCCCCUCUUGUGAAUCUAAACAUCAACUGUUUAGACGUGAGAUGAGCAAUGAACAGAUGAUCCAGAUCAACGCUAUAAACCUUGCAGGGUUUUAGAAAAGGAUAUACAUAUUAUAUAUGGAUAUUUCGAUUUCUUAUAUCACUGAGACACAUAAAUUCAUAGAAACUAUAGAUUAAUAAUGACCAGAAAAAAGAUAUAUGCUCAACUUAAUUUGUUUUAACGAUCAUAUGAAAAUUCUUCUUUGAUCAGUGUGAAAUCUAUUUUAUAUUUUCUUUAACUGACUUUUACAUCUACUCUCAAGUCUUGCUUCUCUUUAAUUUGAUGUCCACAAUCUCAAAUAGAGACAUCAAUAGCUUGGUGGGUUUGAUCAGUUCCAAAAAGUGAAUUAUGGAAAGAACAUCUAUGAUGUCAAUAUGAAUGUCUCCAAAGAACCCCUUUAUGCAUUGUGUUAAAUCUGUUAAGGCAAUUCUGAGACCUGAUUACGCAAAAAGACUAACUGCAGAUCAUAAAAAAAAAAAAAAAAAGAGAAAUGAGACCACAGGCGUUGAUACAGAAACCAUAAUACAUUAAACACUUGACAAAAGUACAUGUUGAUAUGUCAGUCAGAUUACUACAAGAGUUUCUUUCCCCAAUCUCGAUCAGCUUCUCAGAACCAACGAGUGUUCCUUUGCUCUACCACAGUAUAGCUUCUCCACAAAUCUAAUCCCUACAACUUCUUCCCUGUACAACAGCACCACAAAAUUCAAGUUUCAGUAACUCAUCAUCAUAUAUGAUGAACAAAUAUAACAUUAACAAACAGAACCUGAAACCUCAGAAGCUUACCUAAAGUUUCAACAUGUUCAUCCGUUGCAACUCAAGCUCCUUUGCAGCUUCCAUCCUCUGCUUCUCCAACUCAACCAUCAUCCUCUGCUUCACACCUUCAAUCCUCUCGUACACCUCUCCCAACUUCAAAAUCGCUCUCGCCAGCUCCCUACAAGANNNNNNNNNNNNNNNNNNNNNNNNNNNNNNNNNNNNNNNNNNNNNNNNNNNNNNNNNNNNNCGACGACCCUUCGCCUCCACUCGGAUCCACAUCCUCCACUCUCCGAUGCUUCCUCACCACAAACCCCCAAUCUCCCACCUCAUCAUCAUCAUCCUCCUCCUCCAAAGAGCUCCCACUCGAUUUAGAUCCCGUCGGAUUCUUCAACGCCGGUCUCACAACUCCGGUGGAUUUCUUCGCCGCGACGGGACCGAUCAAGAAAUCGAGCCUCUCGAAGAAGCACCAAGACGACGGAGAAGGCUUACUUCUUCUCUCAUAACCAGCUUGUCGGUCUAGUACUGCACUUCCUUUGACGGUAAUCCGGGACUUUCUGGCCCUUCUCUUGAAGAAAUUUGCAGAGAUAUUCACAAGCCAGUCAGAGGAAGAAGAAGAGGAAGAGGUGUUGAGUUGGAUAGCAGUUGUAAUAGGAGUCAUACCUGGUUUUGCCUUUGGUUGGGUGAUUGGAUACAUAUUUGUUUCCCACAAGCCACAGAGGGAUUCAUGAAUCCUUUUGUCCGAAACAAACGCAGACGCAGCAGUACAACAACUCAUUAAAGAGGUAAUAUUCCAGAGUUUUAAAUCAACUUGUUAUUACCAAACAUUGGAAGAAACAAAAUUAUUAUAGUGAAAUCACCUGAAUAAACCUGACAAAUAUGGAAGACUGGGAUUGGGAAAAGAGUGGGACAGAGUUCUGUGAAGUUAAAUGGAGUGAAGACUGAAUGAAGAUGGAAAAACAUGGACAGUGCCCCUGAACUAACACAAAACAAGGGGUCGUGUCUACAUCAAUAGUGGUUGGAGAUGUUUUUGCCGCUCAAUUUGAAAAAGAGCCAACGUUUUAUUGGCUUUUAAUCUUGUGCAAACGCUCAUCAGAGCAAUCCAAAACAAACUCCAGAUUAAAGAAAUCUUCGGUAUCGUCUCAGAUAUCAUGCAGAUCUCCUCGGCGUUUGAAUCUAUCUCUUUCUCCUUUGUUCCACAAUCAGAAAACCAAAAGGCUGACUGUUUAGCCAAACGGGCUCUGAUCUCUUCUGUUUCUGCACUUGUUUGAACAUCUGGGUAUUGGGCUUUGUUUUCGGCCCUUUAUCUUUCCUUUGCUUUUAAUAUAAUCUCGUUGCACAAAAAAAAAAAAAAAAAAAUCUUGUGCAAACAGGUACAAACCCUGUUCUCCAGUUGUGUUCGUCCUACAACCGAAACUGUCUCCGAGCUUCUUCUUCAUCUUCAUCUUCAACAAGCCAAGAAAGAUUCUUGACACUGACUCCAACACCAUACACUCUCAAGAAGUCUAAUUUGGUAAGUUUUCAUCAAUACACCCAGCAUUGUAUCUGAGUUGUUUUAAUGUUUUGAAGUCUUUAUUAAGUCUACCGGGCAAGCUUGUGUGGUUGAAUGGUAGUGAGAAGGCAAGGACGAUAACUCUCGUGGACAGAUACGGUUUCAAAAGGUCAACGAGUCUUGAAGCUGAUAACAAAUCUGGAAGAAUGUGACUGGGAAAAGAGUGUAGAGCGUUCUGUGAAGCUAAUGGAGUGAAGGCUGGUGAGUCCUUUAAGCUAGAAUUCAUCAAAGAUGAAAAAUUCACAGCGACUCAACUACUUAAGCUAUGUUCUAAAGUCUUAAACUCUCUCUGAGUUCGUUUUGAUUAUGUAAUAUCUACGUACAGUGUGUAUUUUGAUUUUUGGCAGGCUUGUCAGGCAAGGCUGUAGUAACUUGGUAUGAGACGAACCUAGGCUAUGUUAAAUUGACUCUCCUUUGGAGAAUAGACCCUCAAAAAUACAUUGUCAUUCAGUAUAAUAUUUUUUUUUUUGAUCUAUAAUAACGUUUACAAAAACACCAAUGAAUACUAACUAACUUUUUACUCUGCCCCCUGAACGCUCAUCUUCUCAUAGUAGAGAGGCAAAUUUGAUUACAUCAUCCAGUGUAUCAAACAACUUACCAUCCAAAUCCAAACCAUUCUUUUGAUUGCUUUCUUUAUACGAAUUUGUGCUUUAGCUCAUGUUUUGUUCUUGGUUUUUCACUAAAUUAGCAGCUUAUAUGUAUUCUUCCUAUAAAGAACGUUCUCUCGGACUUUCUCUCAAGCAAGUACACGAGCAGGUCUACACGGUUGCGUGGCGUAACCUGAUAGACCCGUCUGUCAGUCUCAGUCUGCUUCGAAAUCAAUGAGGAGGGCAACUGGUGCAUAUAGUCUGCUUUCUGACUAUUAAAUAUGACCAGAGAAAUUUCCACACAUGAACUUAAUAUUGAUUAGGAAAGUUGUUUUGCUUUCGCUGUAAUGUAUAGUGAAUUUUUCUUUGUGUAAUAAAUAUACAGUUAAAUUAGCUUAAAGAAAAAUGAGAGGCUUUUGGAACUUAACGUGUACCAUUUCUCUUAUUCUUUCUAUAAUUUUCUUAUUCUGCUACAAUUAUGAGGACGUGUCUGCGGAUACUACUAGGCACUUGUGUCGUCCUGAUCAAAGGGAUGCACUUCUCCAUCUUCGAUUGGAAAUCUUUCUCAUCUCAUCUCACCUACCUUGACUUUUCUUCUACUCAAAUUUUGGGUCAGAUUCCAUCUUCUACUGGAAAUCUUUAUAAGCUCACUUAUCUUGACCUUUCUAACAACAAUAGCUAUGUUCUUUUGAUUAACGCAGCUUCUCGCGUCAGCGACUCCAAAUCUUAUGGUGGCUGCUUCGUGUGAAACGACGCGGACAAUGGUGAUGACAUAAAAAGUGUUGCCGUAAUAGUAAAAAAUAGUCGCCGCGUGAGUCGUAACUGACGCUACAAUUUUUAGCGAUCAAUUAUCAUCCCAAAACUAACGCUGCGUCUCUUAUAAUUAACUUCGGCAAAGUGGGUUUUCAGCAAUCUUGCUUUUAAAGUAACGGAAAUACAGAGCGAAAAAGAGACGCAGACGCUAACGCAGCGUUUAUCAAAAGAACAUGACUAUUGUUGGUGAUAUCCAAUCUUCUAUUGGCUAUCUAAACCAGCUGACCACCUUAAGUGUUUAUAAAAAUAAGCUCAAUGGAAGCUUGCCCAUUACACUACUGAAUCUGACAGAGUUGUCAUAUUUAGUACUCAGCGUCAAUCAGUUUACAGGAAUAGUUCCUCAUAACAUGUUACGUAUGAGGCUAGAAGGCCACCAAUACUGUACCAGUGCGAGAGGAGAAAGAAAGGCCCAGUUCAGAAAAAGUGACUAAGCACAAGAAGCAUCUAGAAGAAAUCAAUAAAAGAGGAGAAAGGAUGAAUCACAGCAACGGCCUUGGGCACGAGCACAUGGGUUGUCUGUGACGUGUCCCCUGCUUUUUCACUUUAUAAGUAGUAGUAAGGAAUAAUAGUUUGUGAUCGAGAGAGAGGAUCGAUCUGGUAGUGAUUGGAGAGAGAGUACUCCUGUCUAAAAACUCUAAAUCAUUGUAUUUGCUUGUUCUUUAAGGAGUCUUCAUAAAGUUCUUUACACGAUCGAGCUUUUACAAUACUAGUCGUAACAAACUUGGUAUCAGAGCAAGACGAACCUGAGGGCUUGUGAUGGGACCGAAGAAGAAUGACGACAAGGUAGCGGAGCAGAUCCAUCGCGAUGAUGACCGUAUCGUGGUGGUGGAGAGCAAGAUAUCUGCGGUGGAGGACCGAUUGAACGAGAUGAUGAAGUUCAUCGCCAGUGGGUUUGAGAGGAUCGAGCCGCGGAAGGAGGAUCAGACGGAGGGAAAGGAUCGGCGAGGAGAAGGGCUGAUACCCUCUGGUCUGACCUCCAACCCAGCCGGUGCUUCUAAACCUAUGGUGCUGCAAGGUGAAGGCUCGGGGAAGCAGAUCCUCGAAGAACCGAGAAGCAUCUCCGGAGUGAGGUCGACGGCGGCGUCAGGACCAGGAGCGGAUUCUGUCAACACCCAAACCUCAUACCGGAGUAUCUUGGGAGGCAAGGAAGAGUGGUUACCAAAGAGAUUGGAGAUCCCAACGUUUGACGGAGAAGAGCCGGAGAACUGGGUGUUACGUGUGGAACAUUAUUUUGAGUUGGGAGAUUUUACGGAGGAAGAAAAGUUGCGCGCCGUCAGGAUGUGUUUUAUCGGCGACGCGUUACCUUGGUACCGAUGGGAAAGGAGUCGGAAUCCGUUCCUGAGCUGGGAACAGAUGAAGACAAGGGUAUUGGAGCAGUUUUUGGCGGUGCGCGAUACGAGCGCCGGUGAGCAUAUCCUGUGUCCCCGACAGACCGGGACGGUGCGAAGCUUUCGCAGCGAGUUUAUCGCGUUAGCUUCCAACGCUCUGGGGAUUCCCGAUCCGAUCUUAGAGAUGGCUUUUAUGAACGGGUUGAAGCCUAAAAUAAAAGCGGGAGUGAGGAUGAUGAGUGUAAGAGGGUUAGAGAAGGUGAUGGACGCCGCGAAAUUGUUGGAGGACUGGUCCGAAGGAGGGGAGACGACGGAGGAGACGACAGAGACGUCGUCUAAGACUGGCCGUGUUACGAGUGGUUGUCAUCUAGCCCAAACAAAUAAACCGGCCCAAUCAACCGGUCAAAUCCCAAACCUUAACAAGGGAAGGCCCACUUUCAAUGGAACGACGGCGUCGAGCAAUACCCAGACGAAACCUAAUCACAAUCGAUUGAAACCAUCCUUUCGGCGGUUGACUCCGGCAGAGGUGGCGAAAUGGAAGGCGGAGGGGUUGUGUUACCGGUGCGACGAGAAGUACAUAUAUCCUCACCGUUGCGCCCAGCCCGAGGUGGUGGUCUUGAUGGUGCUGGAGGACGGAACAGAGAUAGAUGUGCUAAACUGUUCCGUCGAGUUAGAGGAAGAGGAGAUCGCAGAGGAAGUGGAAGUAGCAGCGAUUUCGAUCAGCUCCAUUGUGGGAAUCUCCUCAACUCAUACAAUCAAGCUCAAAGGAAAGUUGAUGGGAAGAGAAGUGGUGGUUUUGAUCGACAGCGGGGCCACCCACAAUUUCGUAUCGAAGGAGCUAGUGACACAGUUGAAGUUACAGACGGAUAGAACUCGCGGCUAUAGUGUGAUGACAGCCGGUGGAGUGACCUUCAAGGGAGCAGGGUUGUGUAGCGAGUUAGAGCUGGAGCUACAAGGUUGUACGAUCACCUCAAGUUUCCUACCAUUGGAAUUAGGAAGCGCUGAUGUCAUAUUAGGCAUUCAGUGGUUGGAAACACUCGGGAAUAUGAAGGUCAAUUGGAAGCUACAAAUUCUACGUUUCAAGGUGGGAUCGCAUAAGUAUGUCCUACAAGGAGAUCCCAGCCUCUGUUGUUCAGCGGCGUCUCUCAAAUCUAUUCUGAAGACGUUACAGCAGGACGGAGAGGUGAUGUUGAUUGAAUACAACGGGAUGCAGUUGGAGGGAGAAGAAUCCGGGAAAGCCUCUCAGAUUCCUCAGUCCUUACAAGACAUCUUGAAAGAGUUUACAGAGGUCUUUGAUGAACCUAGGGGGCUCCUUCCGUCAAGAGGAAAGGCGCACGCUAUUGAGUUGAAGAAGGAAGCAAGCCCCGUGAGCGUCAGGCCCUUUCGAUACCCUCAAGCUCAACGUGAGGAGAUUGAGAAACAAAUCGCAGCUAUACUCACUGCAGGGAUCAUCAGAGACAGUAACAGCCCAUUCUCGAGCCCUGUGCUGUUGGUGAAGAAGAAGGACGGAAGCUGGCGGUUCUGCGUUGAUUACCGCGCCCUUAACAAGGUCACCAUCGCAGACUGCUACCAUAUACCGAUGAUAGAUCAACUGCUGGAUGAGUUGCAAGGAGCAGUCGUCUUUUCGAAGUUGGAUUUGAAGUCAGGUUACCAUCAAAUUCUGGUGAAAGCGGAGGACGUGCAGAAGACAGCGUUCCGUACUCACGACGGCCACUAUGAGUUCCUAGUGUGCCGUUCGGACUGUCAAACGUACCAGCUACAUUCCAGUCGUUGAUGAAUGAGAUAUUCCGAAGCUAUUUAAGGAAAUUCGUCCUCGUCUUCUUUGACGACAUAUUAGUUUAUAGUAAGACAGAGAAGGAACACGCGGUGCAUCUCAGACUGGUGCUAGAGAAACUAAAGGCACAGAAGUUAUAUGCCAACCAAAAAAAGUGCGAAUUUGGGAGCUCUCGAAUAGAGUACUUGGGGCAUGUAAUCAGUAAGGAAGGAGUAGUAGCUGAUGAGGGGAAGAUUCAAGCCAUGACAAAUUGGACGACGCCAAGAACCGUGAAGGAGUUGCGCAGGUUCUUGGGUUUAACCGGGUACUAUCGGAAGUUUGUACAAAGCUAUGGAGAGAUUGCAAGACCUUUAACAUCAUUUCUCCGCAAGGACCAGUUCAGAUGGUCUGAAGGAGCGACGGGUGCUUUCCAACAGCUGAAGAGAGCCAUGACAACGGUACCGGUGCUUGCCUUGCCUGAUUUCAAGGAGCAGUUUGUAGUGGAAUCAGAUGCAUCGGGAGUGGGAUUGGGAGCGGUCUUGAUGCAGAAGCAGCGACCCAUCACGUACUUCAGUCAAGCACUGACAGAGAAGCAACAGCUGAAGUCAGUAUAUGAGAGGGAGUUAAUGGCUAUAGUCUUUGCCAUACAGAAGUGGGCGACAUUACUUACUCGGAAGAAAGUUUCUAGUAAGAACGGACCAGAAGAGUCUCAAGUUUUUAUUGGAGCAACGUGAAAUCAACAUGGAGUAUCAGAAAUGGCUGACGAAGAUUCUUGGUUUCGACUUCGACAUUCAUUACAAGCCCGGACUCGAGAAUAAAGCCGCAGACGGCCUUUCUCGAAAAAGUGCAAUACUAGAGUUAUUUGCAGUAUCGGUUCCAGUAUCUAUUCAGUUGGAGGAACUAGGUUCUGAGGUGGGGAGGGAUGAAGAGUUGUCUAAGAUAAUGGAAGACCUGUCUCGAGAUCUGAAUUCACAUCCUAACUACUCUAUGGUACAAGGGAGACUGCUGAGACAGGGGAAGCUUGUACUACCUAAGACGUCUCAGUUGAUUGGAGUUAUCUUGAAAGAAUACCACGACAGCAAGUAUGGGGGGCAUGGCGGAGUAUUAAAGACACAAAAACGCAUUGGAGCUUUGUUCUAUUGGCAGGGCAUGAUGACUGACAUCAGGAAGUAUGUGGCGUCAUGUCAGACUUGCCAACGACAGAAGUACUCCACGUUGGCACCGGGGGGGGGGGGGGGNNNNNNNNNNNNNNNNNNNNNNNNNNNNNNNNNNNNNNNNNNNNNNNNNNGGGGGGGGGGGGGGGGGGGGUCUCCUCCAGCCUCUACUGAUACCGUCCAACGUGUGGGAAGACAUUUCGCUUGAUUUCAUUGAGGGGCUGCCUAAGUCGGGAGGAGUCAACACUGUUCUCGUGGUGAUAGACCGUCUUACAAAGUAUGCUCACUUUGUGGGUCUCAGGCAUCCGUUCACUGCUGUUGAUGUGGCUAUGGUCUUCAUGCAGGAGAUAGUCAGACUACACGGGUUCCCUAAGACCAUAGUGUCAGAUCGUGACAGGAUAUUCACAGGGCAGUUUUGGAAGGAGCUGUUCCGUUUAGCAGGGACCAGUCUAUGCUUUUCAACGGCUUACCACCCACAGUCUGACGGACAGACCGAGGUUACCAAUAGGGGAUUAGAAACAUAUCUACGUUGCUUUGCGGGAGAGAAACCACGAACGUGGGCAAGCUACUUGCAGUGGGCGGAGUUUAGCUACAACACGUCGUUCCACUCUGCUAUUAAUAUGUCACCGUUCCAAGGCUUGUAUGGUAGAGAGCCACCUUCGCUGUUACAGUACGAGAAUGGCUCUACCAACAAUGCUGAGUUGGAAGCACGGCUGCAGGAGCGUGACGACAAUUUGGCAUUGCUUCGCCAACAGUUGUUGAAAGCUCAACAAACUAUGAAGGCAAGAGCAGAUGAGCACAGGAGGGAGGUGGAAUUUCAAGUAGGGGAUAAGGUCUUUGUGAAACUCAGGCCUUACAGAGAGAAGACGUUGGCUAAGAGAAUUAAUGAGAAGCUAUCGGCUCGCUUCUAUGGGCCGUACGAGAUAGAGAGACGCAUGGGGAAGGUGGCGUAUAAACUACGGUUACCAGCAGAGGCCCGCAUUUAUCCCACUGUUCAUGUUUCACAGCUAAAGAAAGCGGUGGGUGAGUCCUUCGAGUCAGUGACCCUGCCAUCACAGCUCACCGCUGACGGGGUAUUGGAGGUAGUUCCAGAGGCCGUGCGAGCUCACAGGUUCAACACCACGACAGGCCACGAAGAGUUGUUGAUCAAAUGGGUCGGGUUGACAGAAGCUGACUGCACGUGGGAAUGGAAGAGUAUGAUUGAGAAGCAGUUUCCAGAGCUUGACCUUGAGGACAAGAUCAGUUUCAAUGGAGGGAGUAAUGUUACGUAUGAGGCUAGAAGGCCACCAAUACUGUACCAGUACGAGAGGAGAAAGAAAGGCCCAGUUCAGAAAGAGUGACUAAGCACAAGAAGCAUCAAGAAGAAAUCAAUAAAAGAGGAGGAAGGAUGAAUCACAGCAACCGCCUUGGGCACGAGCACAUGGGUUGUCUGUGACGUGUCCCCUGCUUUUUCACUUUAUAAGUAGUAGUAAGGAAUAAUAGUUUGUGAUUGAGAGAGAGGAUCGAUCUGGUAGUGAUUGGAGAGAGAGUACUCCUGUGUAAAAACUCUAAAUCAUUGUAUUUGCUUGUUCUUUAAGGAAUCUUCAUAAAGUUCUUUACACGAUCGAGCUUUUACAAUACUAGUCGUAACAUAUCAUCACUUCACUAUCCAAAUUGAGAAUUUUCGAUGCAAGUAACAAUGCUUUCACUGGAACCCUGCCUUCUUCUCUCUUCACAAUUCCUUCUAUUGAUUACGUUAAUUUGUCUAAUAACCAACUCAACGGUAUUCUUGAGCUUGGGAAUAUAUCUUCACCAUCUAAGCUACAAGUGUUAAACGUUGGCAGAAACAACUUCACAGGGCCAAUUCCAAGCACGAUAUCCAAAUUUACCAACCUCGUACGGCUUGACCUUUUCCAUUACAAGCCACAAGGUCCAGUUGAUUUCAGUAUCUUCUCACAGCUCAAGCGGUCGAAUAUCUUGAUCUAUCCUAUUUGAACACGACCACCACUAUAGACCUGAGUGAUAUAUUGUCAUAUUUUAAGAGGCUCCGUCUGUUGUUUUUCUCAGGCAACCAUGUCUCAGCCACAAACAAGAGUCCAGUUUCAGUUCCCCCUUUGCUGUAUGAGUUGCACUUGUCAGGCUGCGGUAUCAACGAGUUUCCGGAGUGGAGUUCGCAAGAAACAAACAUAUGUCGGUUCUAAACAUUUCCAACAAUAAAAUCAAAGGUCAAGUGCCUGGCUGGUUAUGGAGGCUACCAGAUCUGACUUACCUGAAUCUUUCCAACAACAGUUUCAAGAGUGUCUACAUUGCGCAUAUCUUCUUCCUGAUCCACCACUUUUUUAUCUGAUUUUAUUUGCAAUCAGAUUCCAGUUUUUGAAACUGUUUUUUUUUUGUCAAAUAAGUGAGUUCACAUUAAAGGAGAAAGAUUUGUAAGUUACAAAAUGUUGUAGCUAUUAAGGAUUUCCUUGGCAAAAAAAAAGAUAAUAAAAGGAAAGCCCAUAGUUGAAUGAAAAAUAGUUAGAGAAGCCAUUCAUGUCGUAACCAAAUUUGAUGAGAUACAUGAAUGGUAUCCUCUUUCUUUUGCCUAGGAUGAUGUCACCUACAGUCAUGUCAAUAAUUUUGAAGACCAUCGUUGUUAGCGCUUGUUUCUUUUGGUCCAAAUAUUACAAAUUGUAGCAUGUGUAGCAAUGCGCUUAAGGGUUCGGGAGCAUGAGUCCUUCAAUGAAAGCCAAUCAGGGAAAGCAUUCCAGAUUUCUCAGAGACCUAUGAUGAGAAUCCCAACGUUUGUAACCUAUCCUUUGAAGAACCAAAUCCCAUAUUUCUCAGAGACGUAAAUUGGAGACGAUAAUUAGCGAUUUAAGUGAAUCAUUGCAAGUGUUUGGUGAACAGUUACAACUUCUUAAAUGAAAAAUUGCAAUUGUUGGUGAAUGUAAUUAUAGUGAUGAACCAUUGCAUUUCUUGGUAGUUGUAGUUUUUUGGUGAUAAAUCAUUGCAAUUUUGGUGUAAACCAACCAUUGCAAUCCUUAAUCCUCUAUAUAAAGAGUUAUGGACAUUGACAAAGCAUAUCAAUCACAAAUAGACUAGAAAAAUGAGAGAUUCAUAGUCAAAAGAUCAUCAAAAGUAAUGAUAUGCUUUUAUGUGUCUUUUUCAUUUAAAAUAUUUUUUUACUGAUAUGUUUUUGGUUAUUUUCUCACUUUCACUUAUAUUAUACUUUUUUAAAAUCUAUGGAAAGUUUAUGGAUAUGUUUUUCUCUCUUUUGUGACACAUAAACUUCUUUGAAAACAAAAAUAAGAUACUUUAUAUAAAAUAUCAUAAAUUAUACAAGUGGCAAAUAUUUUUUAAAAUAAAAGUAGUUAACAAUAAUAACCUAAAACAUGCAUACAAAUUUCAAUAUGUGUGCAUUUACCAAUUGAUUAUAUUCUUUUAGUUGCGGUCUAUUUUUUAUGUAACAAUUGAAUAGUUUAUGAGUAUUUAUUUUCAUAAUUCUCAAUUUUAUCUCUAUUUGAUCAAAUUUUAUUUUAUUUUACAUGCAAAAGAUGAAUUUAUUCAAGGAUUUUUCUGUUGAAUAGAUGCAUCCUUUAAAAUACUUAAAAUGUUGUAAAAAUGUAUCCUUUCAGAAAAUUAAUAUUUUUAUAUUUAAAUUAUAUUUCAGAUAAAAGUUGAUCUGUUUAUAUGGGUGUAUCUUUGCCUUUUGAUUAAAUGAAUUGAAAUAUGUUUUAGACUCAUUGAUAAAGACAUAUUUAAAAUAAAUAGAUUUGCAUAUAUUAACAUAUUAUAAAAACAUAAAAUUUGAAAGAUGAUGAAAUUAUGUUUUAAAAAUCAUAUUUUUUUGUUCAUACCUUUUGAAAACGAUACAAAUGGAAAUAAAUAAAUAUAUAUUAAUUAUGAAAUAUUGAUACAAAAAAACUUGGAAAUAAAUAAUGUAAAUACUUUAAAGACUCAACAUAAUUGAAUAUAUUUUUAGGACCAAAAUAAGUUGAAUAAUUUUUAUACAUUUAUAAUAUUUUCUAGUACAGUAGUAAAUAUUUAUUUUUAUAAAAUGAGUUUCCGUGGGACAUCGCAUGGAUUCCUUACCUAGUAUACACAGUAACAGACUGUGUAUUUAUUCCACAAAGAAAAAUCCACGGAGAAAAAUCCAUGGUGAAAAAUCAAAUAUUCAUCACAUAACCAGGACGAGUUAGUUUGGUGGUAAACGGUUUGCGGCUGCAAGUACGGUCCCGGGUUCAACUCGCACUGGCCACCAGGAAAUUUACAUGCGGACUUGCUCUGGCGCCCGAGACCGAAGACCGUUGCCUGGCCAUGACCCACCCUCGGGUGUGCGUCCGCGCCGCUAAAGGUUCGGUCUCUAGUCGGACCACCACGGUGGGGCUAGGACACUCGGUUAUAAAAAAAAAAAAAAAAAAAAUUCAUCACAUCGGCAGCAAUAUCUUUGUGUCGAAUAGGGGCCCCCGGUUAAAAAAAAAAAAAAAAAAAAAAAUUCAUCACAUCGGCAGCAAUAUCUUUGUGUCGAAUAGUCAAGUUUCCACACAUAUUGGUCCCCUACACUAAUAAUUAAAUGAAUUUUCAAAAAAUAAUUGUCCACACGACCAAACCAAAUAAAAGUAUUUACGAAGUCUUUUGGAUUAAACUAAUUAACGUUUACGAGACCCAUGCAUAUAAUGUAGUCUUUCGUUGUGAUUUUUUUUGUGUGGACGAGUCUUUUUGCUGGACAGUUUUGGUAACACCUAAAUAGGACCAUGUCCAAAUUAGACCAUACCCAAAAAAGAUUAUGAUCAGUUGGGUUGUCCAUGAGGUCCAGACGCUCAUUUAGUAUAAAUAAGUUAAUUUUUAUUGUAAAAGAUGGAAAUAUACUAAAUUUCGUAUAUAUUAUAGACUUAAACUUUAUUAUUUUGCAAUUUAAAUUUUUACGAGAAAAUUUGAUUUUGAGAUUUUUGUGAUUUUGAUGAAAAAUAUGACUUUCAGUUUCCAUAAAACGUGAUUUUGCGGUUUUGACCGAGAAAAAUGUAAUUUUAAGGAAAAUUGCGUUUGCAGUUUUGGCGAAAAACACGAUUUUAUGGUUUUGAUGGAGAAAAUACAAUUUUACGGGAAAAAUAUGAUUUUUCGGUUUUGGCGAAAACUCGAUUUUAUGAUUUUGGUAAGACAAAUUAAAAUUGUACUUUUUUCCUAAUUUUCUAAACCUAGAUAUUUUAGCUAUUUGGGCUGUCCAGUGUCCAGAUGGUCAAAACCGCAAAAUCACGUUUUCCGGAAACCGAAAGUCAUAUUUUUCACCAAAAUCACAAAAAUCUCAAAAUCAAAUUUUCUUGUAAAAAUUCAAAUUGCAAAAUAAUAAAGUUUAAGUCUAUAAUAUAUAUGAAAUUUAGUAUAUUUCCAUCUUUUACAAUAAAAAUUAACUUAUUUAUAUUAAAUGGGCAUCUGGACGGCAUGGACAACCCAACUGAUCAUGGUUUUUUUUUGGUAUGGUCUUAUUUGGACAUGGUCCUAUUUAGGUGUCGACCAAAACUGUCCAGCAAAAAGACACGUCCAUAUGGACACGCCCAAAUAGGCCCAACCCGCCCAUUUGACAUCUCUACCUACGAAGCUACCUUUUGUCUCAAGAAUCCUGUUUACGGUUGCAUGAGCCAUAGCUUCUCCGCAGAAGAAGAUGCUUGAGCUUCAACAUGAUAUAGCCCUUGCUCGCUCUAGACUACUUGUCCAUUAUUUGCCAAGUGAUUUCACACAUGUUUUCUUUACAAUCAUUUUCACUAAAAAAAUAUGACAUGACAUACUAAAAUUGAUGAUAUGAUGUAUGGUUAAAAGUGACAUAGACAACUACAUUUAAUGUUAAUUUUAAUUUUUGUUAACUUUUGAUAAUAUGGUAAUAAUUCAUAAAUCAUCAUUAAAAUAAAUAUAUUCAAAUAUUUCAUUAAAAAUACGAUAAGAAAGAUAUAAAAUAUUUUUAAAAUUUCGAAAUAUUAUUUAAAUAUAUUUUUAUAAUCAUAAGAGUUUUAUUAUUAAAUAAUAUUUUCAAAAUUUUAUACAACCUUUUUAAAAAAAAUUAAAUUUUUAAUUGUAAUAUUCAUUUGUUUAUUUUUGAUAUCUACAAAUUUUAGAAAUUCUUUUAGUUUAAUAUUUUGAUAAUUAUAAAAAAUUUAUAUCAAUUUUACUUUACACAAGUUAAUUUAAUAUAUCUUAACCAAAAUAAAUAAAUGAAAUAUAUCUAAAUUAUAAUUUUAAAUAUAACUUAAAUCUAAUUUUAAAUAAAUCAGAAUAUUUAUUUUAUCUUAAUUCUAUAAAGGGUCUCGUAAACGUUAGUUUAAUCCAAAAGACUUCGUAAAUACUUUUAUGGGAAAUUUGCCAAAUAUGACUCAUAACUUGAUUUCAAACACAAAGGUAAACCCAAACUUGAAUCAAAUGCAAAAGUAACCUAAAAGACUAUUGAAAUUACAACCAGCCCCUUGUGAACAAACAAAAAAACCGAUUUGUUUUUACUUUUCUAACCCCCGUAAGUCGCCUGGAAUAUUUUUUAAGUGAAAAAUUGAAAUCAUGUAAUUAACAUAUGUUUUAAGAGAUAUAAAUUAAGUUAUAACAAAAUUUAAUUGUUUUCAACAUAGUUGAGUGAAAGUAGUGAGUCAUGAUAUUCUUUGGUUUAGGUUUUGCCAAAAUAUGUUGUAGUAUUGUAUGUGUUCUUAUGGUUAGAUUUUGGAAUGCAUAAAUGUUUUUUUGAAAACUUUAAAAUUUACCUAAGUGUGUUUAUUUCUGUGUAUAGUAAACACUAUUUAAGUAUAACUACGGCUUAAUAACGUGGUUAGUUAGUUAAUUUAGUCAAUUUAGUUUAGGGGUUAAAUUUAGGGUCUGAGAAGUAAGUCGUCUGAUGUACAAUAUUCAACAGACGACUUACUAGUAAGUCGUCCAAACCGGACCGAACCUUUAAUUUUACAAUGUACUUUUAAACCUAACCGAAUUAUUUACCGGCCAUAUAUAAGGUGUUUUUUUUUAUUCACUGUUUCGCGAAAAUCAGAAAACCCUAACGCCGUUUCUCUCAAAGGCGAUUUCGAAGGCGAUUUUUGUCGAUUCUCUCUAAUCCAUCGUUCUCACCGCCGGUUAUCUCUCCGCCGUUAUCACCGUCGUUCUCACCACCGUUCUCACAGCCGCUUCCUCUAUUUAAGAUCCGAGAGGAAACCCUAGCGCGCAUUCUCUCAGAGGCGUCUCGUUGAACUCCGCCGCGGGUAAAUUAUAUCUCUUACUGUCGAGUGAUUGAUUGAGGAAAAGAUGAACAUAAAACUGGAAGUCUUGGAAGACUUAUAAUUAAGUCGUCUGCAGGAAGACUUUCCAGGCGACUUAAUUAUAAGUCUUUCAGCUGGAAAACUUGCGAGACGACUUAAUUAUAAGUCUUUGAUUGUUUGAGAUGGUUGUCUUUGAUUGUUUUGCAGACAAAAAAAAUGGAAAUGCCAGAACUCCCCCGUAGGAUAUAUAUAUUAGGGGAAGAGCCCCCAGCAGUGCAUAACAUUUCGUAUCAUACUUGUUGGACGUUGCAUGCUGCUUUAAAGAAAGCUCUUCAUGAUGACGAAUAUGAAGAGCUAAAGGAGUCGAAGUUGGGAGUUUUCAUCAAGUUCCAAGAGCUGGGAUUUGAUCGGGCUUCAAGGCUGGUUCACUACAUGCUCAGUUUCCAGCUGGACAUAAAGAAGAAGUAUGAGCUGUGGAGUCUCGUUGGUCCACAACCUGUGAGGUUUUCACUGUUAGAGUUUGAAAACCUCACUGGUCUAAACUGCGAGUACAUCGAGGUCCUUGAGAGACCUCACUGUGUUGUUACAAAGGAGUUGACUUCUUUUUGGGAGAUGUUGGGAGUUCAUGUCGAAGCUGAGCCAUCUACUCAGGAGAUAAUAGCAACAUUUGAGAGAUGCGAAGGGUGGUCUCGGGAUGAUCGCAAGCGGCUCGCGUACCUUGCCAUCUUCACUGGAUACAUUGAAGGGAGAAAGUAUUCAACCCCUACACGGGUUAGUCCGGCAAGGCUAGUGAUGGAGCUAGAACAGUUUGAGAAUUAUCCAUUGGGGAGAGUCGCGUUUAAAGUGCUGAUGGACUUUGUGAAGGGCAGAGAUAUUUCGGGUUGUUACACUAUUAAUGGGUUUUCACAAGCUCUCCAGGUCUGGGUGUACACAACUCUUCCGGAAUUGGGUGAUACUUAUGGUAAUCCUCUCCCAAACAAUCCGUCUCCCCGAUACUGGCUUACAAGGGUCGCAAAGGACGCAUACAGUUUAAAGAGGCUAUCCUCAGUCAGGUAUUUACUUCAAUCUGGACGACUUCACAGAAGACUUAUAAUUAAGUCGUCUGAUAAGUCUUUCAACUGGACGACUUAGUAGAAGAUUUGUAAUUAAGUCGUCUGGAAAGUCUUCCAGCUGGAAGACUUUCCAGACAACUUAAUUAUAAGUUGUCUACUAAGUCGUCCAACUGGAAGACUUUCCAGAUGACUUAAUUAUAAGUCGUCUGCGAAGUCUUUUCUUUCCAUCUUUCUUACAACUGGAAGACUUUCCAGACGACUUAAUUAUAAGCCGUCUGCGAAGUCUUUUCUUUCCUUCUUUCUUUAUCCGUCAAAUAUCUAAGUUCAUAUCUUCUAUUUACUGCAGACUAGGGUGAUCAACUUUGUUCAGAAGGACAUUGGUCAAAUGUUUCCAAAAUGGGAGCUUGAUGUUGAGGACACGCCCGCGGAAAACAUAAUUGAACUCAUGUUUGUGAAGAAACCGUGGAAGUGGACCAUAGAUUACUGGGAAGUCACCGGUACUUGGGUCAAUACAAAGUCGGCGGUCGUGAGUCCAGCGAAGAAAAAGGUAGUGAAGGAAGACAAUCCAAGACCUCGGAAGAAAGCUCGUAAAGAGGCACCUGCAGAAGCUAGUGAAGAGGCAGCUGCAGAGGCUGGUGAAGAGGCAGCUGCAGAGGCUAGUGAAGAGGUGACUACGACUGUUGGUGGGUUGACCAAAGAGGAUAUUAAAACCAUGUUCAAGGACAUAGCUGAUGCCAUGAGGGAAGGGUUUGAGACGUGUCUUAAGGAGAUCAAGUAUCUGUCGGAAAGGGUGGAAGCUGUGGAGAAGAAGGUUGGUAUCACCACAAAACGGAAAAGGACAUCAUCUCAAAACACUACCUCUCCACCUAAACCGACGCUCAAACCCGGGGUUAGUAACAAAUCCUCUCCCAACAAGAGAUUGACUAGACAAAGUCUUAAGAAUAAGAACUGAAAAGUUGCAUUUGCUUUGUUUCUUGUAUGUCAGAACAUGUGUGCUUUGUUUAUAGUGUAUGGAUUUUAUAUAUGUAUUUUGUUUCAUGUUUGAAGACACUCAUUGGUUAUUAUUGUUUGAAAUGAAUCUUUGGUUAUUAUUGUAUAAACUCAUCUUGUAUAUUGCAGAGUGAAAGUGUUAAUGGGACGAACGCGGGAAGGAAGAGCUUGGCGGAGGAUAAAGGUCCAAACGUGCCCGCAGCUGUGCCCGCAGAUGCUAGUUCCUCGAAAGAUAAAACUCCAGAACCGAGCCUUGUUCUAUUGGACAAAAAUCAACCCACAAUUUCGGAUUUACAGAAGGAGGAUGCUAGAUAUCAGGAAAAGGGGGAUGCUGCUUUCGCACUUUGCCGUGCAAGCUGGACAUAAAGAAGAAGUAUGAGCUGUGGAGUCUCGUUGGUCCACAACCUGUGAGGUUUUCACUAUUAGAGUUUGAAAACCUCACUGGUCUAAACUGCGAGUACAUCAAGGACCUUGAGAGACCUCACUGUGUUGUUACAAAGGAGUUGACUUCUUUUUGGGAGAUGUUGGGAGUUCAUGUCGAAGCUGGGCCUUCUACUCAGGAGAUAAUAGCAGCAUUUGAGAGAUGCGAAGGGUGGUCUCGGGAUGAUCGCAAGCGGCUCGCGUACCUUGCCAUCUUCACUGGAUACAUUGAAGGGAGAAAGUAUUCAACCCCUACACGGGUUAGCUUGGCAAGGCUAGUGAUGGAGCUAGAACGGUUUGAGAAUUAUCCAUUGGGGAGAGUCGCGUUUAAGGUGCUGAUGGACUCUGUGAAGGGCAGAGAUAUUUCGGGUUGUUACACUAUUAAUGGGUUUGUGCAAGCUCUCCAGGUCUGUGUACACAGCUCUUCCGGAAUUGGGUGCUACUUAUGGUAAUCCUCUCCCAAACAAUCCGUCUCCACCGAUACUGGCUUACAAGGGUCGCAAAGGAGGCAUACAGUUUAAAGAGGCUAUCAUCAGUCAGGUAUUUACUUCAAUCUGGACGACUUUGCAGAAGACUUAUAAUUAAGUCGUCUGAUAAGUCUUCCAACUGGACGACUUAGUAGAAGACUUAUAAUUAAGUCGUCUGGAAAGUCUUCCAGCUGGAUGACUUAGUAGAAGACUUAUAAUUAAGUCGUCUGGGAAGACUAUCCAGACUACUUAAUUAUAAGUCUUCUACUAAGUCUUCCAGCAGGAAAACUUUCCAGACGACUUAAUUAUAAGUCGUCUACUAAGUCGUCCAACUGGAAGACUUUCCAGACGACUUAAUUAUAAGUCGUCUACUAAGUCGUCCAACUGGAAGACUUUCCAGACGACUUAAUUAUAAGCCGUCUGCGAAGUCUUUUCUUUCCUUCUUUCUUUAUCCGUCAAAUAUCUAAGUUCAUAUCUUCUAUUUACUGCAGACUAGGGUGAUCAACUUUGUUCAGAAGGACAUUGGUCAAAUGUUUCCAAAAAGGGAGUUUGAUGUUGAGGACAUGCCCGCGGAGAACAUAAUUAAACUCAUGUUUGUGAAGAAACCGUGGAAGUGGACCAUGGAUUGCUGGAAAGUCACCGGUACUUGGGUCAGUACAAAAUCGGCGGUUGUGAGUCCAGCGAAGAAAAAAGUAGUGAAGGAAGACAAUCCAAGACCUCAAAAGAAAGCUCGUAAAGAGGCACCUGCAGAGGCUAGUGAAGAGGCAGCUGCAAAGGCUAGUGAAGAGGUGACUAUGACUGUCGGUGGGUUGACCAAAGAGGAUAUUAAAACCAUGUUCAAGGACAUAGCUGAUGCCAUGAGGGAAGGGUUUGAGACGUGUCUUAAGGAGAUCAAGUAUCUGUCGGAAAUGGUGGAAGCUGUGGAGAAGAAGGUUGGUAUCACCACAAAACGGAAAGGGACAUCAUCUCAAAACACUACCUCUCCACCUAAACCGACGCUCAAACCCGGGGUUAGUAACGAAUCCUCUCCCAACAAGAGAUUGACUAGACAAAGUCUUAAGAAUAAGAACUGAAAAGUUGCAUUUGCUUUGUUUCUUGUAUGUCAGAACAUGUGUGCUUUGUUUAUAGUGUAUGGAUUUUAUAUAUGUAUUUUGUUUCAUGUUUCAAGACACUCAUUGGUUAUUAUUGUUUGAAAUGGAUCUUUGGUUUUUAUUGUAUAAACCCAUCUUGUAUAUUGCAGAGUGAAAGUGUUAAUGGGACGAACGCGAGAAGGAAGAGCUUGGCGGAGGAUAAAGGUCCAGAUGUGCCCUCAGCUGUGCCCGCAGAUGCUAGUUCCUCGAAAGAUAAAACUCCAGAACCGAGCCUUGUUCUAUUGGACAAAAAACAACCCACUGUUUCGGAUUUACAGAAGGAGGAUGCUAGAUAUCAGGAAAAGAGGGAUGCUGCUUUCACACAUUGCCGUGCAAAGAGUGAUCGAACAAGGAAACUUGAUGCCUCACAGCAAUCUCCUUAUACGGCAAACUGCACGGCCAGAGUGAUCAUUCCAAACAAAAAGCUUUAUCCAGGCUAUAAUCCUUUUGCACCAAUUGACAAGAAGAAGUUGAAGGAGCUCGCUGAUUGGUUGAAAACUUUUCCGUAAGUGUUUGCUUUUCCCAUGAUAGCUUGCUUUUCCCAUAAUAGCUUGCUUUAGUCUACAAAAACUGAUUGCUUUUCAACAUUUUGUGUUUGCAGUCAUUAUAGAACACAUCUCGAUAAAAAACCACGAAAAAGUAGAACUUGGUGGUAUCAAAUCCCCCGAACCUCCUUAGAUUGGCUGGAGGACUGUGUAAGUCUUCUGCUAUGACUUAGAUGACUUACUGAUUAGUCUUCUUUGUAGACGACUUUCCAAUAAGUCAUCUGGUAAGUCGUCUACGUACACGACUUACCAGACGACUUAAUUCGUCCAUGAAUUACUUGUAAGUCGUCUACGUAGAAGACUUACCAGUAAGUCGUCUGAUAUCUUCUGAUUUGUACCCUAUUUUAUAUGCAGCAUAUUGAUGCUUGGAUUAAUGUGUUGAGGAAGAGGUACAACGCUAACCAACAUCAUUUCAGGAGCGAGAGAAUGUGCUUCCUUGAUCAUCUCUUUGCUCAGCAAUGGAGAUUCAACUUCAAGGAUUUUAAGGACUCGAAGCCCGAUCAGAACGGUUUAGGAAGAAGACUCCCUGGUGGGGUGGAAUUAUUAUGCAGGCACUAUACCAUCAUUUUGCCAAUCAAACAAGGUUUGGGGGACGAAUAUUGAUGAUAUCUAUGUGCCAGUGAACUAUGCCGACACUCAUUGGAUUGCUAUGUGGAUAUUGAUCCCUAAGAGGCACAUAGUCGUCUUUGACAACAUUUGUUCCAGUAUCUCCCCAGAAGAACUUGAUGUGGUAAUGGAGCAUUUUCUCUACAUGGUCCCUUAUCUGCUUGUUGAGUGCGUUUCCUCAGACGAACUACGUGCCCAAUACAGCCUGGAGCCAUUCACAUAUGAGAGACCGACCAAUAUACCUCCGGCCCGAGCUGGUGAUUGUGGUGUGUACACUCUAAAGUACAUUGAAUGUCAUGCUCUUGGGAUAGAGUUUAGUAAAAAAGACUUUGCUAAGGCCAACGGGAAGACUAUGAGGGAUAAGAUGGCGGUUGAUAUAUUUCAAGAGCUUCCUGAUGCGCAUGAGUUCGAAAACAAGGACAAUGAUGCCAACCUGGGUGUGUAUGAGGGGUGAUAAAUAGGCUACGUUAGAUUAUUUUGUAUGAUAGAUUAGGCUGAUGUGUGUAUUUGAACUUGAUUGCUAUUUUGUAUUUGAACUUGAUCCCUAUUUUGUAACUAUAUUCUGCGCAGAAGACUUACAGUUAAGUCGUCUAGAAUGUUGGACGACUUAACUAUAAGUAGUCUGGAAAAUCUUCUGAGCAGUGACCUUUUGUAACUAUAUUUCGGAUAAUAUAAAGGGCAAGACCAUCUCAAAUUUGUUUGGUAGUGCAAUUUGACAAAGAAGUUGACACAGAUAAGUUCAUAACACAAAAUUUUAAUAUAUAGACUAAACACUGGACGACUAACUGGAUGACCUUCUGGACGACUUAAUUGAAGGUCUUCGGGAAGACUAAACACUAGACGACUAACUUGAAGGUCUUCUGGAAGAAAAAACCCUGGACGACUAACUGGACGACCUUCUGGACGACUUAAUUGAAGGUCUUCUGGAAGACUAAACACUGGACGAAUAACUUGAAGGUCUUCUGGAAGAAAAAACCCUGGACGACUAACUAGACGACCUUCUGGACGACUUAAUUGAAGGUCUUCUGGAAGACUAAACACUGGACGACUUACUUGAAGGUCUUCUGGAAGAAAAAACCCUGAACGACUAACUGGAUGACCUUCUGGACGACUUAAUUGAAGGUCUUCUGGAAGACUAAACACUGGACGACUUACAUUGUGGUUUCGUAUGGCCAGUUCCUUGCAUUUUGAGCAUCUAUAAACCCUGUGUUGCUUCCGGGGUUUGCGUCCUCUCAUCCUGGAUAGCUCCAACCAAGAUUGCCAUCUUGAUUUCUUCUGUCUUCCCAGACCACGCUUUACAUCCGGAGGAAAGCAUGUGCGUUCCUCAACUUGUUGUCCAACACAAGCAUAUAUAUUCUCUGAGUAUCCUGCAAACAGAAAAUCCUUUGAGUACACUGGACAUACAAGUGUGGAGAUAUGCAAACCAGCAGAUGUUCCAGCAGCUAUAGCAUGAGAGCAAGGUAUUUUUUCCACUGCAUAGACACCACAAUCACACUUUCCAUGUUCCAAAUCAACCACACAGUCCAUUUUGCCACUUUUCACAAAGAAUCACCAUCCAUCAAUUGGUUGUACCGUCAUCAUAUCCGCUAUCUCCGAUCGAACAACAAGCAAGUAUUCAACACCUCGACUAUGUUGAGUUGGGAGACUCAAAGCAUCUUCUCUCCUUUUCCAAAACCACUUUCCUAGCUUCUCCCUUAUGAACUCCAACAGGAACUGAACCGGAAAUCCUUUAGCUCGCUUCAGAGCAGAAUUAAUAGAUUCAACGAUGUUGCUUGUCUUUAUGUUGUACCUGUCCCCCUGACAAUAAACCCUUGACCAUAGGCUGACGUCGGCACUCUCCAAAUACGUUGCAAGGUCCGGGUUUGCACUCCGUAUCUCAGCCAUGUACCGGUCAAAAUCUGAAACCGUAUGAGCAUAAGCAACACCUUUCACCAAGUACAAGAGAUGUUUCCCUUUAUACUUUUUGACAAUGUUCUCUUGAAGGUGAUAAUAACAUAUUCCUCGGGUUGCCCAAGGAAACACCUUAUCACACGCACUUUUAAUGGCCGCGUGCCGGUUGGAGACUAUCACCAGAGGCUGCUCAUCAGAUACACAACAAGCCAAUUUUGUGAAAAAUCAUUCCCAAGAAGGUUCAUCUUCAGCAUCUAUGAUCCCAAAAGCCAAUGGAAAUAUCUGAAAAUUCUCAUCUUGUACGGCUGCAACCAACAUAACACCUCCAUACUUCCCACUUAGGUGAGUCCCAUCCACCACAAUGACCAUUCUUUGAUACUUAAAACCUUUGAUAGAAGCUCUAAAAGAGAAAUAUAUACUUAAAUCUAUUGAUAGGAUCAAGUUCUAUAGCCGUGAUAGAAUCGGGAUUUGCUAAGGAGAUUAGCUCGAGAUAUGAUGGCAGACGCGAAUACCCAUCUUCUGCUGAUCCUCUCACCAAUGUUUGUGCAUAUAAAAGUGCUCUGUAUGAAGUGGUGUAAUCACGCGUCAUGCCAAACAUGUUCUUCAUUGCAUCAGUGAUAUGCUGCGGAUUCAACCCAUCAAUGAUUCCAACACGAUCAAUGAAAAGCCUACCAACAUACUUCAGAGUACAGUGUCUCCGCUGAGCGAAUCGGUCUCCCACUGAGCAUGUAUGUUUUUCCACAUACUUUGUUACCCAAAACGUGUUUGUCCCAUGUUUCACACUCGCUCUGACUUUCCACUGACAACCACUAACCGGACAUGUUGUCACAAGGAGAGUUUUCGUUGACUUGUAUAUUCUGAAGGAGAACCCAAACCUCACUGCUGUCAACCGCAGCUCUGAAAUCAGUGCAUCCUUGCUAACAAAACUCUAAUUGACAUAGAUAGUGUUACCAUUCGAUCUUCCUCCUUCAAUCUUUUUGAUAUCUUCAAAACACAUAUCAUCAUCUUCCUCAUCCUCAUCUUCAACCUUUCCAUAAACACUGUAAUCCUAACCAUUCUCGUCCGUUUCAGCAACAAUAGAGAUACCAACAUCCUCCUCCCCAUCGUCCUCCUCCCCAUCAUCCUCCUCCCCAUCAUGAUUUUCAUCUUCAACCAAAUCAUCAUCAUCAUCAUCAUCAUCUUCAAAACAUUCAUCAGCUUCAUCAUCUUCUUCCCUGAACUAUGAAACCGUUUCCACCUUGCUACGGCUUGAUACACAAAGCUGUACUCCAUGUGUUUUGGUUAUCUCGAGCAAGUUUCGAACUUUUCUAUCACUUGUAACAUGAAUAGGAGGGGUGUCUGGAGCCUGCAUCAUUUCUGCUGAUAAUGAGUAGUAGGUUAUCUCCACAGAUUCUGUGCUCAUGUCCAGGUUAUAAUCUUCUUGAGCCAUUGCAAGAAGUUCAACAUGUGUCGACAUGCUCCUUCCCCAAAAAAAAUGAUUCUCGCUCCUUUGACAUUAUCAACCACAAAAUUCCAACGGCAGUCUUUCAACAACCAUUCUCCAUACACUGCAUGUAACUGACGCAUCAUCUACAAAAAUUAAAAAUAAAACACAUUAGUAAACAUAGAGAAAAUGAAAGUUUACUAAACAUUGACGCAGACGACAUACCAGUAAGUCGUCUGGAAGACUUACCAGUAAGUCGUCCAAACAGGUCAUUUUUGAAAUUGAAUUUUAAAUAGGACGAUUUACAAGUAAGUCGUCCAGUUUUGUUUGUUAAAAAAAACCCCUAUUUUAUUAAACGGGUUAGUUUUGCAUUUGACUGAAUUGUGUCAGAUAUUUGACUUUUUCUGGACGACUUACCAGUAAGUCGUCUCCGGGAAAACAAAAAUUUCAAUAUUUUAUUAAAGCUAGACAACUUAUUUGUAAGUCUUCUCAGGUUAGUUUGCAAUUCGAAAAAGAAACUUAAAUAUUUUAGUUUACCCAGACGACUUACUUGAAAGUCGUCCAGGCAGACAACGUACGAGAAAGUCGUCCGAGAUAAGCAAGGUUUGACCAUAAUCUAGGAAAUAAAUCUGGACGACUUUGCUUAUCCUGGACGACUUUCAAGUAAGUCGUCUUACUUGACGACUUCCGCAUAAGUCGUCUGGGAAAAGUUAAAUAUUUAAGUUUUAUUUUCCAAUUGCAAAAGUAACUUGAGACGACUUACAGAUAACUCGUCCAUCUUUUAUAAAAUAUUGAAAAUUUUGUUUUCUCGGAGACGACUUACUGGUAAGUCGUCCAGGAAAAAUCAAAUAUCUGACACAAUUCGGUCAAAUGCAAAACUAACUCGUUUAUCCUAGACGACUUAUCAGUAAGUCGUCUAGGGUAUUGUCUAGGAUUUUUUUUAACAAACAAAGAUCACGACUAAAAAUUAAGUCGUCCGUUUGACCAGAAGACUUACCCGUAAGUCUUCUACAGCCAGACUACUUACGGGUAAGUCCUCUACACAAACAGAUCUAGAAAGAAUUUCAAUUUCAUACCUUAAACUAGUGAGAUGACUUCCUUAUCACACAGAGUCUUCUCCAACCACCCAGAAUCUCAAACGAAAGUAACCCACCAAGAAUAGUAUGCUUGAAUGACUUUAUCAACCAUAAAAAAAAUUUGAAUCAAAAGCUUGAGUUUUUUGGAUGAAUAUGGAAGCAAAGUGAAAGAGAUGUUAUUUUUAGUUCAUAACAAGUGAGAAAGAGAGAGUGUAAAUCGAUUUUAGGUGCAUUAAGAACUUGAAAUUGGUUGUUCAUGGUGGUUGGGGUAUUGAUGACAAUGACAAUCUUGUAAUUACUUGAAAAUGAUGAGGGUGAGAGAGUAAAAAUGUCAUUUUCGGAAAAAAUAAAUAAAAAAAUUUGAUGGGGUGAAUAGGACAAAAAAAAUCUAAGAAAAGCAUGAGUUAGUUUUAGGUUUGACUUUAAGUUUUGAGUCAAUUUGAAAAAAAAACCCUACUUUUAUUUGGUUCGGUCGUGUGGACAAUUAUUUUUUGAAAAUUCAUUUAAUUAUUAGUGUAGGGGACCAAUAUGUGUGGAAACUUGACUAUUCGACACAAAGAUAUUGCUUUUGAUGUGAUGAAUAUUUGAUUUUUCACCAUGGAUUUUUCUCCGUGGAUUUUUCUUUGUGGAAUAAAUACACAGUCUGUUAUUAUGUAUAUAAACAGAUGGACAUGGAAGCAAUGUUACUCAUCACCAAUUUUCUUUUUGUUAUUGCUCUUUCAAUUUUGAUAUUCAGGAAUGAAAGGUUUUCGGAGCUUAACGAGUACCAGUUUUCUUACUCUUUUUAUACUUUUCUUAUUCGGUUACAAUUCUGAGGUAGCGUCUACGGUUCCUACUAGACACUUGUGUCGUCCGGAACAAAGGAAUGCACUUCUCCAGUUGAAGAACGAGUUUGAGGUUUUGAACUCUUCCUUGACUUAUAAUUGUAUUAUCAAUGAUGAAAUAGUAGACCCUCAUCCAAAGACGGAGUCAUGGGGGAAUUACAGCGAUUGCUGUACUUGGGAGGGUAUCACCUGCAAUGCCAAGUCUGGUGAAGUGAUCGAGCUGAACCUUGGUUGCAGCAACCUACGUGGCCAGUUUCAUUCCAAUAGCAGUCUUCAAAACCUUCAUUCUCUAACCACUCUAGUCCUUUCAGGAAAUCUUUUUAAUGGUCAAAUCAUGUCUUCAAUUGGAAACAUUUCUCAUCUCACCUCUCUGGACCUUUCUCAAAAUAAUUUCAGCGAGUUCAAUCCUUCUUCAAUAGUAGACCUUUCUUAUCUCACUUUUCUAGAUCUUUCUCGUAAUCGUUUUUCGGGUCAGAUUCCAUCUUCCAUUAGGAAUCUCUCUCCUCUCACCUAUCUUGACAUUUCUGGUAAUCAAAUUUCGGGUCAGAUUCCAUCUUGGAUUGGAAACCUUUAUAAGCUCACUCAUCUUGACCUUUCUUUGAACAAUCUUGUUGGUGAAAUCCCACCUUCUAUUGGUAAUCUAAACCAGCUGACCACCUUAAGUGUUUAUCGGAAUAAGCUAAAUGGAAGCUUGCCCAAUGCACUACUGAAUUUGACAGAGUUGUCAAAUUUAGAACUCAACUUCAAUCACUUCACAGGCACAUUUCUUCCUAACGUCACUUCACUAUCCAAAUUGACGCAUUUGGAAGCAGCUACCAACAUGUUCACUGGAACCCUGCCUUCAUCUCUCUUCACCCUUCCUUCUAUUGAUACUGUUAUUCUGUCUGAUAACCAAUUCAAUGGUAUUCUUGAGCUUGGGAAUAUAUCUUUACCCUCUAAGCUACGAGUGUUAGAUGUUGGCAACAACAACUUGAGAGGGCCAAUCCCGGCCACGUUAUCCAAAUUUACCAACCUUGACCGACUUGUCCUUUCUUAUUACAAGACACAAGGUCCAGUUGAUUUUAGUAUCUUUUCGCAUCUCAAAAAGAUGGAAGAUCUUGACAUAUCCUAUUUGAACACGACCACCACGAUUGAAUUGAAUGAUUUCUUGUCACAUUUCAAGAGGCUCCGUUGGGUGGUUCUCUCAGGCAACCAUGUUUCUGUCACAGAUAAGAGUCCAGUUUCAGAUCCCCCUUUGCGAUUGAUGUAUAAGUUGUACUUGUCAGGCUGCGGUAUCACCGAGUUUCCUAAGUUUGCAACAGCGGAAAAUAUGUCGAGUCUAGACAUUUCCAAAAAUAAAAUCAAAGGAAAAGUGCCGGGCUGGUUAUGGACGACGCUACCGAAUCUGGAUUAUCUAAAUCUUUCCAACAACUCUUUCACCGGCUUCGAAAACUCAACGAAACAUGGGCUAUCUAUGACAAACUUCUUAGCAUCCAACAACAAUUUCAGUGGAAAUAUUCCAUCUUUCAUAUGCGAUUGGCGCGGUCUUGCCACUCUUGAUUUAUCGAACAACAACUUUAAUGGUUCAAUCCCUCGUUGUAUGGGAAAUCUCAAGAGUUCUCUUUUAGAUCUAAACCUUCGUCAAAAUCGUCUUAACGGAGGUCUUCCUGAGAAUAUAUAUGAAAGCUUAAGAACGCUUGACAUCGGUCAUAACCAACUGACGGGAAAGCUUCCAAGAUCAUUGAUCCGUUUCUCUAGUCUUGAAGUUCUGAACGUGGAAAGCAACAUUAUCAAUGACGUGUUCCCGUCUUGGUUGAGUUCUCUACCGGAGCUUAGAGUUCUUUUAUUAAGCUCAAAUGCCUUCCAUGGACCAAUACCUCAAACUUCGUUCCCUAAGUUACAAAUCAUAGACAUAUCGCACAAUCACUUCAAUGGAGCUUUGCCAUCAGACUACUUUGUUAAGUGGAGUGCUAUGUCAUCACUUGUGACAGAUUAUGAUCUGGACCAAAAGUACAUGAGAGAUUUCUAUUACUAUAAUUCAAUAGUUUUGAUGAAUAAAGGCUUCGAGUUGGAGCUACAACGUAUCUCACAAGUCUUCGCAGCACUCGACUUUUCAGGAAACAAAUUUGAAGGAGAGAUCCCAAGGUCCAUCGGUCUAUUGAAAGAGCUUCAUGUUCUCAACUUGUCCAACAAUGCUUUCACCGGCCAUAUCCCAUCGUCUCUGGGAAACCUGACGGCUCUUGAGUCACUGGACGUUUCCCAAAACCAGCUGUCAGGAGAAAUUCCGCAAGAGCUAGGGGAACUCUCGUUUCUUUCCUACAUGAACUUCUCUCAUAACCAGCUUGCAGGUCUAGUACCUGGAGGCACUCAGUUUCGAAGGCUGAAUUGCAGUUCGUUCGAGGAUAACAUGGGACUUUUUGGCCCUUCUCUAGACGAAAUUUGCAGAGAUAUUCACACGUCAACAGUGACGCAACAGUAUGAAAUGCCGGAAUCAGAGGAUGUAGAAGAGAUGUUGAGUUGGACAGCAGCUUUAAUAGGAGUCUUACCUGGUAUUGCCUUUGGAUGGGUUAUUGGAUACAUACUUGUUCCUUACAAACCAGAGUGGUUCAUGAAACUCUUUUUUCUACGUAGACGCAGACACCACAACUCAUUAAAGAGGUAAUGUUCCGAGUUUUGAACCAAUUUGUUAACAAACAUUUGAAAAAAACAAAAAUAUAUUAGUUAAAAACCUUUUUGUUGUACAGGUUUUUCGUAACAUACGUGAAGAAUCUGAAAGAAGAAAUUUAAAGCAACCACUAUGUAUGAAUCCAGAUUAGCUAGCAUUAGGGGUAUCGUUUCCGGUUUAGUUUGGUGUGUUUUCCCAUUACUCCUUUAUAUAACUUUGUUUGAAAGAUUGUUUGUUUCUCUGUUAUUGUUUCCGGUAUAGUUUGGUGUGUUUUCUCUCUCUGCCUCUCUAUUUUAUUUUUUACUUUUAGCCAACUUCUUUGUGUCUCUGUAAUUGAACAACUAUGUUCCUUACGUCAUCUAAAUAUCAACGGUAUAGACGUGAUCAGAGCAACAAACAUAUGACCAAGAUCAACGCUAUAAGCAGCACGUGACUUUGGAAAAAGGAUAUACAAACUUUUUUUUGGUUAGAGGAUAUACAUACUAUAUAUGGAUAUUUCGAUUGUUCAUGUCAAUGAAACAUAUGAAUACAUAGAAACUCUAGACCUUUCAAAUAUUUGUAUCAAAAGAAUCCAUUUGCUAUCAAAAGGUUCAAGAUAUCGAGAAUCUUUGGAUUAGUUAAGUUGUUAUUAGAGCAUCUCCAAUAUAAAACGCCAUUUUUUCCUCCAAAAUGGGUACCCAUUUUAAGAUUGUUAGGCUUUUUGAAAGUUUUUUUGACAAAACAAAACAAAAGGAAAACAAGUUUUGCAUUGAAGUCAUGCCAAAGAAGUUGCAUGAAUUUUUUUUUUUUUUGAUAACCGAGUGUCCUGGUCCCACCGUGGUGGUCCAGACUAGAGACCGAGUCCGUAGCAGGUUCAACACCCAGACAAUGGUCUUCGGUCUCGGGCGCCAGAGCAAGUCCGCAUGUGAAUUCCCUGGUGGCCAGUGGAAAUCGAACCCGGGUCCGUAUUGGGACCGAAGCUCCCUCAAGACCACUAGGCUAACCCCGCUGGUCAAGUUGCAUGAAUUAAAUCUAGCAAAAACUAGCAGUGAUAAUCAUUGAUCUAGGUUCUUACCUUUAGAUAAAAUUACUGGUUAUAACAAAAAGAAAAGCUCAAAUCUGAUGCCUAUCACACCCUUCACCAAGAACAAACGAGGAAUCUGGGUGGAAAAAUAAACUUACAAGAAUAACAAAGAGAUCACAAUCUUUAUGCUUAUUGUGACCACUGUUAAUAAAAGGAAAAUGACAAAGCUUCUCCUAGAAUUUAACACAACAAAGGAUUCCAUGCGAUUGCUGGAAAAAUCUUGUCGGAUAAAAACAUGACGAUUAUUUACAUGGUUUCUCUGUCCAAAAAAAUAUAAACAGAACUAAAUCUAUAAAAUAUCUUUCAAAUCAUUUAGCAUCACUCUGAAACACUAUGCAGCCUAAAAUUGUACUGUUUUUUCUAUACACCUAAUUUUCAUGUCUUUCAUUGGUUUUGAGCUAAUUCACCCAAAGAGAGAACUUACUUUGAUCUGACAUUACAAAAAGAUAUGAGUACAUGAAGUAAGAUCUAACCAAAUCUUUUUACAUGAUUUUGCCUAUCAAAAACGUAGAGUUAAUUUUGGAGGAAUAGGAGCAGGAGAGUCGCAAUUAAUUAUGCACAGUCUAUUGGUACGUAGUUAAUUAUGAGAAAGUUCUUUGGUAGGAACACUAAUUUCUCAUUAAAAUUUGGGUUUAACGAUCAUCUUCCAAUUUAUAACAAAAUUCCUCUUGGAUCAACCUAUAUUUUAAUUUCCUUGAUUGUCUUUUUAAAGUCUUGCUUCCCUUUUGUUUAAUGUCCACAAUCAACAAAAAGAGACAUCCAACUGAUUGGUUAUUUAAGUCUCUCUCUGGUACGUUAUCCUUUGAAUUUUCAACAUUAUACUUUGCAUUUUCUCUCCUUAUUUCCCCUCAAGGACCCCAUAACUUUCUCCAAACUCCAUAAAGUAUUUGGAGCCCGCAACGUCAGUAAGCUUCUCAGUGAGGUCCUUGAAGAACAGAGACAAGAAACCGAUAACUCGUUUGUCUUAUGAGACUGACGUUCGUCUCAAGGAUCCAGUUUACGGUUGCAUUGUAGCCAAUAGCUUCUCUGCAGAAGAAGAUGCUUGAGCUUGAACAUGAUAUAGCCCUUGCUCGCUCUCGACUACUUGGCCAUUCUGGAGUUAACAACAACAAAGCUGCAGUCUACUCUGAUGCCGUUCUCUGAGUUUUGAUCACGAGGAGAAGGGAGAUGCAUUGUAUGGUGAAUUUAAUUCAAGCUCAGGCAGCUAUGCUCGUAGCAAGCUUUUCGUGCAAGCUAUGAAUUGAAGCAUGUAAUUUCCAUGUCCUGGAGUCUUCACUUGAAAACAAUGAUAUUUUUUCUCAUAUAUGCUAUGGUUUUUUAUCUAUGCGUACGUGCUACGGAAGCGAAUAAUGACGUCAUCUUAUUUUCAUAUGCUAUAUUUAUUUUUAUUUUAAUUUCCAUGUGCUGGAGGGAGAGCUUCUUCGCGCCUAUUUCUCACGAAGAACGCUCCUCACCUCAUUCCCUCUCUCCCUCAUCAUGCCCAAAUCCAACGACGGCGGCGCAGAUUCCGAGUCCGAGUCCGAGUCCGUCCCGCUGCUCGAUCUAUCGAAACCGUCAUCACCGAUCUCCUUCCCGAUCAAAUCUCUCCAAUAUUUAAAAUCACGUUCGUACUUCGACUCUUUCCACUUUCAGUUCAAUCGCUCCACAGUCCCUCUCCGGCGAGACUUACCUGAUCGGCCAAGGGUUUUAGUCUGCCACGAUAUGAAAGGAGGGUACGUAGACGACAAGUGGAUCCAAGGGUGUGAAAACGACGCCGGGUUUGCUAUUUGGCAUUGGUUUUUGAUGGAUGUGUUUGUUUACUUCUCUCACUCUCUGGUGACGAUUCCUCCUCCUUGCUGGACCAAUACAGCUCACAGGCAUGGCGUUAAGGUGAAGAUUAGGCAUUCUUGUGGAUACAUUAGUUUAUUAGGAUGUGUAGAUAUGAAUUGGGGUUAAGUAUUUACUUUCUUGUGUAUCUAUGGAAAUGUUAAAAAGGUGUUGGGGACUUUCAUCACGGAAUGGGAUGAAGGAAAAGCUACCUGCAAUGAGAUGCUUGCCACUAAGGAGUCUGCUCAGAUGUAUGCUGAGCGUUUGGCUGAGCUUGCUACUUCUCUAGGUUUCGAUGGAUGGCUGGUGAGUUUUGUCUUUUGGUAGAUACUUCUUGAUUCUUCUGUUCAUCUGCGUUUGAAGUGUAAGCUCUUACCUGCAGAUAAAUAUAGAGAACGAAAUAGAUAAAGAACAGGUUCCUAAUUUGAUGGAGUUCGUCAGCCAUCUAACAAAAGUCUUGCAUUUAUCCACUCCUGGGUCUUUGGUUAUAUGGUAAGUUGUGCACAAGUUCUUUCUUUUGGUAAAACCACUUUGAAUCUGAUCACUUCUUUUUGCAGGUACGAUAGUGUCACUGCUCAUGGCCAUCUUAAAUGGCAAGAUCAUUUGAAUGAAAAGAACAAACCUUUCUUUGACUUGUGUGAUGGUAUCUUCAUGAACUAUACAUGGAAGGUACCGUUCAAUUUCUUCAGUUUGUGUUUCUUCUAUAUGCAUUUGCCUGGUAUUUGAGUGGGUGAUGGUAUUUCAGGAGAGCUACCCAAAAUUAUCAGCUGAAGUUGCCGGGGACAGAAAAUAUGAUGUUUACAUGGGAAUUGAUGUCUUCGGUCGCGGCUCCUUUGGUGGUGGUCAAUGGACUGUAUGUUUUCAGAAACUCUUGUGAAAACCAACCAAUAAUUUUUCAUAUUAUUCUUCUUCAUUGUCUCAUUAAUAUCUAUAUAUAUGCUAGGUUGAUACUGCUCUUGAUUUGCUGAAGAGAAACAAUGUAUCAGCGGCCAUCUUCGCUCCUGGAUGGGUAUAUGAGACUGCACAACCACCUAAUUUCCACACAGCUCAGAAUAAGUAAUACUCUUCUUUUGCCUGUUUGAUUGUCAAAGAAAUUUUGCCAUUUUCUUUGUCAUCUUAUUAUCGUUCAUGCUUUUUUUCUUCAGGUGGUGGUCACUUGUUGAGAAGUCAUGGGGAAUAGUCCAAACAUAUCCACAAGUGUUGCCAUUUUACUCGGAUUUCAAUCAGGUCAAGUGAGAUUGAUUUCAACUUUCUUCCCAUCUUGUUAGAAUAACACCAGGGUAAAGUAUGCAUCGACUGUCUUGCCUAUGAUUUAUGUUCUGAAAAACUCUGUUCUUGCUUAUCCAGGGCUUUGGUAACCAUGUAUCACUCGAGGGUCGCCAGUUAUCUGAUGCUCCAUGGUACAACAUUUCUUGCCAGAGUCUUCAGGUUCAACCAUCUUUAUUGUCCACUCUUUAACUCCACAUAUAAUAUUUACACGAACCAAAAACUUAUUUUCUUGAUCUGGGUUUGUCUCUCCUCUCAUCUGAUUGUUGUGUUAUUCACGUCAGCCACUCCUCGAGUUCAAGGAAGACAACACUGAUAUCAUUCAGGUCACUAUUGAGUGAGUUCUGGCCCCUGAUACUAAAAAAAAUGUUUUUAACUUCUUGUUGAUUUAGAUACAUUUGUUUGCAAACGGAUAACGGUGAGCACAUGACUUUGUUUAGUACUAGAGAUGCAUCUUAUAACGGAGGAGGGAACAUCGUUUUUAAAGGAAGACUCGAGGGAGAUGUGUAUUUCACAGCAAGGCUCUUUAAACCUCUCCUUCAUCUUUCUUCUUCCCCCAUCACAGUCUCCUACUCUGUAAGUCCCUUGCUUUUAGAUACAUCACAUUAUGAGAUGAUCUUGUUUCUCUUCCUAAUGGAUGAUUUUGGAUUUGGUGCAGGUGAAAUCAGAUGAGACUUUUAAACUUGGACUCCUGCUUUCUUUCUCGUCCGCAUCACACGGGACUAAAUCCAUACUUGUGGCGCCACAAGAACCCAUCCCUAGAUUAGAUCACAUGUUCUUGAAGUGCCUCGUUACAUCAGAGCAGACUGUAUCAGAGUGGACGGUACACGAGACAAGCCUUGUCAUGGAUGAACACACACUAACUGAAAUCUCUUUCUUUUGCUACAGAACAGAGAACUCGACGAAGGCAUCAGAGUACGUUGCAUUGCUCGGUCACAUUUCAAUCAAAGAUCAUGUUCAGCUCCUCCAGCAAAACUUCGUUUCCUUACCUCCAGCAUCAUCAUGGGUCAUCGAGGCUCAUAACAUAGAGCUCAUGGUAGAUUCGGACGUGAAAGGGGUCAGCUUCGUGGUGCAACCGUGUGGUGAAGAUGGGUUAUGGAGAAAGCUUGAUGAUUCCCCUAACCUUCUUGUGGACUUGGAGGGUCUCUCGUAGGUUGCUGGAAACAAUGAAACGAUUCAUAAUGUAUAUUACAAAAUUACAUUAAUCUAGAAAGUGGGGAAAACAUGAUAAAAAAAACCUGAACUGAUAACAGAUCAUCAUCGUACAACUUCUUAAAAAUAUAAUUAAUGUACAUUAAUUUCCUUGUAUUUUAUAAUUAUAAAGAGAUCUUUUCCUUGUGCUAUACCGCAUACAAAUUUUUGUGCUAUACGGUAUUAUCUUCGUUUUGUUGUUAUGCCGUAUAUCACAAGCAUUUGAAAAGAUUUUAGGUGUCCAUCAAAGAUUGUCCCCUUGAGGAACUUAACUAUUCUAAACACAGAGCCAAAUCUGGGUUCUGCAAUGCUGGCACAAGUUCAGUGUUCAACGAACUAAGCCAUUAAUACAGUGUUCAAUCAACCUGCCUUUUAACUGAAAAUUCGAGUAGGCUUGAGCAGCAAUUCAUCGCCUGUAUGCUAAAGAGAUGUGAUGAUGAUAGAGAUAUUGAUACUGCGGUGAUUGCUUGCGGAUCUCUCAUUUGAUUUGCCACUGAGAUGGUUAAGAGAGAGGGAGACCACGUGCAUGCAUGUGUUUGCAUGCACGGGGAAUAUGGCAAAGCUAUCAGAGAAUUGAGUUCAUAAACUUGACUGCUCCAAAGUUAUUGGAGACGUUUAGAACAUCAGUUGGUGCUGGGAUCGUCUUACCAACUAGUCUCUUCCUAGUCGUCUCUUUUCUGUAUAUUUUAUUGGAUGAAAAGUGAGAUGAUUAUCAACAAAACUUGUUAUUAAGGUGGUGAGAAGUAACAGAUGUGUGAUUCACCAAUUUGAUUACAUCCACAGACAAAAAAAGACUUUAUUAUUGGAGACGACUUUCAGAAUUAAAUUAGAGUUAUAAGAACACAAGAUAUUUAUAGAACAUCUCUAAUCUUCAAAAAAAAAUCUUAGUGUACAUCAGACUCAUGGGUUUAGGUCUCAUAAUCGAUACAAUUUCCAAUGAUGUAAUGCAUUUAAUGCAUAUCAACAAAACCAUUGUUUAAUGGAGAUUCGCAAGAAGAAGUCUCCUGACAUCACCUUCCUGAUGGAAUCAAAAAACACAGAGGAAACAAUUAGAAAAGAACUCCACUGGCUGAAAGAAGAAAACAACUUCAUAGUUCCCCCACAUCUGGAGGUGGAGGCUUGAUUCUCAGUUGGAAGAAAGAUGUAGAUUUAACAGUCCUAUCAUCCUCCCAAAACUACAUAGACACGAGGAUCAUCUCAAAGGGAAAAUCAUUCCUAGCUACCUUUGUUUAUGGUGAACCAGACCACACAAAGAGAAAUGCAUUUUGGUCUACUCUAUCCUCUCUACACCCAAAACCGAAAGGCCCAUGGUUCCUAACUGGAGACUUCAACGAACUAAUCGACAAUACUGAGAAGAAAGGAGGCCCAAUAAGAGCGGAAGGUACCUUUUUGGAGCUUUUCGAACCUUCCUCUCAGAGAAUGAUCUGUUUGAUCUUAAACACUCUUGUAAUCUCUUCUCAUGGAGAGGUAAAAGAGGAGAUCACCUAGUGCGAUGCCGCCUUGACAGAUCCCUCAGCAACCCUGAAUGGACAGAGCUCUUCCCUUCUUGCCGUUGCCAAUACCUCAAGUUUGAAGCUUCUGAUCAUCGUCCAAUCCUCUCCUACCUAGACACCACCAAGAAGAAAGGUCGCAAUCUAUUUCGCUAUGACAGACGACUCAAAGAUUGUAAAGAGAUAAAAGCACUAGUAACAGAGAUUUGGACAACCUGUGCAUAUCUUGGGGUAGAAGCAAGACUGGCUCUAUGUAGAAGAGCAAUCUACAAGUGGUGUAAGCUGUUCCAUGAGAACAGCAGAAAAACAAUUGAGAAUCUCAGAGAGGAUCUAGAAUUUCAGAUGACAAGUGAGACUCCUAAUGGUGACAGGAUUAUAGAGAUAAAUAAGGGCUUCUUAAAAGCAUAUCAAUCCGAAGAAGCCUAUUGGAAACAAAGGAGUCGCCAACUCUGACUAACCUUAGGAGAUUCAAAUUCAGGGUAUUUUCAUGCCGUCACAAAAGCUAGAAAAGCAAAAAACAGAGUAACUGUCCUAGAGAAAGAUGAUGGAAUACCUCUUUUCGAAGAAGAUCAAAUUUCGGCUCGGUCUGCUCUUAUUACAACAAGAUGUUCACAGCAAAUCCCAGAGACGAUAAUGAGGACACAAUCUUCCGUGCUCUCAAACCUUGCGUGGCGCCAUAGUGGAAUGAAUCUCUCACCAGACACCCGUCCCCAGCAGAAAUUAAAGAUGCUCUCUUUGCAAUCCACGCAGACAAAGCACCUGGCCCAGACGACUUCUUCGCGAGCUUCUUCCACUUUAACUGGGACGUAAUUGGCCCCUCCAUUAUAGAAGAGAUCCAACGCUUCUUCUCCACAGGAAUUAUGCCCCCUAGUUUAAAUGAGACUCAUGUCAGACUUAUUCCUAAGAUCCAAACUGCAAAGAGAGUAGAAGAGUACAUACCUAUCGCCUUGUGUAACGUAUACUAUAAAGUGAUCUCCAAACUUCUCUUCCUGCACCUGAAACCAGUCCUUAAAGAGAUCAUCUCAGAGAACCAAUCUGCUUUUAUCCCUGGAAGAGCAAUAACAGACAACGUGUUAAUUACUCAUGAAGUGCUGCAGUAUCUGAAAACCUCACAAGCACAAAAACAAUGCUCAAUGGCGGUUAAAAUGGACAUGUCUAAAGCCUAUGACCGUGUUGAAUGGGAUUUCGUUGCACAAGUAAUGUCAAGACUAGGUUUUAGCAACAAGUGGACCAAUUGGGUAAUGCAAUGUAUCACAACAGUUUCCUACUCGUUCCUAAUAAAUGAUUCAGUCUACGGGAAAGUGCAACCUCACCGUGGCAUUAGGCAAGGAGACCCGAUCUCGCCCUAUCUGUUCAUCCUGUGUGGUGAAAUUCUUUCAGGCCUUUACAGAACAGCAGAGCUUCACGGAUCUAUGAGAGGAAUUCGCGUGGCCAGAGGUAGUCCCCACGUCAAUCAUCUUCUCUUCGCAGAUGAUACUAUGAUGUUCUGCAAUUUAUCAUCUGAAAGCUGCCUCUCUCUGCUCCAAAUCCUACAAGAAUACGAGAAAGUUUCAGGUCAAAAGGUCAAUAUAUCCAAAUCCUCUAUUACUUUCUCUGUCAAAACCCCACAAGAGGUUAAGAACUCAGCAAAACUCAUCUUGGGCAUUGAGAAAGAAGGAGGAGUGGGAAAAUAUUUAGGGCUUCCAGAACAUUUUGGAAGGAGGAAGAGGAACUUGUUUACCUCUAUAGUAGAUAGGAUCAGGCAGAGAGCCUCCAACUGGUCGACUCGAUUCCUAUCUCGAGCUGGCAAGCUCACUAUGCUCAAGCCUGUCCUGACUGCAAUACCCACCUACACCAUGUCAUGCUUCCAACUCCAGUAAGCCUCUGCAAUAGAAUCAAAUCUACACUUACUCGGUUCUGGUGGGAUCAUUCAGCAGAAAAGAAAAGCAUGUGUUGGGUGGCCCUGGACAAAUUAACCAAGCCAAAAGCCUCAGGGGGUUUAGGACCGAGAGAUAUUCAAUUAUUCAACCAAGCACUUUUGGGAAAAGUUGCCUGGAGAAUAUUAACCUCCCCCAACUGUUUACUUGCACGUGUUCUUACCGGGAAAUACUGCCAUAAGAAGAGCUUCCUAGACGCCCAACUCCCAGCAGUGUGUUCACAUGGUUGGAGGAGCAUCCUACAUGGCAGGGACCUACUCAAGGAGAACCUGAGAAAAGCAAUCGGCAACGGUCAGAAUACAAAAGUCUGGAAAGACACAUGGAUAUCAUUGGACAACAGUUCUAAGCCUAUGGGUCCAAUUCAUGAAUCUGCUCUCGAUAUGAGAGUCUCAGAUCUUCCCACUGAUGACUUACAAUGGAAAAAGGCGAGAAUUGAGCAAUACUUACCAGAUUUCAGCUCGCAGAUCCAAUGUAUAAAGCCAAGCAAGGUAGGGGCAGAGGACAUUUAUGUCUGACUCCCUCUUCAAACAUGAAUUUACUCAACCAAGUCUGGCUAUAACUCGCAUGCUCAACAAACUGUACCGUCGAAUCUCCACCUUCUAGCUAACCCCUCCUCACAGAAUGACCUGGAGUUUAAUUGGUUAAAAGAUGUUUGGUCAGCAAAAACGAACCCAAAGCUUAAGAUAUUCCUCUGGUCAAUCAUACAAGGGGCCUUACCAAUAGGCGCAAAGCUCAAAAGAAGGGGAAUGAUCUCCGCAGCUCACUGCCCCCGCUGCAACGAGGUAGAAACAUCAAUGCACACAUUCUUCCUCUGCCCCUUUGCUAAAGAAGUCUGGAACUACAUACCUCUCAAGUCACCAGUUCACAUAGCUGAGGACACUGAUUUCAGAUUGGAACUACUUCACUUCCGACAAGCAAUCUGUCUUCCCCCAACAGGAAUUCGAUCUCCCAUCCUCCCCUGGGUCUGCUGGUUCCUCUGGACGGCCAGAAACAAACUUAUUUUUGAAGACAAGAGCAGCCGUCCUGUGGAGAUAGCAACUAGAGGACUGUCAGCGGCUUUAGAAUGGGACGAAGCUCAAGAUGUGGAGAAAGAACAAAAGAGUAAUCACCUACCGCUCAAGGCCGCUCCAACACAGACGGAUCGAUCAAGCUACGAAAAUCCCUGCUUCGUAGACGCCGCGUGGGAUGUUUCCUCAAAGCAAGCAGGAGUCAUUUGAUGCAUACUCCUAUCAAGUAUCAACAAAACCAUCCAUACAUCUUUUGUUUUGCUUUUGUUAAAAAGACAGAAUAGCUACUGGCCAUAUAUUGAAGAAACAAGAAAACGAUCGAGCAAAGUCUGGGUUUUUCCUUACGAUCUCGCCCUGACUCCUGAGGAAUAUUAGUUGAAUAUUUAAUGUACUCACUAUCUAUGAUAGGCUCGAUCGUGAGUAUAUUCACGAGGAAGAGUUGAUUCUUCUGUCAUGAGGAAUGCUCUCACUAUUAUUUGAUUUCAAGAAGAUUGAUAUUUUGUUUAUUUUGAUUGAUUCUUAGAAAAGAGUUGAUUCUUUUUGUCAUGUUUGCAUAUAUUUCUCAUUUUGGAAGUCAUAAGGAAUAAACCAAAAAUAAGACUGUUCGCCGUUGAUUUUUCUUAAAAACGUUGAUGUUUUUUUUUAUUCUUACUAAAAAGAUUCAUUCAAUUAAGUCAUUUUGGUCUAGUGGUAAAGAAGUGCCGCUAAAGCUUUCGCCAUGGAUUUUUUUUUUAUUAAGUCAUUUCGGACUUUUCUCUUGGUCUUGUCUCAAGCAAGUACCCGAGCUGUCUACGGGGUUAGGUGGCUUAACGUUAUAGAACCGUCUCUCAGCGAAGCCAUCCAGGAACAAAAUGGUGUGGCGAGAUCAUCUACAGAAGCGGAGUAUCGUGCAGUUGCAAACGCAACAUCAGAAAUUAUAUGGAUUUGCAGUCUUCUCUCUGAGCUUGGGGUCUCGCUUCCAUCAGCUCCAGUCGUCUUCUGCGACAAUGUAGGAGCAACAUUCCUCUGUGCUAAUCCGAUAUUCCAUUCUCGCAUGAAACACAUCGCCAUUGACUAUCACUUUGUUCGGGGACAAGUACAACGCGGAGCUCUAACUGUUUCACAUGUCAACACUCGUGAUCAGUUAGCGGAUGCAUUAACGAAACCACUCACUCGAGCUCGCUUCUUGGAACUGCGGAACAAGCUUGGCGUGGCACCCACGCUGCAGCUUGAGAGGGUGUGUAAGAGAGAUACUAUAAAGAUCUCCUCUCAACUAUAGUAUAUACACAUUCCUCUGUUUUAGGAAAUGUUAGUUAUUAUCUAACUUAGUCUCCAAGACUAAACUCUGUAUAUAAACCUCUAUUGUACAUUACGUUCAAGAUAUCAAAAUACAUUUCCUAUACCCUAAAUAAGAUAAGUAAACACACAAAAAAGAGCAUUGCUCUAACUUAAAACCUAGUGAGUAAGAAUAAUAACAGUUUUCUCCAAUUUCGAUGAUCUCUCAGAUCCAACCAUUGCUCCCUUGCUCAACCACAGUAUAGCUUCUCCACAAUCUAAUCCCUACAAAUUCUUAUCUGUACAGCAACAACAACAACGCACAAUUCACGUUUUCAGUAACUCAUUUGAGCAGAUGCUCAAAGUUAUGGUUCCAAAUCAACAAUCUGAGACCUCACAAGGUAACAUAGAGUUUCAAUCUUCAAAAUCACAUAAGAAUGAAAAUUCUAACCAUAUAUUCACAAUUGCUUGGCAGAAACAGAGACCAAGAAAGUUCCCAUCCUCUACUUCGCGCCUUCGAUCCUCUCGUACACCUCUCCCAACUUCAAAAUUGCUCUCACCAGCUCCGUACACGAAGAUCCUUCACCUUCACUCGGAUCCACCUCCUCCACUCUCCGAUGCUUCCUCACCACAAACCCGCAGUCACCAGCGUCAUCAUCAUUGUCUAAUGUAGGAAACCAAAUAUGCAAAAUCAAAUACUUACUUCUGUCCUUUGUAAAAGAAACUUAGAUUAACUCUAAAAGUAAGGCAAGUCUCAGUCUGCCUCAAAAUCAAUGUGACAUAGUCUGCUCCAAAUUUUGAAACUCUCUUCAAAUUUUUUUGCUUCCUGUAAUGUCUACCCGCUGUGUUGCUUUUUUGGCUGUAUAUGUAACAUGCAAGGCUUUUAGGAGCUUGUGAUGAACAGAGGAAAACAGUUAACAACCUUGUUGUUCAUUGGCAUUGUAAACAAUUUGUUGAACUCAUCAAAAGAUUCUUAAGCUCCACAAUUUGUUUAAUUUAGCUGGUUUCGUUGAUGUUCCUUCUCGUACGUACUUAUCGUACCUUCCAACAAGAUUUGUCUACACUUCUCUGUUUUUGAUCUUCAUCUGCUUUUAGACCUCUAGAGGUCCUGACAAAAUCUAUUGGCUGACUAAUAAUAAUCUUAUUGUAGCAGCAGUUAGUAUACUUAAGUUAGACAACGAUUCGAGUCUUGAAGAGCGAGGUCAUGCUGAGAAGUUUAUGGAGUACCAGGUAUAGUUUCAAGAAUCUUUGACGAAUAUUAUGCUCUUGAUGAUCUCUUACUCUUUGACGAAUCAGCUAUGGAGCUUGCCCUAUCUUUGGAGAAACUCACUAAUUAUGAAAAGCUUCUCAUGUUGCAAAGUGUAAGUACCUUUUAUUGCAUCAUCAUUGAGUGGUAAUGCUGAGCCUUACGCAAAACAAUCCACUACCAAUUAAAUUGGUAAAAACAGGGUCGAAGCUAUCAAAGAUUGUCUCCUUGAGUAGCCUCACGAAUUCUAAAACAGAGCAAAAACUGGGUUCUGCAAUAAACAUAUUGAUUCACCGAGUUUGGUUACAUCUACAGACAAAACAAAAUUAUUAUUGGAGACGAUUUUCAGAAUUAAAUUAGUUAUUAGAAUUAGUUAGAACACAAGAUAUAUAUAGAAUAUCUCUAAUCUUGAAAGAUCUUAGUGUGCAUCAGACUCAUGGGUUUAGGUCUCACAAUCGACACAACUUCCAAUGAUGUAAUGCAUUUGAUGCAUAUCAGCAAAACCAUCGAUCCAUCUUUUGUUUUAUUUUUGUUAUAAGAGAGAAUAGCUACUGGCCAUAUAUUGAAGAAACAAGAACACGAUCGAGCAAAGUCUGGGGUUUUCCUUACCAUCUCGCCCUGAGGAAUACUAGUUGAAUAAUGUACUCACGAUGAUAUGGCUCGAUCAUAAGUAGAUUCACGAGAAAGAGUUGGUUCUUCUGUCAUGAAGCAUGUACUCACUAUUUAUUUGAUUUCAAGCAGGUUAAUAUUUUGUUCAUUUUGAUUGAUUCUUAGAAAAUAUUUGAUUUUUUUUUUGUCAUGUUUGCAUAUAUUUCUCAUUAUGAAAGUUAUGAGGAAUAAACCAAAAAUAAGACUUUUCUCCGUUGAUUUUUCUUGAAAACGUUGAUGUUUGUUUUUAUUCUUAUUUUUUAAAAAGAGAUUCUUUCUUAUUUUGAAAUCCCAUCAAAAUUAAACUAGUUUAGCAGUUAUCUCAAUUAGUUCUUUUUUUAAUUAAAGCAAGAGGAAUGUCAUAAAAUCCUGAUUUUUUAAAAAGAUAAAACAUUUACUAUCAAAUCGAAAGAUUACAAUAUAUGCAAAUGCAGGGGUCUCGUAAACGUUAGUUUUUAGGUCAAUAUGCAUGCGCGUCUUGUAAACGUUAAUUUAACUCCAAACAUACACCUAAGCAAAAUAAGACUUCGUAAAUUACGUCUUCUAUGGUGUGGACAGUUUUUUUUUUUUAAAAAUACUUGUAAUUAGUAAAGGGGACCAAUAUGCGCGGAAAUUUGACCUAAUAGUUUUCUCUCUGGCCCGAUAAUCGAGGUGCCGUCUCAACCGUUUCACUCCGACGCCGGUAGAGCCAUGGCUCGCCGGCGUCGGGCGUUUCAACCUCCGCGUCGUCCUCUUUCUUUUCGUAUCUGUUCAAGCUCAAGAUCCCGUGCUCUGUUCACUGUUCAUAUGACCCUUUCUUGGUCGAAGUUGUCUUCCAUUUCGUAUUUUUCCGGGGGCUCCCGACUACAGUUUUCACUCCCCUCCUCUACUCAACGCCAUCAACGCCAUAGCUCUGCUGGUCCGGCUUCCGUCAAGAAUCAGAUCUGUGAGGCUCAAUCUUCCUCUCCUCCCUACGUGUCUCCUCGGCUAGAAAGCCCCCUCCGACAUUCGUCUUCCAUACCACCACAAGUCCAACUUCAAGCUUCGGCUUCCGACGUCUACAAACCCGGUGUCCGUGGGGCUCAACAAUUAACUCGGAUUUUAGAUCUGGAAUUUUGUCAGUUGUCUCGGUUGUGUUCACCUUAUGUCUCCUCUAUCACCACUGUCGCUGGACUUCCUACUCCGCUAUCCAUUGUCAUCAUCUCAACCAUAUCAGUUAAACAUCGCCGCUUCUUUGCUCCGCCGUGAUUCCUCGCAGUUCAUCGGGUUCUUUGACCGAGGAAGGCUGAGUCAUUGUGUUCAUGAGAUGGGCUACUUUCAUUUUGCAGUGAGCUUGACAAGCCCAAUAAAGCUCCAAGGCUCCCAUCUCUUCCUAGCAGUUUCACAGCCCACUUUGAUGUGGGGUGGAUUGGUCUCCUUGACUAAUCUUCUAAAAAUGUUUGGUGGAUUCACUAGCGUUUUUACAGAGACAUAUAUACACACAAAGUUUCAUCUCUCUUGUUCGAAGAGUAGCCUUUCUUUCCAUUUACCGGUGGGUUCACCGGGACCAUCAUGUUCAUCCUUUGCUUCCUUUUUAAGGAGUACUUUCCCUCCAAUCUUGUGGAGGUGUUUGUCCAUAUCUAUAACCGUCUUGCUAUCUUGUGGAGCGGUCCGUUCGGGGCCUGAAGAUGCAGCGGGAUUCGUUUCGACGAGUUUCCGAGGUGUGGAUUGGAUGUCAACUUCACAAUUUAAGCUGACUAUUUCUCUGCUGUCCGACCAUGUCGUGAAAGCUACACUGACGCAUUCAAGCACCGUCUUGAGUUCGCUGUCAUCUUCUUCUUUUGAAGACCUAUCCUUUUUAUCUUAUGUUGGUGUAGUUUAUCUUUUCAAUUAAAGCGGAUGGAUAAUUCCCUCUAUUAUUUGUAAUCAAGCAACUUGAACUUAAUGAAAAAGUUGUGUUUCGAAAAAAAAAGAACGAUUUUGCUUUCGACGUGAUGAAUAUUGGAUUUAUCUCUCUGGAUAUUUUUUGUGUGGAAUAAAAACGAAGUCUAUUAUUGCGCUAUAAAGAGAUGGGCAUAGAAGCAUGUUACUCAUCACCAAUUUCCCUUUUCAUUUCAAAGUUAAAUAAGCUUAAAGAAGAAUGAAAGGCUUUUGGAACAUAACGAGUACCAUUUCUCUUACUCUUUCUAUACUUUUCUUAUUCGGCUACAGUUAUGAGGACGUGUCUACGGUUCUUAAUACGCACUUGUGUCGUCCGGAACAAAGGGAUGCACUUCUCCAAUUCAAGACCGAGUUCGAGGUUCUAAACUCUUCCUUUGCUUAUGGUUGUUAUGAUAUCAAUGAUGAUAUACUAGUGUCUCAUGGGAAGACGGACUCAUGGGCGAAUAACAGCGACUGCUGUAAUUGGGAGGGUAUCACGUGCGAUGCCAAAUCCGGUGAAGUGAUCGAGCUAGACCUUAGUUGCAGCUACCUACGUGGCACGUUUCAUUCCAAUAGCAGUCUUCAAAGCCUUCAUUCUCUAACCACUCUAAACCUUUCACGUAAUGAUUUCAAUGGUCAAAUAAUGUCUUCAAUUGGAAACCUUUCUCAUAUCACCUCUCUCGACCUUUCACGUAAUCGUUUUUCGGGUCCACUUCCAUCUUCGAUUGGAAAUCUUUCUCAUCUCACCAAUCUUAACCUUCGUUUGAAUCAAAUUUCGGGCAAGAUUCCAUCUUCUAUUGGAAAUCUUUAUAACCUCACUUAUUGUUGGAAAUCUUUAUAACCUCAAAUUGAGCCUAUUGGACCUUUCUAGGAAUGAUAUUGUUGGAGAAAUCCCAUCUUCUUUUGGCAAUCUAAACCAGUUGACCAGCUUAGAUGUUUUUCUCAAUAGGCUCAAUGGAAGCUUUCCCAUUGCACUACUGAAUUUGACAAAUUUGUCAUCUUUAGAACUCAGCUACAAUCAGUUCACAGGAACAAUUCCUCAUAACAUCACUUCACUAUCCAAAUUGACGACCUUUGAUGCAAGUAACAACGCUUUCACUGGGACCCUGCCUUCUUCUCUCUUCACCAUUCCUUCUAUUGAAUAUGUUAUAUUGUCUGAUAACCAACUCAACGGUAUUCUUGAGCUUGGGAAUAUAUCUUCACCACCUAAGCUGCAAAGGUUAGACGUUAACAGAAACAACUUGAGAGGGCCAAUCCCGGCCACAAUAUCCAAAUUUACCAACCUUGUCGACCUUCGCCUUUCCCACUACAAUGCACAAGGUCCAGUUGACUUUAGUAUCUUCUCGCAUCUCAAGUGGCUCGAACUUCUUGACCUAUUCUAUUUGAACACGACCACUACGAUUGACUUGAAUGAUAUCUUGUCAUAGUUUAAGAGGCUCACUGGGCUGGUUCUCUCAGGCAACCAUGUUUCAGCCACAAACAAGAGUCCAGUUUCAGAUACCCCUUUGCGAUUCUUGAAUACGUUGCAUUUGUCAGGCUGUGGUAUCACCGAGAUUCCGGAAUUUGCAAGAACGCAAAAUAUGCCUGGCUGGUUAUGGACGCUACCAAAUCUGUUUUACCUGGAUCUUUCCAACAACACUUUCACUGGCUUCCAAAACUCAACUACAGUUUCACCUUCAAGGCUAUAUAGCAUAAACGUGCUUGCCUCAGACAACAAUUUCACGGGAAAUAUCCCCUCUUUCAUAUGCGAUUUGCCCACUUUAUACAUUCUUGAUUUAUCAAACAAUAACUUCAGUGGUUUAAUCCCUCGCUGUUUGGGAAAUCUCAAGCUUACUCUUGAAGUUCUAAACCUUCGUCAAAAUCGUCUUCAUGGAGGUCUUCCGGAGAAUAUAUUUGAAAGCUUAAUAACGCUUGACGUCGGUCAUAAUCAACUGACGGGAAAGCUUCCAAGAUCUUUGAUCCAUUCCCCUUUUCUUGAAGUUCUGAACGUGGAAAGCAACAUAAUCAAUGAUACGUUUCCGUUUUGGUUGAGUUCUCUACCACGUUUAACAAUUCUUGUGUUAAGCUCCAAUGCCUUCCAUGGACCGAUAUAUCACAUAAUUACUUCAAUGGAACUUUGUCAUCUGACUACUUUGAGAGGUGGGGUGCUAUGUCAUCACUUGAGUCUACAGUUUAUUAUGAUAAGUACGGAAAGUACAUGAGCGAUAAUUCUUACUUUGACUCAAUGGUUUUGAUGAAUAAAGGGUUAGUGAUGGAGCUACCAUUUAUCCCAAAAGUCUACACAGCACUCGAAUUUUCAGGAAACAAACUUGAAGGAGAGAUCCUAAGGUCCAUUGGUUUAUUGAAAGAGCUUCUUGUGCUCAACUUGUCGAACAAUGCUUUCACUGGCCACAUCCCUUCAACUCUGGGAAACCUGACAGCUCUUGAGUCAUUGGACGUUUCCCAAAACCAGCUUUCAGGAGAAAUUCCGCAAGAGCUAGGGGAACUCUCAUUCCUUUCUUACAUGAACUUCUCUCAUAACCAGCUUGCGGGUCUAGUACCAGGAGGCACUCAGUUUCGAAGGCUGAAUUGCACUUCCUUUGAGGGGAACCAGGGACUUUUUGGCCCUUCUCUUGACGAAAUUUGCAUAGAUAUUCACAUGCUGAGACCACAUGAAACGCCAGAAUCAGAGGAAGAAGAGGAAGAGGAGGUGUUGAGUUGGAUAGCAGCUGCAAUAGGAGUCAUACCUGGUAUUGCGUUUGGAUGGGUGAUUGGAUACAUACUUUUUUCCUACAAACCAGAGUGGUUCAUGAACCCUUUUGCCCGAAACAAGCGCAGAAUCAGCAGCACCACAACUCAUUAAAAAGGUAAUUUUCCAGAGGUUUAAAUCAACUUGUUAGCAAACACUGGUACAAAUAAAAAUAUUAUAGUGAAGUCACCUGAAUAAACCUUCUUCUUUUUGGUCUUUCAGGUCUUUUAUAAGCUACCUAAGGAAUCUGGAAGAAGAAAUCCAAAGGAACCAUUAUGUCUAUCCGUAUCAAAUAAGAUUUGGGGUAUCGUUUCUGGUUUAGCUUGGUGUUUUCUCAUUACUCUGUUUUUUUUCUUUUUUGUUUUUUUACUUUGUUCCUCUGGUACUGUUUCCGUUUUAGCUUGGCGCGUAUUUUCUCUACAUCUCUGUUUUUUACUUUUCAGCAAACUUCUUUUUUCUCUGUAAUUGAACAACUAUGUUUCUUACGCUAAAAAUUAUAUGCACAAUAAAAAAUGUGUAUCUUUUCCCCUUUCCUGCAUCUAACAUCAUCUGUAAAGACGUGAGAUGAGAAAAUAAACAGAAGAUCCAGAUCAACCCUAUAAACUAUUGAAGUUAAACUUGAUUUUGGGCUAUCCUUAAUUAUGGGUUUCAAUAAUCUUAUUUGGCUAAACCCAAAGUUAAGUUAAGGUUCUAGAAUCUCUUUAGAAAAAUCAUAAAAGAUUAUCACCUGCUCAAGUGUUCGCCUCGGUGUGUUGGAUCUCUCAGGAAACCAUGUUUCAGCCACAAACAAGAGUCCAGUUCCCGUUUCCCCUUUGUUGUAUCAGUUGCACUUGUCGGGCUGCGGUAUCACCAAGCUUCCGGAGUUUGUAAGAUUGAAAAAUUUGGACAGUCUAGACAUUUCCAACAAUAAAAUCAAAGGGCAAAUGCCUGGCUGGUUAUGGACGCUACCAAAUCUUACUUACCUGGAUCUUUCCAACAACACUUUCACUGGCUUCGGAAACUCAAUGAAACAUGGGCUAUCUAUGGGAAAAUUGUUUGCCUCCAACAACAAUUUCACAGGAAAUAUUCCCUCAUUCAUAUGCGAUCUGCGUGGUUUAUCCAUUCUUGAUUUAUCAAACAACAACUUCAGUGGUGUAAUCCCUCCUUGUAUGGAAAAUCUCUAUCUGACAGUUCUAAGCCUUCGUCAAAAUCGUCUCCAUGGAGGUCUUCCAGAGAAUAUAUGUCAAUUCUCAACAACGCUUGAUGUCGGUCAUAACAAACUGACAGGGAAGCUUCCAAAAUCUUUGAUCAAUUCCUCUUUUCUUGAAGUUCUGAACGUGGAAAGCAACAUUAUCAAUGAUACGUUUCCAUUUUGGUUGAGUUCUCUACCACAACUAAAAAUUCUUGUGUUACGCUCUAAUGCCUUCCAUGGACCGAUACAUUAUACUUCGUUCCCUAAAUUGCAAAUCGUCGACAUAUCCCACAAUCACUUCAAUGGAUCUUUGUCAUCAGACUACUUUGUGAAGUGGAGUGCUAUGUCAUCAUUGGGGGACAAUUAUGAUCAGCGGUUUGACAAGUACAUGGGGGAUUCCUAUUACCAUGAUUCAAUGGUGUUGAUGAACAAAGGUUUAGAGAUGGAGCUAGUACGUAUCCUAAAGAUCUACACAGCACUCGACUUUUCAGGAAACAAAUUUGAAGGAGAGAUCCCAAGGUCCAUUGGUCUAUUGAAAGAGCUCCAUGUGCUCAACUUGUCCAACAAUGCUUUCACCGGCCACAUCCCUUCAUCUAUGGGAAACCUGACGGCUCUUGAGUCACUAGACGUUUCCCAAAACCAGCUUUCAGGAGAAAUUCCGCUAGAGCUAGGGGAACUCUCAUUCCUUUCCUACAUGAACUUCUCUCAUAACAAGCUCACUGGUCUAGUACCCGGAAGCACUCAGUUUCGAAGGGUGAAUUGCACUUCCUUUGAGGAUAAUCCGGGACUUUUUGGCCCUUCUCUUGACGAAGUUUGCAGAGAUAUCCACAUGCCAACACCGCAUGAAACACCAGAAUCAGAGGAAGAAGAAGAGGAAGAGGUGUUGAGUUGGAUAGCAGCUGUAAUAGGAGUAAUACCUGGUAUUGCCUUUGGAUGGGUGAUUGGAUACAUACUUUUUUCCUACAAACCAGAGUGGUUCAUCAACCCUUUUGUCCUAAACAAAAGCAGACGCAACCGCACCACAACUCAUUAAAAAGGUAAUUUUCAAGAGUUUUAAAUCAACUUGUUAGCAAACACUGGAAGAAACAAAAAUAUUAUAGUCAAAUCACCUGAAUAAGCCUUCUUCUUCUUUUUUUGUACAGAUCUUUUAUAGCCUGCCUGAGGAAUCUGAAAGAAGAAAUACAAAGGAACCACUAUGUCUAUCCGUAUCAAAUAAGAUUUGGGGUAUCGUUUCUGGUUUUGCUUGGUGUUUUUCUCAUUACUCUGCUUUUUUACUUUUUUUAGCAAACUUCUUUGUUCCUCUGGUACUGUUUCCGUUUUAGCUUGGUGUGUUUUUUCUCUAUCUCUCUUUUUUACGUUUUAGCAAACUUCUUUGUUUCUCUGUAAUUGAACAACAACUAUGUUUCUUACGCUGAAAAUUACAAGCACAAAGACAUGCAUUUUUCCCCUCUUCAGUAUCUAAAACAUCAACUGUGUAGACUUGAGAUGAGGAAUAAACAGAUGAUCCAGAUAAAAGCUAUAAUCAACACAGGGUUUAGAAAAGGAUGUACAUAUUAUAUAUGGAUAUUUCGAUUGUUCAUAUCAAUGAGACACAUUAAUUCAUAGAAACUAUAGACUUUGCAAAUAUAAUUAUCAAGAUUCCAUUUUGUGUAUAUACAAAGUUCAAAUGGUUUUAAGCUUAUGAUUUUCGAAUGUGACAAUACAAAAAAAAAAAAAAAAAGUUUGCGUUGAUUUAUCUUGUGAUUGGUAAUAUUCUCAUUGAUAAUGAAUGAUGAGUAGAAGAGGAAGAGAAAUGGCUAGUAAACGGGUCUUGUUUUCUCCAUGUCCACACUUCCUUGUUCCUAAUUCUUUUUUUUUUUUUGAAUGAAUGUAAAAUUUUAUUCAAUCAAAACUUUGUACAUCAAGUGCUUCUGUUGUGUUUGUAAGAAACUUCUAUACUCUAGAUUCUAUGGAAAAAAAACCCCUUCAUGGUGGUCUCUCUCUUGUUGCAAACCAAGUGGUCAAGCUCUCCUCAAGAUACUUUUGCCCCAGCUCCUUGACUGAGAGUAGCUUGAGUCUGAUUGUUUUAUCUACAAACUUGGUGAUGACAUUCACAGUUUGUGGCUGUUCUCCAUGUCUACGGGCAUUUAGCUCUCUCCACAGCGCAUGUACCGUAGCUUGAAAGGUGUAGCGGAUAAGGAACUUCUUCGUCGGUGGCAGGCUUGUACGUUGGAGAUGAUCUCUACAACGUCAUUCCAAGAUUUGUAGAGAAUCCCACCAGCCAGUGAUUUCCAGAUUUGUCUUGAGUAGUUGCAGCUGAAGAAGAGAUGGUGGCAGGUUUCAUCAGCUGCAUCACAGAGCACACAGGCUGUGUUUGCUGUAGCGUUCCACCGGUUUAUCCUAUCACAUGUCUCCAUUCCUAAGCGCUUCUAAUUCAUUCUCAAUCUCAUUCAGACGGCUCUCACGGUGUCGUCUUCUUCGGUGCUUACUCAGGACAUCUGCAACAACAGCCUUAUCAGAUAUGCCCAGAGCAAUGCACCCUCGUUCUCCUAUCACAUCCUUCAAGCAGCCAAGCUUCGACCACGAGUCAUACCAGAAGGAGGUUUCUCUUCCAUUCCUCACUUCUCUUCUGAAAAACUGUUUCGCAAGAUCGCCUAGUUUCAGUAAUUUAUGCCAUACCCAUGAUUUGAGUUCAUACUCACUGACCAGAACGAUCCCUUUCGAAUCAGAUAACACUGCACCCACCGGACCCAAAGCGAAUUUCGAGAGGACAGAAUUCUCCAUAUUAGUUUUAAGGCGUGAACUGUGUUUACCUCCUUAAGAGGUCUCAGACUCAGUCCUCCUUCUUGUUUGUAAUUCAACCUUUGAUUGUUUGAUUAAAUAUGUAUAUUCUUAAAUUAACAAUAACCAAAUAUAUAUAUAUACUCAACUAAAAUUUGGGUUUAACGAUCAUUGUCCAUUUUAUAAGAAAAUUCCUCUUGGAUCUUUCUUUUUAUAUUUUUCUCGACUGACUUUUUAAUCGAAUCCAAGUCUUGCUUCUCUUUGUUUUGGUGUCCACGAUCUCAAAAAAGAAACAGCCAACUGAUUGGUCACUUUCACAAUCCCUCUGGUACGUUAUCCUUUGAUUUUUCAACAUUAUACUUAAAGCUCAAUACCAAAAUCUCAAAGAUAAGCCACUACAUGAUCAUGAUGUGUGUGACCUACGAGCUUGGACUCGAACCCACGAGCCAAUCAUGUAAGUAGCAAUGAAAAGAUCAAGCCAACACAAAUGAUGAAUAGGCCCAUGCCUUGCCCCCAUUCUGUUCCCUUCUUUAUUAAUCUACAGAAACAAAAUCUUCUUCAGAAGAAGAUGCGUGAGCUUUCAACACGAUAAAGAUUGAUGCAAAGUCAUAUAAGGAAACAGCCAAAUCAAUAGCUUGGUGGGUUUGGUCUUCCAAAAGUAAAUUAUGGAAGAACAUGAAUGUCUCUGAUGUACAUUGUCCUGGAAAGAGAACUCUGAGACCUGAUUACGCAAAAGACUAAUUGCUGAUCACAAAAAAAGGAGAAGAGAACGCUAUUUGGAACUGCAGGCAUUGAUACACAAACCAUAAUACAUUAAACACUUGACAAAAGUACAUGCUGAUAUGUCUGUCAGAUUACUACAAGAGUUUCUUUCACCAAUCUCCUUUGCUACCAAUGUACCCUAAAUAAGAUAAGUAAACACAAAAAAAAAAAAGCAUUGCUCUAACAUGAAACCUAGUGAGUAAGAAUAAUAACAGUUUCUCCAAUCUCCAUGACCUCACAGAUCCAACCUGAUACAGAUAUUCAAGUGGUGCGGGACACGUCAUCAGCCACGUCAGAAGAGAGAGAGGACGCAAGAAGAAGUUUGUUACGAUUUCAAUUAAAAAGAGAGGGACGCUUUCAUUUUCAUUCAUUGGAGUAGUAUGAACAUUUUCUUUUCUUUUCUUUUCUACUUUCCUGGGAAAUCCAGUGAUUGAGUCGCUAGUCUGACUAGUUGCUUAACAUUGUAUUUCUUGAAUCGGUGUUUCCUGAACAUUGGAUUCUUCUUUCCUAUUCAUAAAUACAAAUACAAAUUAUUCUAUCAAAGGUAUCAGAGCUUCGACGCUUCUCGGCGAUGGCGGAAACACGAGCUCAAACUAUGAUGAAGGAAGCAACAGCUCGCGGUAUAGAAGAAAGCUUGGGAUCGCGAAUCGAUCACAUGCUGGAGAGAACACAUCAAUUAGAGGUUACGGUGGCGGAUCAGAAUACGAAGAUGGAUAAGAAUAUCGCAGAUAUGUUCGAAGCGAUUCGCUUGAUCCAAGGGAGCAAACAUCAGGCGUCGACAAGUAAUGAACAAAACACUGGUAGAGGAUCGCCGGUAGUUUCUCAUACUCCGAUCCUUCCACACGGUUCAAACGAGAUGGCGAGAGGCAGAUCUGGUUUUCCGUACAAUUACGCAGGUAUCACUCGUAUGGCGAAAUUGGAUUUUCCCAGAUUUGAUGGUGAACGCUUGAAGGAAUGGUUAUCUAAAGUAGAACAGCUAUUUGUGAUGGAUAAUACACCUGAGGAGUUGAAAGUGGGUUUAGCAUCGAUACAUUUCGAUGGUCUAGCCUCUACUUGGCAUCAGGCGGUGAUUCAAUCUGAGAUAAGUCAUGAUAUCCUUCGGGAUUGGCCGUUCUACAAGGAGUUGUUGAAAGAGAGAUUUGAGGAAGUUUUAGAUGAUCCUAUUGCAGAGUUGAAAGCAUUGCAGGAAACUGAUGGUAUUGUUGACUAUCAUGGGAAGUUUGAGCUUAUCAGAACGAGAGUCAAGCUUUCUGAGGACUACUUAGUCAGUGCAUAUCUUGCAGGACUGAGAGUUGAUACGCAAAUGCACAUCAGGAUGUUUCAACCACAAACAGUCCGUCAAUGCUUAAUGUUGGGUCGUCUAUAUGAAAAGGCACAUCCAAAGAAGGUCGUUUCUCAAGGGUGGGUGCCUCAGAAGGGUGGAAUGCAGAGUAGAGGGUUAUUACCAGUAAAGAAGGAUACAGAAGCAAAAAUGGAAUUUCAGAAAGUAGCAGAUAAACUUCCUGAUAAGCCAAGACCGUUUCUCUCACAAGAGGAAAUGAGCAAGAGGAGAGCUGCCGGUCUUUGCUACUUCUGUGAUGAGAAAUAUUCACCAGGCCACUACUUGAAACAUAAAAAAACACAACUGUUUAUGCUUGAGUGUGAGGAAGAGGAGGAAGUGUUGCAGAAUGAAGUGGAGUUGAGUGACGAAGUAGAAUCAGAGGUUGCUCAUAUCUCUGUUAAUGCAGUAGCAGGCAUUUCUGAUUAUCAAACGAUGAGAGUGAAAGGAAUUCAUGGAAAACGUUCAUUAUUCAUUCUCAUUGACUCUGGUUCAACUCAUAAUUUCAUGGAUGCAUUGGUAGCUGAGAAAUUGGGUUGUGAGUUGAAGCCAACUGGUAUUUCAAGAGUUGCAGUGGCUGAUGGUAGGAAGUUGGGAGUGAGUAAUAAGAUUGAUGACUUUCACUGGAAUUUUCAGAGUAUCUCUUUCAAAGCUGAUUUUAUGGUCAUACCUUUGGGAGGUUGUGAUAUGGUUCUUGGAGUUCAGUGGUUACAACAAUGGGGACCUAUCACGUGGGACUUUCAGAAUCUGACAAUGCAGUUUAAGAUGGGGAGGAAGGGCGUUUUGUUACAUGGGAUUAAAGAUGGUUCUGUUCGAGAAGUGAAGUCAGCUAAGCUGAACAGAUUGAGAGAAUCCGAGGUUCAGUUAGCAAUGAUAUCGGUGCAGCGAAUUGAUACUGAAUUACAAGCGUCUGCAUACACUAUGGAGAUGCAGAAUACCAACACAGAGAAAUUAUAUCCUGGUAUUUCAAACGCUUUACAAGAGUUUGAAGAUAUUUUUGAGGAACCAAAAGCUCUACCUCCUUUUCGCAAGAAUCAUGACCAUAAGAUACCACUGCUGGAAGGGUCUAAUCCGAUUAAUCAGCGGCCAUACCGGUAUGCAGUGUAUCAAAAAAAUGAAAUAGACAAGCUGGUUCAAGAGUUAUUGGAUGCAGGGACUAUUCAACCUAGUUCAAGCUCAUAUGCUUCUCCUGUGGUUUUGGUUAAGAAGAAGGAUGGGUCUUGGAGGUUAUGUGUUGAUUACCGUGGCCUGAAUGGGAUGACAGUGAAGGAUCGUUUUCCUAUUCCGUUAAUAGCAGAUUUAAUGGAUGAACUGGGAGGAUCAAAAGUGUAUUCCAAGAUUGACUUACGUGCAGGCUACCAUCAAGUGAGGAUGAACACAGAUGAUAUUCAUAAAACUGCUUUUAAAACUCACAGUGGCCAUUAUGAAUAUCUGGUGAUGCCUUUUGGUCUCACAAAUGCACCUGCUACAUUCCAAGGUCUAAUGAACACAGUGUUUAAAAGUCUCUUAAGGAAGUGUGUUUUGAUCUUCUUUGAUGAUAUAUUGGUGUAUAGUUCAUCAAUGGAAGAGCAUGAAAAGCAUUUGAAAAGCGUUUUUGCAUUAAUGAGAAGUAACAAGCUCUUUGCGAAGAUGAGUAAAUGCGCCUUUGCCACUGACAGAGUUGAGUAUUUGGGGCAUUACAUACAGGCAGAAGGAAUUUCAACUGAUCCUAAUAAGAUCAAGGCUGUUGCAGAGUGGGCUAUUCCGGUAUCUUUGAAGCAGUUACGGGGGUUUCUCGGUCUAGCAGGGUAUUACAGAAGCUAUGUCAAGAGUUUUGGUAUUAUUGCUAGACCCUUAACAGCUUUGACCAAGAAGGAUUGUUUUGGAUGGUCGGAAGAAGCAACAGAAGCUUUCAAUAAUUUGAAACGAGCUCUGUGCGAAGCUCCAGUGUUAGCGCUGCCUCGUUUUGACUUACCCUUCGUUGUUGAAACUGAUGCGUGUGGAGAGGGUAUAGGUGCGGUGCUAAUGCAAAAAGGCCACCCUAUUGCUUACAUCAGUCGUCAUCUUAAGGGUAAGCAACUGCAUCUUUCUAUCUAUGAGAAAGAACUUUUGGCAGUGGUGUUUGCAGUUCAAAAAUGGCGUCAUUAUCUUCUUACUGGUCAUUUUAUAAUCAAAACGGAUCAGCGUAGUUUGAAGUACUUGCUUGAACAGAGAUUGAAUACUCCUAUUCAGCAACAAUGGCUGCCAAAACUCUUGGAAUUUGACUAUGAGAUCCAGUAUAAACAGGGUAAAGAGAACCUUGUUGCUGAUGCUUUAUCAAGGAAGGAAGGUUCUGAAGUGUUGCACAUGGCAAUGACUGUUUUGGAGUGUGAUUUGAUGUUACAGAUUCAACAAAAUUAUGAUUCUGAUCCAACAACAAAGGAGAUUAUUGAAGCGUUGAAGUUGAGUUCGAGAAGUAAAAAACACUUUACAUGGUCUCAAGAGAUAUUAAGGAGGAAGAGUAAGCUGGUUGUGCCGAAUAAUACUAUUCUGCGUAACAAGAUCUUAGAUUGGAUGCAUAGUUCUUGCGGUGGAGGUCAUUCCGGACGUGAAGUUACGAGACAGAGAGUGAAAGGUCUGUUUUAUUGGAAAGGCAUGACCACAGAUAUUCAAGCUUUCAUACGCAGCUGUGAGGUUUGUCAAAGAUGCAAGUAUGACACUGCAGCUUAUCCUGGUCUGAUCCAACCUUUACCAAUUCCUGAGUUGAUUUGGACAGACAUUUCCAUGGAUUUUAUCGAUGGAUUACCUUCUUCUGCGGGUAAAACAGUGAUUUUGGUGGUGGUUGACAGGUUAUCUAAGGCCGCUCACUUCAUUGCUCUCUCUCAUCCGUAUACUGCAGCAUCAGUGGCUCAAGCUUUUCUCAACAAUGUGUUCAAGUUACACGGCUUCCCAAGAUCUAUUGUCAGCGAUCGUGAUGCAGUUUUCUUAAGUGAUUUUUGGAAAGAGCUGUUUGCUUUGCAGGGUGUAGCACUGAAUUACUCAAGUGCGUACCAUCCUCAGAGUGAUGGACAAUCUGAGGUGGUUAAUCGCUGCUUGGAGACAUAUUUGAGGUGCAUGUGUAGUGAUGAACCACAUCUUUGGAGUCGGUGGUUGCCUCUAGCUGAGUUUUGGUACAACACGAACUAUCACACAGCUAUUCAGAUGUCUCCUUUUGAAGCUGUGUAUGGUCAAGCUCCUCCACAACACUUACCUUAUCUACCUGGAGAGACUAAAGUGGCAGUGGUAGCUCGGUCGUUGGAAGAAAGGGAGAAGAUGUUAUUGGUCUUGAAGUUUCAUCUCUUGAGAGCUCAGCAUCGUAUGCAACAGGUUGCUAAUGAUCAUCGCACUGACAGGUCUUUCAAUGUUGGUGAUUAUGUCUUUGUGAAGUUGCAACCUUACAGGCAAAACUCCGUAGUUCACCGAAGUAAUCAGAAGCUAGCACCAAAAUAUUAUGGGCCUUAUGAGAUCAUUGAUCGUUGUGGGAAGGUUGCUUACAAGUUGAGGCUUCCGGAGUCUUCUCAAGUCCAUCCGGUUUUUCAUGUUUCACAACUUAAGAUAGUGGUGGGGGAUGUCCAUACUUCAACGGCUUUGCCUUCUCUUAACAAUGAGUUGUUGGUUAAGGAACCGGAGUUUAUCAUUGAGAGGAAAAUGGUUAAAAGGCAGAACAAACCUGCAACAAUGGAUUUGGUGAAAUGGAAGAAUAGACCUGCAGAGGAUUCAACGUGGGAGCUUUUGUAUGAUCUGGAGAAGCGCUUUCCUGAUACAAACCUUGUGGACAAGGUUGUCUAAACAGGGAGGAUUUGAUACAGAUAUUCAAGUGGUGCGGGACACGUCAUCAGCCACGUCAGAAGAGAGAGAGGACGCAAGAAGAAGUUUGUUACGAUUUCAAUUAAAAAGAGAGGGACGCUUUCAUUUUCAUUCAUUGGAGUAGUAUGAACAUUUUCUUUUCUUUUCUUUUCUACUUUCCUGGGAAAUCCAGUGAUUGAGUCGCUAGUCUGACUAGUUGCUUAACAUUGUAUUUCUUGAAUCGGUGUUUCCUGAACAUUGGAUUCUUCUUUCCUAUUCAUAAAUACAAAUACAAAUUAUUCUAUCACAACCACUGCUCGUUGCUCUACCAGAGUAUAGCUUCUCCACAAAUCUAAUCCUACAACUUCUUCCCUGUACAACAACAACACAAUUCAACUCAAUUGAGUAGAUGCUCAAAGAUAUGGUUCCAAAUCAACAAUCUGAAGCCUCAGAAGCUUAAAGAUUCAAUCUUUACAAGCACAUAAAAAUGAAGCUUCAAAAUCGUUCUCGCCAGCUCUCUACACGACGAUCCUUCACACGGAUAUUGGCUAAAUCUCCUAAAUGACUUUAAAAGCUUUAGAACAAGCAAAAGUCACAAAAGUCUAGUUGGCUAAAUAUUGGCUCUUUUUGAUUACUUCCGUUGUACAAAUCUCAUUUUUUUGUUCUCAGUAUUUCGUUAUUUCACGAGCUACUUAAGUACUAACUUCACAUUCGAUUGAGUUUGUUCUCAGAAUAUUUUUUGGAUAUGGGACGGUUCUAUAUAGUUUAUGGCUGUGAGGGUUGGCGUGGGGAUUGUAUUUGCCGAAGUUCAAAAGACUUCCCACUCCUUUUAGUUCCCGUCUUUACUUUUCGACUCAAGACUGGCUUACGUUUUCUUCUUGUAAAGAAGGUUCUCUCAGACUUUUCUCUUGGUCUUCUCAAAAGCAAGUACACGAGCUGACCUACACGGUAAACUGGUAGUCUGAUAGACCCGUAUCAAUCAAUGAGGAGGCAACUCUGCUUUCUGCAUUCAAGCAUACUAUUAAAUAUGCCAUGAGAAAUAUCCACACAUGAACUUAAUAUCGAUUAGGAAAAUUGUAUCGCAAAUGUAAACCUAAGUAAAUAAGUCUUUAGUAAGUACUUGUUGGUUGGUUUGAAAUUUGUUUGAAACUUCUCGUAAUUAAUGCAAGGGACCGACCAAUCUGUGUGGAAAUAGAUUAGUGAACACAAAAAAUUGAAGUUCAUGUGUAUGCUGAGCGUUUGGCUGAGGAAGGUAAAGCUACCUGCAAUGAGAUGCUUUCCACUAAGGAGUCUGCUCUGAUGUAUGCUGAGCGUUUGGCAGAGCUUGCUCCCGGAUGGGUAUAUGAGACUGCACAACCUCCUAAUUUUCAUACAGCUCAGAAUAAGUAUUACUUCUUUUGUCUGUUUGAUUAUUAUAAGAAAUUGCCAUUUCUUUGUUGUUAUUUUCCUUGAUGCGUUUUACCUUCAGAUGGUGGUCACUUGUUGAGAAGUCAUGGGGAAUAGUCCAAACAUAUCCACAAAUCUUGCCUUUUUACUCGGAUUUCAAUCAGGUAAUCUGAGAUUGAUCUAGUCUUUCUUCCUAUCAGUUAUCUGAUGCUCCAUGGUACAACAUAUCUUGCCAAAGUCUCCAGGUUCAACCAUCUUAUAGUCAUUCAUUGUACAUAUAAUAUUAUCUUCUCAUCUGAUUGUUGUGUUAUUCACGUCAGCCACUCCUAGAGUUCAAGGAAGACAAGUUCUAAACUUGGACUCCUGCUUCGUUUCUCAUCCCCAUCACACGAAACUAAAUCAAUACUUGUGGCCCCACAAGAACCAAUCCCCAUAUUAGUAGAUCACAUGUUCUUGAAGUGCCUUGUCAUGGAUGGACACACACUGAUUGAAAUCUUUGCCUUUUGCUACGGACCAUAGAACUCGACAAAGACAUCAGAGUACGUUGCAUUGCUCGGUCACAUCUCAAUCAAAGAUCAUGUUCAGCUCCUCCAGCAAAACUUCGUUUCCUUACAUCAUGGGUCAUCGAGGCUCAUAACAUACAGCUUGUACCGUGUAAUUCCGGUUCUAAGAUCCUCAGGGUUAAGCUAGAAUGGAGACAGAAACAGCGUGAAGACUCUGUUCUCCCAGUGUACAAUGUGUAUGCAGAGAGUGUGAAGUCAACUGAUGUACUAAGAUCGAGGAAGGUUUUGGAGAAACCAAGAAGCGAGAGAGUGUUCCUCGGAAUCUCUCACGUACCAGCCUACUACGUUUCGGAACUGGUGCUAGAUUCGGACGUGAAAGGAGUCAGCUUCGUGGUUCAAUCCUGUGGUGAAGAUGGUUCAUGGAUGAAGGUAGAUGAUUCCCCUAACCUUCUUGUGGACUUGGAAGGUCUCUCGUAGGUUGCUUGAAACUAUGUAUGAAACGAUUAAUAAUGUAUAUUACAAAAAUACAUUAAUAUAGAAAGUGGGGAAAAACAUAAUAAAAAAAUCUGAACUAGUCUUACCAACUAGUCUCCUCCAUAUGUGAACUAGUCUCUUUUCUGUAUAUUUUAUCGAAUGAAAGUGGGAUAAUUAUCACCAAACUUGUUAUUAUGGACUGAGAAAGAAAAAAUGCGGAAACUGAUUGGGUCAUCAACAUUUAUUUUCGGGCAAUUCUCUCAGAUAACUAUUUUUAAGUUUUUAUCAUAAAAAUAGCCCUCAAAAAAUAAAAUGACAAAAAAAAAUUUAUUUUGAAUUUUUUACAUUUAUUUUUUAUCCUUUUUAAACUUGAAAUCUUAUCCCAAAAUCUCACAUUUUAGCUCUAAACCCUAAGUCUAGAUUAAUUAACUUUAGGGAUAUAAAUACAUAUUUAACUUUUAAUAAAAUCUCUUUCGAUCAUUUUCCAUCUUGAUAACUAUUUUUAUGAAUUAAAAAGGCUAUUCGAUAGAAUUUCGCUUCAUAUAUUGAAGAAGAAAGAAAAAUCGACCGAGUAAAAUCGGGGAAAAUGCAUAUUUCAACCUGAACAUUACUCAUUGUGUUUAUUCUUACCUGAACUUUGUAAAAGUGCGUAUUUCAUACCGAACUACAUAAAAGCUCAAAAAUACUACAUGAAUUUUAAACGUUAUGCCUUUUUCUUUGCGAAGUUUACAGUAGUGCAUAUAUCAUACUGAACUAAACAAAAAUUCAAAAAUACUACAUGUACUCUUAAAAUCGUGCUAUACUGACCAUCAAAGGUGUUAUUCAACAAUUAAUUUAUCAAACGACGUUGUUUUUAAUAAAUUCUGUAAAUUUUUAAUUUAACAAUACUAUAUUUUUAAACACCUUAAAAAUAUUACAUAAACUCUCAAAAUCGUGUUUACAUAUUAAUUUUUAAUUUUACAAAAUUUAACCAAAAUGACGUCAUUUUGAUAAAUUAACGGAUGACUAACAUCUUUGAUUGUCAAUCUAUAUAUAAACACGAUUUUGAAAGUUUAUGUAGUAUUUUCAAAUUUUAAAUUUUACAGAAUUUAUCAAAAACAAAAUCUUUUGCCUCUGAUCUAAAGGCAAACCAACACAAAAUUCUAAAAUUUUACAAUAUAGUUCAAUUUUUAGUAAUACUAUAAAGUAAAUAUUUAAAUUAAUAAUAAUUGGUCUAAAUUUAUAAAAUAUUUUUAAAGUUAAAUUAAAACAUAAAUGAUUAUACAUUUUUUUAUAAAACUGGAACAAUAAAACUUUGAUAAUAUUUAUUUGAUUAAAAUAAAACUUAAAUAUCAGUUACUGUUUAAAAAUUUAUACAAUAAAUUUACAUUGGUCUAGUAAUUAAUCUGAUUUUACUUGUCCACCAGUAUGAGAAUUUGAACCUUCCAAAAAUUAAUUUUUAAUUUUACAGAAUAUAUUCAAAAUGACGUCAUUUAAUAAAUUAACGGAUGACUAAUAUUUUUGACGUCAAUAUAUAUAAACACGAUUUUGUGAGUUUAUACAGUAUUUAAAUUUUACAUUUUACAUAAUUUAUCAAAAACGACGUCGUUUGAUAGAUUAAUGGUUGAAUAACACCUUUGACGAUUAAUAUAUAUAUAUUAGCACAAUUUUGAGAAUUUAUGUAGUGUUUUUGAAUUUUUUGUUUAGUUCAGUAUGAAAUAUGCACUACUAUAAAUUUCAGAAAGGAAAAAGUACAACACUUAAAGUUUAUAUAGUAUUUUAAAGUUUUAUGUAAUUCGGUAUGGAAUACCACCACUUCAAAGUUCGGGAGAAAAUAAGCACGACGGGUAAAGUUCAGGUUGAAAUAAACAUUUUUCCCAAUGAUUCAGUCACAUUCACAAUUAAUUUUACAAAAAAAUUCCAAAAUGACGUCAUUUUGAUAAAUUAAUGGAUGACUAACAACUUUGAUUGUCAAUAUAUAUAUAAGCACGAUUUUAAGAGUUCAUGUAGUAUUUUUGAAUUUUUUUGUUAGUUCAAUAUGAAAGAUGCACUACUUUAAAGUUCGUGAAGAAAAAUACACAACACUUAAAGUUCAUGUAGUAUUUUUUGAAUUUUUAUGUAGUUCGGUAUGAAAUAGACAUUAUUACAAAGUUCAGGUAGGAAUAAGUACGAUGGUUAAAAUUCACGUUGAAAUAUGCACUUUUCCCGAGUAGACGAUCUCCCCUGAGGAAUAUUAUUAGUUGAAGAAUGUACUCGCUAUGAUAUGGGGCCAUAUGGCUCGAUAGUGAUUACAUUCAUGACGAAAAAUUAAUUCUUCUGUCAUGAAGAAUGUUCUCGUCCAGCUAGCUUGAUAUUUUUGCUCAUUUUGAUUGAUUCUUAGUGAAGAGUUGAUCCUUUUGUCAUGUUUGCAUAUAUUUCUCAUUUUCGAAGUCAUGAGGAAUAAACCAAAAAUAAAAAUAAGACCACUGGCCGUUGAUUUUUCUUGGAAAGGUUGAUGUUUGUUUUCUUCUUAUUAGUAUAAGAGAUUCAUUCUUAUUUUGAAAUUCUAUCAAAAUUAAACUAGUGUAGCAGUUAAAUUAGUUUUUUUUUUCUUAAAGCUAGGAAUGUCAUAAUGUCAUAAAAUCUUGACUUUUUUAAAUUAUAAGUAAAAAAGAUAAAACAUUCAUUUACUAUCAAAUCGAAAGACUAUAAUAUAUGCAAUGCAUGGGUCUUAGUAUAUGCAAUAUGCAUGGGUCUCGUAAACAUUAGUUUGAAUCCAAAUAUAAACCUAAGCAAAAUAAGACUUCAUAAUUAACGUCUUCUUUGGUGUAGACAAUUUUUUUUUUUUGAAAAUUCAUGUAAUUAGUGUAGGGGACCAAUAUGUGUGGAAAUUUGACUAUCCGACACAAAGACUUUGCUUUCGACGUGAUGAAUAUUGGAUUUAUCUCUGUGGAUAUUUUCUGUGUGGAAUAAAAACGAAGUCUAUUAUUGCGCUAUAAAGAGAUGGGCAUGGAAGCAUGUUACUCAUCACCAAUUUCCCUUUUCUUUUCAAAGUUAAAUAAGCUUAAAGAAGAAUGAAAGGCUUUUGGAACAUAACGAGUACCUUUUCUCUUACUCUUUCUAUACUUUUCCUAUUCGGCUACAGUUAUGAGGACGUGUCUGCGGUUCCCACUAGGCACUUGUGUCGUCCGGAACAAAGGGAUGCACUUCUCCAAUUCAAGAACGAGUUUGAGGUUCUAAACUUUUCCUUAACUUACUAUUAUUGUAUGUAUAAAGGUAUUAAACCUCAUGGGAAAACAGAGUCAUGGAUGAAUAACAGCGACUGCUGUAAUUGGGAGGGUAUAACGUGCAACCCCAAUUCCGGUGAAGUGAUUGGGAUAGACCUUAGUUGCAGCUACCUACGUGGCAGGUUUCAUUCUAGUAGCAGUCUUCAAAACCUUCAUUCUCUAACCACUCUAGUCCUUUCAAAUAAUGAAUUUAGUGGUCCAAUCAUGUCUUUAAUUGGAAACCUUUCUCAUCUCACCUCUGUGGACCUUUCGCGAAAUGGUUUCAGCGAGUUCAUUCCUUCUUCGAUAGUAGAUAUUUAUUAUCUCAACUUUCUCGAUCUUUCAUCUAAUCGUUUUUCUGGUCAGAUUCCAUCUUCUAUUGGAAAUCUUUCUCAUCUCACCUAUCUCGAUCUUUCAUAUAAUAGUUUUCCUGGUCAGAUUCCAUCUUGGAUUGGAAAUCUUUCUCAUCUCACCAAUCUUGACCUUCGUUCUAAUCAGAUUUUGGGUCAGAUUCCAACUUGGAUUGGAAAUCUUUCUCAUCUCACCAAUCUUGACCUUCGUUCGAAUCAGAUUUCGGGUCGGAUUCCAUCUUCGAUUGGAAAUCUUUAUAACCUCGCUUAUCUUGACCUUUUUGGGAAUGAUAUUGUUGGAGAAAUCCCAUCUUCUUUUGGCAAUCUAAACCAGCUGACCACCUUAGAUGCUAGUCUCAAUAGGCUCAAUGGAAGCCUUCCCAUUGCACUACUGAAUUUGACAAAGUUGUCAUAUUUAGGACUCUAUUACAAUCAGUUCACAGGCACAAUUCCUCAUAACAUCACUUCACUAUCCAAAUGAUUCAGUCACAUUCACAAUUAAUUUUACAAAAAAAUUCCAAAAUGAAGUCAUUUUGAUAAAUUAACAGAUGACUAACAACUUUGAUUGUCAAUAUAUAUAAGCACGAUUUUGAGAGUUCAUGUAGUAUUUUUGAAUUUUUGUUUAGUUCAAUAUGAAAUAUGCACUACUGUAAAGUUCGUGAAGGAAACACAACGCUUAAAGUUCAUGUAGUAUUUUUUGAAUUUUUAUGUAGUUCGGUAUGAAAUAUGCAUUAUUACAAAGUUCAGGUAGGAAUAAGUAUGAUGGUUAAAAUUCACGUUGAAAUAGGCACUUUUCCCGAGUAGACAAUCUCGCCCUGAGGAAUAUUAUUAGACCAACCGCAACGGAGGCACGUUGGGAGUCCUUAGCCGCUAAACCGAUGUAUUAUGCAAUUUUAUAAUAAUAUUUAGGUUAAGAUAACCAAGGAUGAGUCCGUAGAUAAGGAGUCGAAGGACUUGAUCCUUGUGCACGUGGCGGAGGGUGAUAGGGCUGGGUCGCAUAUGUGUUUUGUUUUGAAAAAAAAAAAUCAUUCAACCGAAGCCGAGGAAAAAAAAAACAAAGCUCUCGACGAAAAGGCGAUAUCGUUGUGGUUCCUCAAUCGUGUUCUUCCACGAAGAUCCAAGGUAAAUCGUUGUCUUCUGUGGUCGAUUUAAUGAUUAAACUAGGUUUUAUGAUGUUAUCGUCUCAAUUUAGGGUUCGUUUUCCGUUUCAAUCGAUUUGGGGAUACUUUCGAUUUAGGGUUUCAAAAUUUUUUUGGGUUUUCAAUUGAUUUCCGAUUCUUUUGGCUUCAACUUAUUCAAAACGUUCUCGGUUUCAAUCUAAGGGAUCUUCGUAUUUGUUCUUAAACAUGUUUCGAUUUCGGUUUCGAAAUACCAAUUUGUUUUCAAUCGAUUUGAACGUCUAUUUGUUUUCUUAUUACGGUUUAUAUGUGUUUGGUUUUUAGUUUGCGUAUCUGUAUGGUUUGGUUAUUCUUAUCUUGUUGUCUGUUAAACUCGAAAACUCAAUCUUGGAUGCCCUCUGUAGUGUUGCCUAUCUUGUUUUAUUAGUUCUCGUUCUCGUUAUUCUGUUCUGUUGCUCUGUAGUCUUAUUGCUCUUUAAUAAUCCUUCUUCUUUGCUUAUAAAUUAUCUAUUUUUUUCAGGUCAACCAACCAUGGGACAAGACUAUAGCUACAGCCAGCCUUCUUCAUCUUCGGAGUUUGACAUGACCUCCCUACUCUUAGCAGAAGCUGAAGCCUACGCGGAUGAAGCUGAGAGUAGCUACACAAUUGAAGAGCCGGUUCAGUACCCACUGCAACCUGAGGCAGAUGAAGGCAUCCCGACGACAUGCUAUUGUGGUGCUGAGCCAGUUGUUGAAACUUCGUACACUCCUAGAGAUCCAGGCAGAAGGUACUUCUCGUGCGUCAACGUUGACGAUGGAGACUGUCACAUUUGGAAGUGGUGGGAUGUGGCGAUCAUGGAGGAGAUGCGUGACGUUCAGAGAAAAAUCAGGCUUCUCAAGGAUCAAUUCUUUGAGACUGACCAGAAGGUGGCAAAGCUAGAGAAGACCGUUGGUUUGUUACGUAAGAAGAAUUCAGGGGUUGCAAAGGGAGUUUGUCUACUGGUCAUGGUAAUAACGGUCAUGAUUUUGUGCUGGUAAGUUACUAUCCUUAGUUUAGGUAAUUUAUUUGAAUAAAAAAUACUUGUAACUCUUUUCUGUUAUGUGUUUUCAGGAAGAGCUUUGGAGGAUUUAAGCCACAACGUCUCAACUCGAGAUUGUCUUGCCAGGUACGAUCUUGCUGCUGCUUAAUAAAAACCAGGAUUUGGUCGGGAGCAUUGACUGUAUGCAUUGGGAGUGGAAAAAUUGCCCAACCGCUUGGAAAGGACAGUACGCACGUGGAUCAUCAAAACCGACAAUUGUCCUAGAGGCUGUAGCUUCGCAAGAUUUUUGGAUCUGGCACACCUUUUUUGGUCAUCCAGGUACAUUAAAUGAUAUUAAUGUCCUCGAUCGGUCUCCUGUAUUUGAUGAUAUUUUAGAAGGUCGAGCUCCCAGGUUAAGGUAUGUGGUCAACGGACACAUGUAUAAGUUGGCAUACUACCUCACAGACUGUAUAUAUCCCAAAUGGUCAACAUUUAUCCAAUCUAUCACACUCCCUCAAUCUCCGAAACAAGAGUUAUUUGCUAAAGUGCAAGAAGCAGCCCGAAAAGAUGUGGAGCGGGCUUUUAGAGUAUUGCAAGCUUGAUUUGUGAUUGUGAAAAACCCGGUUCGUACAUUGGACAAAGAAAAGAUAAGGAAGAUUAUGAGAGCGUGUAUCAUACUACACAAUAUGAUAGUUGAAAAUGAACGAGAUGGUUACAGCCGGUACGAUGCAGAAGAAUUUGAAGAAGGAGACGUCACCAGAAGUUCAGAGGUCGAAACCAAGAGGCCUACAAAUAUGAAUAAUUUGUUUCCCAAUCGGAAUGAUCUUCGUGAUAGGCAUAUGCAUGAACGAUUGAAGAAUGAUUUAAUCAAAAAUAUUUAGAACAAAUUUGGUGAUGAAGAUUAAUAAUUUGUGUAUCUUUUCCUUUCAUCAUUGUAUCUUUAUUUUUAGUUAUGCAAUUAACAAAAUUUCAAUUUCAAUUUAAUUUUUUUUUUAUUAUUGCUAAGGACUUCAUCUUCAGACACACCAUUGGACGACCAUUUUUGAUUCCAAUCCUUAACUAUUCAAAAAAAAUAUAUAUUAAUAAAAUAAUGCUAAAGAUCCAUUGCUGGAGCACACCAUUGCAUAUGCUCUUAGUUGAAGAAUGUACUCGCUAUGAUAUGGGGACAUAUGGCUCGAUCGUGAUUACAUUCAUGACGAAAAAUUAAUUCUUCUGUCAUGAAGAAUAUUCUCGUCCAGCUAGCUUGAUAUUUUUGCUCAUUUUUUUUUUUUGAUAACUAUGGUAUCUGGGCAGCCACAGUCCCAACUAUCCCCCGUAGGGGGUCCAGCGCUCCAGCGGAAGGGAUGUUAAAUCCGCUGUGGCCGGGGCUCGAAGUCGGGCACCUCAGCCGAGGUUCUUUUACCACCAGACCACGAGGCCCGGUUAAAAACUGUUGUGGGUAAACUUUUUAUAUUGACUGACCCCACCCCGAAAGGCCCCGCAUCUAGGAAAACCCCUUAGGAUUUUUUUGGAGAGGUUUCAGUACCACCCCGCCGACAGAGUGUCGAACCCGCGACCUCUGGCAGUCGUGUGUGAGAAUCCCUUCAGUACUGCCGCUAGGCCACCUGAAGUAUCUCAAAACUGUUGUGGGUAAACUUUUUAUAGUGACUGACCCCACCCCGAAAGACCCCGCAUCCAGGAAAACCCCUUAGAAUUUUGUUGGAGAGGUUUCAGUACCACCCCGCCGACAGAGUGUCGAACCCGCGACCUCUGGCAGUCGUGUGUGAGAAUCCCUUCAGUACUGCCGCUAGGCCACCUGAAGUAUCUCCAAGUGAUUGAUUCUUAGUGAAGGGUUGAUCCUUUUGUCAUGUUUGCAUAUAUUUCUCAUUUUUGAAGUCAUGAGGAAUAAACCAAAAAUAAAAAUAAGACCGCUGGCCGUUGAUUUUUCUUGGAAAGGUUGAUGUUUGUUUUCUUCUUAUUAGUAUAAGAGAUUCAUUCUUAUUUUGAAAUUCUAUCAAAAUUAAACUAGUGUAGCAGUUAAAUUAGUUUUUUUUUAUUAAAGCUAGGAAUGUCAUAUAAAUUAAACUAGUGUAGCAGUUAAAUUAGUUUUUUUUUUCUUAAAGCUAGGAAUGUCAUAAUGUCAUAAAAUCUUGACUUUUUUAAAUUAUAAGUAAAAAAGAUAAAACAUUCAUUUACUAUCAAAUCGAAAGACUAUAAUAUAUGCAAUGCAUGGGUCUUAGUAUAUGCAAUAUGCAUGGGUCUCGUAAACAUUAGUUUGAAUCCAAAUAUAAACCUAAGCAAAUUAAGACUUCAUAAUUAACGUCUUCUUUGGUGUAGACAAUUUUUUUUUUGAAAAUUCAUGUAAUUAGUGUAGGGGACCAAUAUGUGUGGAAAUUUGACUAUCCGACACAAAGAUUUUGCCUUCGACGUGAUGAAUAUUGGAUUUAUCUCUGUGGAUAUUUUCUGUGUGGAAUAAAAACGAAGUCUAUUAUUGCGCUAUAAAGAGAUGGGCAUGGAAGCAUGUUACUCAUCACCAAUUUCCCUUUUCAUUUCAAAGUUAAAUAAGCUUAAAAGAAGAAUGAAAGGCUUUUGGAACAUAACGAGUACCUUUUCUCUUACUCUUUCUAUACUUCUCUUACUCGGCUACAGUUAUGAGGACGUGUCUGCGGUUCCAACUAGGCACUUGUGUCGUCCGGAACAAAGGGAUGCACUUCUCCAAUUCAAGACCGAGUUCGAGGUUCUAAACUCUUCCUUUUCUUCUUAUAAUUGUUAUAUCAAUGAUGAUAUACUAGUGUCUCAUCGGAAGACGGACUCAUGGGCGAAUAACAGCGACUGCUGUAAUUGGGAGGGUAUCACGUGCGAUGCCAAAUCCGGUGAAGUGAUCGAGCUAGACCUUAGUUGCAGCAACCUACGUGGCACGUUUCGUUCCAAUAGCAGUCUGCAAAACCUUCAUUCUCUAACCACCCUAAACCUUUCACUUAAUGAUUUUAGUGGUCAAAUCAUGUCUUCAAUUGGAAACCUUUCUCAUCUCACCUCUCUCGACCUUUCACUAAAUGGUUUCAGCGAGUUCAUUCCUUCUUCGAUAGUAGAUCUUUAUUAUCUCACCUCUAUCGAUCUUUCUCAAAAUCGUUUUUCGGGUCAGAUUCCAUCUGCGAUUGGAAAUCUUUCUCAUCUCACCAAUCUUGAGCUUCGUUCGAAUCAGAUUUCGGGCAAGAUUCCAUCUUCUAUUGGAAAUCUUUAUAACCUCGCUUAUCUUCGCCUUUCUGGGAACAAUAUUGUUGGAGAAAUCCCAUCUUCUUUUGGCAAUCUAAACAAGUUGACCAGCUUAGAUGUUGCUGUAAAUUGGCUCAAUGGAAGCUUUCCCAUUGCACUACUGAAUUUGACAGAGUUGUCAUCUUUGCUACUCUAUUACAAUCAGUUCACAGGAACAAUUCCUCCUAACAUCACUUCGCUAUCCAAAUUGACGACCUUUGAUGCAAGAAACAACGCUUUCACUGGGACCCUGCCUUCUUCCCUCUUAACCCUUCCUUCUAUGGAUAGUGUUGAUUUGUUUGAUAACCAACUCAACGGUAAUCUUGAACUUGGGAAUAUAUCUUCACCAUCUAAGCUACGAGAGUUAGACGUUGGCAGAAACAACUUGAGAGGGCCAAUCCCGGCCACGAUAUCAAAAUUUACAAACCUUGUCCGACUUGACCUUUCCCACUACAAGACACAAGGUCCGAUUGAUUUUAGUAUCUUCUCGCAUCUCAAGAGGCUGGAAGAUCUUGACCUAUCCUAUUUGAACACGACCACUACCAUUGACUUGAAUGAUAUCUUGUCAUAUUUUAAGAGACUCAGUUGGUUGGUUCUCUCAGGCAACCAUGUUUCAGCCACAAACAAGAGUCCAGUCUCAGAUCCCCCUUUGCUGCAUUAUUUGGAAUUGUCAGGCUGCGGUAUCAACGAGUUUCCAGAGUUUGUAAGAAACCAAAAUAUGUCAUUUAUAGACAUUUCCAACAAUAAAAUCAAAGGACAAGUGCCCGGCUGGUUGUGGACGAAGCUACCGAAUCUGUCUUACCUGGAUCUUUCCAACAACAAUUUCACUGGCUUCGAAAAACCAACAACAGUUUUAGUUUCAGGGCUAUAUAGCAUAACCGUGCUUGCCUCAGACAACAAUUUCACGGGAAAGAUUCCUUCUUUCAUAUGUGAUUUGCGCUCUGUAUACAUUCUUGAUUUAUCAAACAACAACUUCAGUGGUUUAAUCCCUCGUUGUCUGGGUAAUCUCAAGCUUUCUCUUUUAUACCUAAACCUUCGUCAGAAUCGUCUUCAUGGAGGUCUUCCGGAGAAUAUAUUUGAAAGCUUAAUAACGCUUGACGUCGGUCAUAACCAACUGACUGGAAAGCUUCCAAGAACUUUGAUUCAUUCCCCUUAUCUUGAAGUUCUGAACGUGGAAAGCAACUUUAUCAAUGAUACGUUUCCGUUGUGGUUGAGUUCUCUACUACAACUAAAAAUUCUUGUGUUACGCUCCAAUGCUUUCCAUGGACCGGUACAUCAAACUUCGUUCCCUGAGUUGCAAAUCAUCGACAUAUCGCACAACCACUUCAAUGGAGCUUUGCCAUCAGACUACUUUGUGAAGUGGAGUGCUAUGUCGUUACUUGGGACUGUUUCUUAUGAUCAGCGGGAUGAUAUGUACAUGGGAUAUUACUAUUACCAUGAUUCAAUGGUGUUGAUGAAUAAAGGUUUAGGGAUGGAAUAUCAACGUAUCCUAAAAACUUUGAGAGCACUCGACUUUUCAGGGAACAAAUUUGAAGGAGAGAUCCCAAGCUCCAUCGGUCUAUUGAAAGAGCUUCUUGUGCUCAGCUUGUCGAACAAUGCUUUCACUGGCCACAUCCCUUCAUCUAUGGGAGACCUGACAGCUCUUGAGUCAUUGGACGUUUCCCAAAACCAGCUUUCAGGAGAAAUUCCCCAAGAGCUAGGGAGCCUCUCAUUCCUUUCAUACAUGAACUUCUCUCAUAACAAGCUUACAGGUCUAGUACCAGGAGGCACUCAGUUUCUAAGGCUGAACUGCACUUCCUUUGACGGUAAUCCGGGACUUUCUGGCCCUUCUCUUGAAGAAAUUUGCAGAGAUAUUCACACGCCAACACCGCAUGAAACGCCCCAUUUAGAGGAAGAAGAAGAGGAAGAGGUGUUGAGUUGGAUAGCAGCUGUCAUAGGAGUCAUACCUGGUUUUGCCUUUGGUUGGGUGAUUGAUCAUAUGAUGAACAAGUAAUAUAGAAUCAAGAGUAAAUGCUCAAAGUUAUGGUUCCAAAUCAACAAUCUGAAACCUCAGAAGCUAAAGUUUCAAUCUAUAAAAGCACAUAAAAAUGAAAACUUUACCAUAUAUUCACAAUCGCUUAGCAGAAACAGAGACCAAGAAAGUUUAUAUCUUUACCUGAAGCAGCAGCUCAACGUUUACCAAGCUUGGAUCUUUCAAGCUCCAUCUGCAUAUCCAUCAGCAUGUUCAUCCGUUGCAACUCAAGCUCCUUCGCAGCUUCCAUCCUCUGCUUCUCCAGCUCAACCAUCAUCCUCUGCUUCGCACCUUCGACCCUCUCGUACACCUCCCCCAACUUCAAAAUCGCCCUCGCCACCCCCCUACACUACGACCCUUCCCCUCCACUCUGAUCCACAUCCUCCACUCUCCGAUGCUUCCUCACCACAAACCCCCAAUCAGAGGAAGAAGAAGAGGAAGAGGAAGAGGAGUUGUAAUAGGAGUCAUACCUGGUUUUGCCUUUGGUUGGGUGAUUGGAUACAUAUUUGUUCAUGAAUCCUUUUGUCCGAAACAAACGCGGACGCAGCAGUACAACAACUCAUUAAAGAGUUAAUAUUCCAGAGUUUUAAAUCAACUUGUUAUUACCAAACAUUGGAAGAAACAAACUUGUGCAAACUGGUACAACGCCUGCUCUCUAGUUGUGUUAUUCUUCAUAUACAGCAAGCCAAUACAGAUUCGUUACACUAACUCUCUGACCAUACAACCUCAAGAGCUGUAAACUGGUACGUAGUUAGGUUUUCAUUAAUCAUUUCAACAUUGUUGUCAAAGUUUGUAAUGUUUUCGAGUCUUUGUGGCAGUGUCUACCGGUGAAAUGUUUUUGAAGGGGAAUUGUAUCGAGAAGGCGAGGAAGAUAAAAGGCUGACAAAUAUGGAAGACUGGGAUUGGGAAAAGAGUUGACAGGGUUCUGUGAAGUUAAAUGGAGUGAAGACUGGUGAGUCAUUUAAGCUGGAACCCAUCAAGGAAGAAGGGCUCUGCUCCAAAGUUUGAAAUUCUUAAGUACUUUGCCUUCUAUUAUAUCUACUCGCUAUGUAUUUUUUUUUUUGGCUGUAAUGUAUCGUGCAAGGCUUUAGAAGUUUGGGAUGAACAAAGCAAAACAGUUACAACAAUGUUGUUCAUUAGAAGUUCAUUGGGAUUGUAAACAAUUUGUUGACCUCAUCAAAAGAUUCUUAGGUCCACAGUUAGUUCAAAAACACCAAUGAAUACUAACUAACUUUUUACUCUGCCCCCUGAACGCUCAUCUUCUCAUAGUAGAGGGGCAAAUUUGAUUACAUCAUCCAGUGUAUCAAACAACUUACCAUCCAAAUCCAAACCAUUCUUUUGAUUGCUUUCUUUAUACGAAUUUGUGCUUUAGCUCAUGUUUUGUUCUUGGUUUUUCACUAAAUUAGCAGCUUAUAUGUAUUCUUCCUAUAAAGAACGUUCUCUCGGACUUUCUCUCAAGCAAGUACACGAGCAGGUCUACACGUCUGUCAGUCUCAGUCUGCUUCGAAAUCAAUGAGGAGGGCAACUGGUGCAUAUAGUCUGCUUUCUUACUAUUUAAUAUGACCAGAGAAAUUUCCACGCAUGAACUUAAUAUCGAUUAGGAAAGUUGUUUUGCUUUCGCUGUAAUGUAUAGUGAAUUUUUCUUUGUGUAAUAAAUAUACAGUUAAAUUAGCUUAAAGAAAAAUGAGAGGCUUUUGGAACUUAACGUGUACCAUUUCUCUUACUCUUUCUAUACUUUUCUUUUUCUGCUACAAUUAUGAGGACGUGUCUGCGGAUACUACUAGGCACUUGUGUCGUCCUGUUCAAAGGGAUGCACUUCUCCAUCUUCGAUUGGAAAUCUUUCUCAUCUCAUCUCACCUACCUUGACCUUUCUUCUACUCAAAUUUUGGGUCAGAUUCCAUCUUCUAUUGGAAAUCUUUUGAUUAACGCAGCUUCUCACGUCAGCGACUCCAAAUCUUACGGUGGCUACUUCGUGUGAAACGACGCGGACAAUGGUGAUGACAUAAAAGUGUCGCCGUAAUAGUAAAAAAUAGUCGCCGCGUGAGUCGUAACUGACGCUACAAUUUUUAGCGGCAAAGUGGUUUUUCAGCAAUCUUGCUUUUAAAGUAACGGAAAUAUAGAGCAAAAAAGAGACGCAGACGCUAACGCAGCGUUUAUCAGAAGAACAUGACUAUUGUUGGUGAUAUCCCAUCUUCUAUUGGCUAUCUAAACCAGCUGACCACCUUAAGUGUUUAUUAAAAUAAGCUCAAUGGAAGCUUGCCCAUUACACUACUGAAUCUGACAGAGAUGUCAUAUUUAGUACUCAGCGUCAAUCAGUUUACAGGAACAGUUCCUCAUAACAUCACUUCACUAUCCAAAUUGAGAAUUUUCGAUGCAAGUAACAAUGCUUUCACUGGAACCCUGCCUUCUUCUCUCUUCACAAUUCCUUCUAUUGAUUACUUUAAUUUGUCUAAUAACCAACUCAACGGUAUUCUUGAGCUUGGGAAUAUAUCUUCACCACCUAAGCUACAAGUUAUGUUGUUAGAGCUUUUGUUAUGUUGUGUAGUGAAUGUUGGGUGAUGAUUUUGCGGUUCCUAGAGCUUUUUUCACUGAGCUUUUGUUGAAAUGCUUAUCCCUCUUCUUUUCUUUUCAUUUCAGGUUCGAUUCAUAUUGGUGGGUUUUUGUCAAAGGGGUCAUGCGAUCCUACUUUGUUAAACGACAUUGUUUCGGUCCUUGUGCUUGGAUACAAGUAUCCUGAUAUCGCCGAUAUUUUCAGCUAUGUUGGAUCAAAGUGUCACAAUAUAUCUACUAAAAUAUCUAACUGUUGAUCACCAAAUUCAUAGAUACCAAUAUAUUAUUCAGUGAAUUCACAAAAUGAAUGUUGAAUAUUAAAUAAAGUCAGUUCAGAAUAUUUCCUUCAAAUCUAAUAUUAUUACCAAAAGAUUUGCAGAAAUUUCAAAUGAAUUUUGCACCGUAAAUUUCUCUAAUAAUGUUGCCGCAUAUAAGAUAUUAUAAGUAACAUGUUUUUUUUAUAUUUAGUUAUAACAUCUAUACUAUUAAAACAUAAUCUCUAAUAUGAUUAUGCCCUUGCUUUUUAAGUUAUUUACCAAGGAAUGCUACUGUCUUUUUCUGUUUAAAAAAAAAUAAAAAUCAGCACUAAUUACACCCAAUCAGAAAUCAUCGAUCUUUCAAACCAAUAACAUUACAGCAUUAUUUAAUAUCGUUCCACCUUUGUCACGUUUUUUCCAAACCAAUUACAUCCAAUAAUUCUUACCAAUUACAUUUAAGCAUUGUUAAAAAAUACAAAUAUCUCCAUAUCUUAAAUAUUGAUUAUUUUUUGUAAUAGCAUAAUUAAUCAAUGUUAAAAAAAAUAUUGAUUAUUUAUAAUUUAUUUUACACCCUAAAAACGGGUCAUACCCUAAAUCACUACAAAAUAACUUUGAACUAUACAAAUCCUAAAUCCUAACAUACAUACAAACCCUAAGUUUGAGAGAGGGAGAAUGAAAGACAACCACUGAGAAAUCAGAGACUAAACUUGAGUCCAGAACCCACAUAGCAUACAUGAACGAAACAUUAUCCAAACCUGAAGUGGUAAACAUGGUUAAAGGGAGAACCACCAGAGUUGCGAUGAAAGCUGAAAAGAGAUGCGAGAAUAGAGAGAGAAAGGGAGACGAAACGAAAUCAGCAAACUAUGGAGCCGUCCUCGAGCUAUAAAAGAGAGCAUAUAAAUUAGAACACCAAAAAAUAGAUCUUGAAAACCAAGACUAACAGAGACUAUUGACGGUAAGCCAACAACGAUGAAUACAACAUCAAAGACGACUAAACUCUAACCCAACCAAAGAGACGCAGUUCCUAACAUCAGCUGAAAUCUAAGAAAGAAGAGGAACUGUCAAUAUUGACUGGAACAACCUACAAUGCCAUGAGAAUCAACCGAACAACUGAAAACAUAUAAACUUGAUCUAUAACAAAUACCAUAUAAUCUCACAGGUGAACAAGACAAGGAAGAACAAGAGAAAGAGGUGAAUCUUUUUCUGGUGAUGGUGAGAAGUAUCGCACACCAGAAAGAUAACGAAAUACAUAGACGGUGACGGCUCAAGGUCAAAAUAUGGGGAGAGGGCAAAAAACAUAGUUAUAAUUUUCAAAAAAAAAAUAUAACACAAUUUUGACGCUGAAACCGUUAAUCUUAGAAUCAACAAAUGCGUAGAUGCAAAGUUAUUGAAAUUCAAUAUUCUUUUACGUCAGAGGUUCACUUCACUACUACCAAGUACUAUACACACAACAACAAAUUAUUCAAAAAAACAAAACAAAAUAUAUUAAUAUAUCAUAUAUACUACAUAACACACUAAAAAUAACAAGUAAUGCUCUUAACAAAUAAAAACGACAACAAAAUUAUAUUAUCCAAAAAAUCAUGUUUUUGGCAAUAAUAAAACAAUAUUCCGUGGGAUGGUUAGUUAUAAACCUAAGCAAAAUAAGAUUUUCUUACGUCUUCUUUGGUGUGGACAAAAACAGUGAAUACCAUUUCUCUUAUAUUUUCACAAACCUUGUCCGACUACGCCUUUCCCACUACAAUGCACAAGGUCCAAUUGACAUUAGUAUCUUCUCGCAUCUAAAGUGGCUCGAAGUUCUUGACCUAUUCUAUUUGAACACGACCACUACGAUUGACUUGAAUGAUAUCUUGUCAUAUUUUAAGUGGCUCCGUUGGUUGGAUCUCUCAGGCAACCAUGUUUCAGCCACAAACAAGAGUCCAGUUUCAGAUCUCCCUUUGUUGUAUAAGUUGCACUUGUCAGGCUGCAGUAUCACCGAGUUUCCAGAGUUUGUAAAAUCGCAAAAUAUAGAGAGGUUAGACAUUUCCAACAAUAAAAUCAAAGGACAAGUGCCCGGAUGGUUAUGGACGCUAUCAAAUCUGUAUUACCUGGAUAUUUCGAACAACUCUUUCACCGGCUUCAAAAAUGCAAAGAAACAUGGGCUAUCUUUAAUGACCUUGUUAGCCUCGAACAAUAAUUUCACGGGAAAUAUUCC
rnacentral:lncRNA from 1 species